UGCAACAUCUGACCGGUUCAUUGGUAAAGGCGGUCCAAAAAGGUUAAAACCAUCUUCGCCUGGCAAAUCUUGAGUCUUAAAUGGUUUCAAUGCGUUUGUUUUUAAUAAAUCACCCAUUUUCCUCACGGCACUAACACAACGAGAAAGGUCUGCCUUGUUUGCAAAGUAGUUGAAUUUGACAUUUGGGCCGACUUUGACAUCAUAGGAUGAUUGCAGUUUAAGAGAACCAUAGGACAAGGGUGCUGGAUUUUUGGUAACAAUGUGCCCGAAAGUUGAAUUUAUCGUCAUGGGAAUAGUUGGAUUAGGGAAAAGACUAAAGGCCAUAGUAGAAAAUGGCAACCCGGAGACGGUCUCUAUAUAGUAAUCACUUGUGAUACCAGCAAUCUGUGCAGUAGAAGGUUCUAGUUCAGAUGGGGGCAAAAUGGUAACGUAAUUACGAGGAUUGUCACGCAUAAACUGCCCAACGUAAGGUUGUGGGUGAACAACUGGGAUUUUAAGAGAUGAAAGGUAGGACUUCGGGCCAACACCACUAAGUAGCAGAAGUUGAGGACUCCCAAUUGCCCCUGCACUCAAUAUAACCUCACCUUUACCACGUAUCAAUGCCUGAUGAGACCUCCCAUAGGAAUCAGUGUAUAUGAUUCCUUUAGCUGACAAACCUGCAUUCAACCGAUACUAGAAUUGAACAUAUAUUUAACUUACAAGUUAUUAAAUAUAUAGAAUAGAUUCAAAUUCUUCAAAUAUAUCAAGGAGUUUUUUUUUUUUCAACGCCCUGAUAGAUUUGAUUUUUGUUUUUCGAUCGAAACAUAUUAAUGUACUUACACAUAUGUACAUUCACAGUAAUAUGUAAGCAACAAACAAGAUCAAAAUCAAAGUCCAAUCAAAAUCCAAUCUAAGAUGGAUUUAAUGAAAAAAAAAAGAAAAGGAAAACCUUAACUCGUGUCAUCGAAGGAUGGAAAUCUAAAUGGCCUUUAAUUGUAUAUAUCAAAUGUUAGCAUACCUGAUGCCUUGGAAGAGAAAAUGAUCCUCUCUACUGCGGCAUGAAUUGCAACUCUCAGGUUUUUUGGAUGUCCUUUAUUUAGCAGUUCCACGGCACCAUGUCUUCUUCCACGAUCGUCAAAGAUCGUACCCGUGAUUUUAGUUCCCUGAAUGUGAUCCAAAGUAAGUCCAUUGUCUGGACGAACACCAGCUUCUAACAAUGCAUCUUUCACAACAGAUUGCCAGUGUGAUAAAUUCGGACGGAACACUAGAGUGUUUUCAACCCAUUCAUAUGAAUUAUUGACUAAGUUCAUGUCCAAUUUAAUUCCUGAUUUCUUGAGGAAUUCACUGUCGGCCCUUGAGUAAAGACCAAUAUUGAUCAUACUUGACCCGCCUAGGACCCGUCCUCUUACAAAAGCUACACCAUCUUCUGAUGUGAACCUCUGGGCUGGCGUCUUACCGUCAUCUUCUUGCAUGAAAUUUGCAAGAAUCCCAGCGUUACUCAACACGUUUGGAUAUGCUGUGGGAAUAUCUCCCCUUUCUAGGAGGAGCACGGAGUAGUUCGCGGAUAAAGUUGCUGCCAAUGGGCACCCUGCCGUGCCCCCUCCAACCACAAUGUAGUCAUAUUUUUCUUGCAAUGGUAGAUCAGUUGCGUUACGUACAAAUUUCAAGUAGCUAAAAUCUGCAGUAUAUGAAUAUAGAGAUGAGGAAACAAGAUUAUAUAACGAGAACUGUUUAUUAUUAAAUUUAUUGUUAUGUAAGUUACUCGAAGAACCAAUGAAACUUUUAAAAUAUAUUUGGUACCUUGAAUGUUAGAAGGAGUGGCGAAUGAGUGAACCCCUAAUUGAGGGCAGAAGACAAAAAAGUACAAAAGCAAUAAUCUAGUAGCAAUUGCUGAUUUCUCCAUAUUAUUUUCGAAACAAGAUCUACGUUUUUCUCCUGAAAAUAAAAUAUUAAAUGAAAAGUUAGUUUCUUGUUCUUCAAGUAAAGACUUUUGGAGUAAAAUUGCUCUUGAGCCAUACUGUAAAACACACGAGGUCCCACAAGUAUUUUUUUUUAGCUCCAUACACAGAGUUGAAAGAGCCCAACUCUAAACUUAAGAGUUUAGCAACCAAAUCCUCUCCCAACCCAAGUCCAUUUGGUGCUAAAAAUUCAAUUUCUACAUUCCCAAGUUUUAGACUAUUGUUCAAGUUGAGAAAUUUUUCAGAUGAGAACACAAGGUACACCAUAUGUUUUAAUAGAAGUGGUGAAUAUUUUUUUUUUAAGUUAUUAACUUUUUAGCACACAUAUCUUACUAUUUGUAUAAUAACACGUGGUUUACCACUCCGUAUAUCAAUCUUACUGAAAAAUCUUUCGUUCAACUUGCUAUUUCUAAUGGUUCCCACCAUUAAGAAGCACUUGAAUGGUGUGACUGGGCUUGACGUGGACGCGCUGGGAGGCACGCGCAAACGUAUGGUGAGUUGAGCCCACACGCUGUCGCACUGCAUGCAGAAAACUUGAAAAAAGUUUUGCGCUCAAGCUGGUUCAAAGCAGGACCUAGUCUCUUGUGUUGGUCAUGUUAUUGCAGCAUAUAUAAUAUAUUCCUUGUUUUUUCAUGCAAACAUUUCCUAUUUUCAACAUUGAAGUCAAUAUUGUCACAAUUGUGCAAUUUUGAAUUCUUGUCACAAUUCAAAUUUUUUAAGUUAAAAUGAUCGUAAAAAUAACUUAAGAUAACAAAAUAUCUUUGAACAAAAAAAGUUAACAAAAGAAAUUUGAGACUAAACUACUUGUUUGACAUUUAAAAUAGCUAAGGUGCUAAAUUUUAGCAUUGCAGAGUUGGGGGAGAAAAACAGUUUGACAACAUAAAAUUUGUCUUUUGUUUGCCAAAUUUUGCAUUUGGCAACUCCCCACUAGAGUUGGUCUAAAGAAAUCUUAUUUUCCUUCAAUCAUUUUUGCAUUUUAACUAAUAUUCUAUCAUAAUUUAAAAUAAAAACAUUCUUUUUUCUCAAUACCAUUACAAAUUUCUAAUAAAGAUUUUUUUUUACAAACAAUAGGAUAAUAUUUUAAUACUUUAGAUAUAAACUAAUAUAAUCUUGUGUUUAAAUGAGUGCAAGAGAGAAUACUCUUAACCAACUGAGUUACAAGUCACUUGCUAUUAAGAUUUUUAAUUUAAGCCUAAGGUGAAAAAUAAAAUGAGAAAGAGGAUGAGGUGUGAGUGCAAUUAUAAAUGAAGCAGGAUAUUUUCACAAAAAUAAAAGGGGUGUGCUGUCCACACACCCUCUUAAUUUUCAGUUGUCGGAUUAAAUGAAUUGAAGAAGAUCAAAGGACAAAAAUUAAUAAGGAGUAUGUGGAUUUCACACCCCAAAUAAAAAUAGAACUAGAAAAUAGAAUUUUGUUGGAAUAUUCUAUUUUGAAGUGUGAAAUAUGGAGUAUGAUUGGACAAGUAAACUUUUAGAGUUGGAAUAAUAUGAAGUGAUAUUAUUUAUAAAAUUACAUUUAUAAUUCAUGACUGGUUGUUAUAUUUUGUAUUCGUGGUUGCACUAUAUCAUUAUUGAUAAUGUCAUCACUUAUAUCGACGUAUACAACCAAAUUAUAACAAUUAUAACCACAUAUUAACUUUCACUGUGUAUGUAGACUAUUUUCUCUUAAGCAAUCACAACCAUUAAUUUGGCUGCCAUAAGCAAAUACAACGAAGAGAUUAUAUUAUCGAGCCUCUUGGGCAACCAGUGCAAAAGGAAGUCGAAGCGUAAGGCAUGCCUUACGCUCGUUGGAAUGAACCAAAUAUAAUCAGACCGAAAUAGAAUGAUUAAGGACUGGUUUGACAUUCCUGAAUUUUUUUUUAAAAGUCGUUUUUUUUUUAAGUUUGAGCUAAAAUUGUGUUUGGUAAAUUAAAAAACAUGGAUCCAAAACAACAGAAAACUCUUGCUUAUGAAGACAAUACUAUUUUUUUUUUUCACAACACAAAGACCCCAAACUAGCCCUAAAGUAGCCAAUUCAUUUGCCACAAUAUUGGCCUCCCUCCACACAUGAGCAAAUACAACUUUUGUGAGAGUCUAUUCAUCAAUCCUCUCAAUUGAUUGAACUUACUAUGAAAGACUAUUGAUAAAUAGAGUGUUGAGAAAUAAUGGAAAUCAAAUAAGAAAUUUAAACGCAUGAAGACUAUUGCAUAAAACUUACACUGAAGCUAGUUGUUGGAAGUUCUUAUUACGGUAUUGGGAUCUGUAGCAAAAAUUAUAUUGGAAUUAUAUAGAGUUUUUGGGGUCAUGUGAACCCAUUGACCCCUCCGGCUUCACGCUAGUGGUGGAUUUAGAAUUUCAAUAUCCUGAAGGAUUUAGAAUUUCAAUAUCGGGGAUCCUAAUGUAAAAAUUUCAAAUAAAACUUAGAUGCAAAUAACUUUAAAAAAAAAAUUAACAAUAAAUACUUUUCAUUCCUAAAUCAUGAUAGUAGAAAUACUAAAUUUGUCUAUGAAAAGGUUUCAUACUUCGAAAAUGUUUCAUUAUAUUUCAUUAUCGAUACAAGAAUAAAAAAAUCUUACUACACAAUUAAACUAUCACUUAACCAUUAAUUUUUUAUUUUGUUGAGGAGUGAAUGCUUAAUGAUAUUUAUGGUGAAAAAUGCACUAUUCACUAACGCAUCUGCAACUGUAAAACCGAAGUCAAUUAUUCAGAAUAAAAAAUAAUAAAUUAAAUGCACUAAUGAAGACAUAAAAAUGUAUAUAUGAAUUAACCAGCAUAUGAUCAAAUUAAUAAAAAAAUAACAAACUAUAUCACAAUAAUUAUAUAAAUAUUUUCAUCUAAUACACAUAAGACAAAAAUUAUAAAAUCUCAUGUGAUGGUGGAGAGAGCUGGAUUGAUGGUGGUGGGUUUCCGUUGGGAUUAGGGUUGGAUGGGUGGAUUUGGGGUUUGUGUUAAUUAAUGAGGGAAUUGCACGAAGAAUAGUAGGGCCUCGGGUUUGUAGACGAAAGAGAGUUUUAAUUUUUUUUUUUUAGAAUGUGUGCUGGUUUGUAGACGAAAGAGAGUUUUUUUUUGCUGCGCUGCAAUCUAUAGAGUUCUAAAACCAGCACAUAUUAAGAGAGCUUUCAUAAGGUUUCGGUACCACCCGGAUCCAUUAAUAAAUUCGCCCUUACUUCACUCAUGAAUCAACGUGACUCAAAUACCAUGUUAAGCAUAAAAUAUCAAAUACCAUGUUAAGCAUAAAAGAAAGCAGAGAAGGAAGAGAAAAGCAGAAGAAACACAGUAUAUUUCAUAGACUGAAGAGAAUGAAUAACAAACUUAGCCUUCCCUUUCUCAAUUUAUUCACGGCUCUUCAUUUCUUACACUUGACAACAUUAACAUGUUUAGUAUCGGAUUAGAUUGUUAGUGAAAAAAAGAGACAAGAUUUACCCGAGACGACAAUAUCGCAUUUGGUUUUGAAGCUAUUUCCAAGCACUCCUUACCCGCAAGGCAAUGGCAUAGAUUUGCUGUAUCUUAUUCCUUCUUAUAUAACUGCUCGCCAGGCCGCUGAAGGUUCUAAGCAUCUGUUGUUGGAUACUUAUCAACAGUCAAUGACAAUUUACAUAUAUAUAUAUAAAUUUGAAUAUAUAAUAUAUAAUAAAUGCAACUCAAUAAUAUGAACAAAACGAAAUUAACUUCAAAUAGAUAAAAUAAUGAUUGAGGCUUAUGUACCGCAAUAUUCUUAAGACAUAAUUUUGUCCUUACUCUAUACUUGUAAUUCAAUGGGCAUCCGCUUCACCAAAAUUCAACGAUCUAAGUCAAGAUCCCAACAUCGGAAAACUUGACUUCUAGUAGAAUGAGAAUUCUUGUAAAAAAACUCCCAACAUCUGUCACUUAUCUUUUAUUACACGAGUCUUUGUUCUUCACUUGUUUAUGUAAGACAUGGGAAGGAGGAGGACAUGGUCUAGGAUUUAUCCUGUUCAGCGUUUACUUGGGAAGGAGGAGGACCAGGUUUAGAAUUUGUCCUGUUCAGCCUUUACUUGGUCCCGGAAGUUGGUUGGCAUUUUAAUUUUAACUAGCCUUCGUGCACGCGCGCCCGAAGUUAGUUGACAUUUUAAUUUUAACUAGCCUUCAUGCACGCGCGUGCAAAAUGUAUUUUUUGAAUAACGGCAUGCUAUGCGCGACUUACACGUUUUAAAUCAUGUUAGAAGAAAAGUCAAAUAUUUGAAGUAAAUGAAUAAUUUUUUAUCAUGCUAAAAGAAACCCCUCAUAAACCAAUUAAAGCAGCUGAAUUCACAUAAUAAAAUUAGUCUCAAUAGAAUUUACAUUAAGAAUAGAGAAAAUAAUAUUUAAUAAAUAAUUGAUUGAAUCACAUUAUUGUUAUCCCAUUGUGAGGCAAAGCCCACCCCCUUAUCGUUUGUUAAAAAAGAAUCAUUUGACAACUAAUUUAAUCACAUUAUUAUCCGCGUGCGAAAUACUUUUUUAUAACUAGCAUUACAGGUCUCUUAAUAUGUUUUGAAUGUGUUUAAAAUAGAGAAAAUAAUAUUUAAUAAACAACUAAUUGAAUCACAUUAUGAAACUAAGCCCACCUCCUUCCCCAUUAGUAUAAAUAAUAUUGUUUGUUACAAAAAAAAAAUCAUUUGACAACUAAUUUAAUCACAUUAUUAUCCACGUUCGAAAUAUCUUUUUUAUAACUGGCAUUACACGUCUCUUAAGAUGUUUUGAACGUGUUUAAAAAUAAAUAAAUUGAAUCACAUUAUUACUAGCUAUUGUGAGGUACUAAUUUAAAAAAAAACCACAAAAUCAUUCAUUAUUAAAAAAAUAAUAUUAAAAUGACGAAAAUGCCCUUGUCUUAUUUGAUGCAUUAUUUUGAGAUGCCUUUGAAGUUUUUUGUUUUGGGAGCAUUUUUGUCCAAUUAUUUUUGGUAAAGCAUUAUGACAUCGAAACACUAUUCACCUUUUGUGUUCUUUUUAUAUAUAACUAGCAGAGAGCACACACUUUGUGUGUGUGAACAAUUUCUCUUAAUAAGUGCAUAUUUUUUUUCUAUACUAUUAUAUUAAGAGAAGCCUCAUUGUCAACUUUUCCCCUUUUUUUUCCUAUUUUGUCCUUCUUAUGUAUCAAAAGUGUUAUUAAGAGAAGCCUCCUUGUCAACUUUUUCCUCUUUUUUUCCUAUUUUGUCCUCCUUAUGUAAAUAUUGUGUAUCAAAAGUAAGGGUAAAAUUGGAAAAAUAAGUAUAUGAUUGUCAUUUUCUCAAAAAAAAAAAACAUAGUAAAAUAGGAAAAAUAUGUAUAUGAUUGUCAUUUUGUCAAAAUAUACAAAAAUACUAUUUAGUCAUUCUUUUUGUCAACAUUGUGUAUCAAAAGUGAGGGCAAAAAAUGAAAAAAAAAGGGCAAAAAGUUGACAAGCCCUCUUCUCUUAAUAGAAUAGAUAGAUAAUGGAGAAGUACAUGUGUUACAAUGACUUUGGCCUACAAAAUAAUUGCUAAGAGAAUCUCACCAAUUAAGUGUAAGAGAGAUAUUCGUUACGAAAGAGACUGGUAUGGAUUUGAACCCAUGACUUGUUUGUUUGUUUUUUUUUUUUUUACAAAUGAUACUAUUUAUACUGAAGGAGAGGGAGAUAGGUUAAGCCUAGAUCUCUUACUUAUAACUAAGGAAUAAUACCACUAGAUCGUAGUAUUAAAUGAUAAUGAUAUACAAUUUUUUUCUUAAUAGUCGGAUAAAACUUAUAGCCUUGCAAUGAAGUAUGGUUUUAUUUUUGUUGCCAAAAGUCAUCAUGUCUACCGUCAGCGCUUCCACCAGUGACCAACGCUCGUGACUGCGCAUAACGUCAUAGUGUUAUAUUAGAAUUUUGGGUGCGUUUGUUGCACCGGAUUGUCUCGGACUGAAUUAGCUGCAGAGACUAAGCUGGAAUGGCUUAGACUAGACUAAGCUAGACUAGCUUAGUGAAGCGUUUGUUGCAGUAUCGAACUAGGAAGCCGGAUUAUAAUAUUAUAUUAUUUAAUCUAUAUCUAUUGAUAUUUUAUUAUUAAUUUAAUCUUAUAUCAAUUAAUAUUUAUUAUUUCUUUAUCAUUUUCCAUUUUUCUAGAGUCAUCUUCUUCUCUAAUCUUUAUACAUCUCAAUUUUUUCUUUCUCAUUGUUUACUCCUCCAGUGUCGCCCUCCACUCUCCCCUUUUCCUCUUUUUUCUACUCCGCCCCCUCCCUUUCUCCCGUUUCACCUUUGUACCACUAUCCUCUCUCCCCUCUCUCCGUUUGUAUUUAUUUUGUUUCACCUAAUAUGAAACGCUUGAAGUGGGAGCCAGAGUUGCAGGUAAGCGGAGAGAUUUCAAAUUGCGAAGAUCGUUCUCGGAUCUUAAGUUCUUCAAGCGAAGAUCGAUCUCUCUGUUUUCUGGGUCUGAUUCAAUUUCAAUCGAAGAAAAUGGAGAACCCAUUUCUGCAUAUCGACCAAGUGUUCUUUUGUGGGUUCGUCAGGAAAUCAAGGUUGUGGGUUCGUCGGGAAAUCUGAGAUGUGGGCUCGUCGGGAAUUUGCAGAUUUUGUUUCUUUUUUAUCCAGAAAAAAGAAUUGCAGUUGACGAGUUUGGCGUUGGAGAUGAAAUCGUGCCCGAAGUCUUUGCCGUCAAAAUCAAGGUCAAAGAGGUGAAUCAAGCAGGACGAAGUGAGAUGCCAUCGAAAUCGAGGUCGAGGAGGUGAAUCAAGCAGAAUGAAGCGAAGUUCCUAGCUAAUCCCGUGGUUUUUUGGGGGACUUGUGAAGACCGGCUAGCGACGCCUCUAGUGAAAGCAAGUCCCAGUUAAUCUCAUUAACUAGUCCCAUAAGCCACCAAACACAAGACUACAAUCCAAUCCAAUCCAGUGAAGACUAAGAAGGGUAAACAAACGCUCCCUUAAGGUUUUUUUUUUAUGAAUUAGAAUUUUAAGUUUUGCCGAUGCUUUUGACCUUUUGUUAUUUAUUUAAUUUUGUUCUUAACCCACUCUAUAACUUCUGGGCCUGCAUUAUCUUAUCAAUAUCUUUGACAUUGCAGUCACUCAUAAGAUGUCUUUAAAAAAAAAGCAAAUAGCGAUUAAAUUAAUAUGUAUAGUUUGAAAAAAGGUACCCCUUGAAAAGUGGACUUUGUCUAUGUCAGGUACAUAAAUUAUUUCCGUCUAAUAGAAAAUGGCGUGGAAUGGAAUUCUGCAAAUCUGACUAAACUUUGUUUAUAUAUAUAUAUAUAUAUAGACACACACACACACAUAAUUAUUCCUCCAGUCUGCGCCUGGACAUUUGUGGUGCCUUGGGGGUUACGGCUUAACAACACAUACACUUCUUAUAUGAAAUUACUUUUUAAAUCGUCAUUCUAUAUAGCCGACUGAUUGACACGAUCUGACCUGCAGGUUUAGACCCUGACCAAUGAAUUUCAUUAAACAAUAAAGUUUGUGAAUGCAAAUUUCUUCUUUUUUGUUCUUGAAUAAAAUUACACCUAUAAAAUAAAUAACAUUUUAGGUCAAGACCAAGAGACUCACGUGCCCACGAUAAAUGGGGGCUUUGGCCAAAAAAUCUCCGAUGCUAAAAUUAGAAUUUAGAGAGAAAAAAUGUUUGGAGAAUUUUGAGAAUUUAGUAAGAGAAUUGUAAUUGAGUUUUGGAGAGAUGAUGGAGUUUUAAUAGGGGUGUGGCCGGCCCCUUUGGGAGAGAAAGGACCGGCCACUUGGUUCAUUUUGUGGGCUAGGUUCUUGAUUUGUGUUUAAUAAGGAAUAAUUGAAUAAUAAAUCAAUUAAUGAGCUAAUUAAUAGAAUAAUUUCCUAAUUGAUUAGCUAAUUAAUAUAAUAAAAGGGGAAUGAUUUGGAAGUUACCUUGUGGAGAUGAUUUGAUGAGGAUAGAUGAAAUAGGUUUUGAAUUAUUACCUAUUUUUGGCACUUUUGACUUGGUUGAGGGUUGAUUGACCGCUGCUGGCGCGUAAGCAUCCCGGUAUGCCUCGAGGGUAAUUUUGUCAUUUUAACCUAAAAAUCCAUGUAUUGCCUUGUGAUUAUUUGGCUCCACAAAGUUCACGAAGAUGAUCGAUGUUGCAUGAAUAGUAGAUUGCACAGUAGUUGUGAUAUACCUUAUGACAAGGUUUAUACAAGCUGAUCAGCUCGGAAAAUAUUAACCAAAUAGAACCGGACGUUGCAUUACAUCAGCAGUAGAUUGGUCAUGAUUUGGCUAAGCAUGGAUGCCAUUAUCUACAAUUAGGUGUCACUAACACUACUGUUCUUUAUUUUCUUAUUCAUUAGGUUUAGAGCACAACCUUGUAUAUUUAGAGUUUUUAAAUCCUGUGAAUAAUUUCAUCCCUUGUAUUUCGAUUACCAUUUACAAUUAGAAAACAACUGCAAUAUUAUUGCGCCAACUCGUAUCCAAACUGUUAAAUCUUGAUUAUCCGAAGUAGCAUAGUUUCAUUCAUUUGUAUUUGAACUCUCUUUUUUGUAGUCUUAGGGCCACCGACUCAGAUCCGAACUUUUUAAUUCCAAAUGUGCUGGAGUAACUUCAUUUCUUUGUAUUGGACUAUUAUUUGGGAUUUGUAAUCAACUGUCAUAUUAGGUCGUUAGUAUCAUUUCUUUAAUUUUUUUCAUUAAGGAAAAACAUUAAAAGCAAUUAUUCGCCCUGUUAAGGAAUACAGGGAAAAUCUUGCCUUAUAAUUUGGAUGAAAAAAAGGCUCGCCGAAUAUAUAUAUAGCUAAGAUGAGUACAUAAUGGAGACAUAUAUAUAUAUAUAUAUAUAUAUAUAUAUAUAUAUAUAUAUAUAUAUAUAUAUAGAUAAGAAGAGUACAUAAUGGAGACAAAGGUACCUUGGCCAAAAUCCAAAUCAUUUGAGUUCUAAAGAGGUAUGCAAAUGCAAGAGUACAUUUCUUGCAAAAAAUCAAUUCUUGUAUUGUGCUUUGAAAGAUGUGAUUUAUUUUAGUUUUGUAGAUUAAUAUAAAUAGAUUUAAAUAAUUUAAAUUAAACAUUAUUUUUAAUUUCCAAUAAAAAAAAUUAAUGGCUUUACCCGACGAACAGAUUCGUCAAGCAAACUGUUAUUGCAUUUUUAUUUUAGUUUUGUUAAACAGUUGCUUUCGUCUGGCUAAAGUAUUUAAUUUGCAAAUUUGCAAAAACUUGACGAAAUUAUGUCGUCGAGCAAGAUAUAUCCAUCAACCAAGGGUGGUCAACGCUCCUUUACCCGAAGACUUUGUUUCGUCCAUUGAAAUUUUAGGUGACGAAUCCUUAUUUAGCCCAAAAAAAGUAUUUCGUCUGGCAAGGAAUUUUUUGUAGUGUUAAUUGAAAACAAUUUAAAAAGAAGAAAAAAAAAAGAAAAAAAAACCAAUAAAACUAAGGGAAAUGUGGUCGCCUUGGUGAAAAAAUACAAAUAAAAACCCUACUUCUAUUCAAUAAGAGCUUUCUUCAAGGAAAUUGCCUUCACUUAGGUUUAUCCAUAUCGACAAAAAAUGAAUAACAUAUCAACCAAAUAUCAACAGCAUAUUAAUGAAAUAUCAACGUUUGGACAACAUAUGGAUACAUAUUGAAUUUUAGGAAGAGGGCUUUGCAAUAGGGUCAUCGAACCAAUUUCCCUAAAACUAAUGUGCCUACAGCUUCGAUUCAAUUGUUCUAUCCAUCCAGUACCACUUGAGUCUUGAGUUACAUCAUGACUUUAUUAGCUAAGUUUGUCUUAAGUAAAAACCAUAACACUAACCCUUGUUCAAUAAUCUUCAACUUAUUGCAUGACAAAUUAACCAUAAUCUUGAAUUAUGAUCAACGCCCCUUGCAAGCUGAUCUUUCUUCCAGCAUUCGAAGGCCAACAUGCCUGCCCAAAGAACAAAAUUUGGAGUGGGAAAACAACAAUAUCAUAUUAUUAGAAAGAAAAGAAAAAAAACCAAAUAAUUUAUAUUUCGGAUGAUUUAGUAGAUAUUAUUUAGUUAAAUAUAAUUAAAUAGUUGUAUAAUGUAUAGGUAAUUUCUCAUGGUUUUAUUUGAAUGCAUGUAACAUGCAUACCUGCCUAACAUCAUAAGAGUGGCUUGAGGAUUGGUCCCUGGUGAUAAACUUUUGAACACAGAUCCAUCAACAACACGUAAUGCCUUGAUCCCCCUGACCCGGAAAUCUCCAUCAACUACCUUUCCGACGAGGCAUCCACCAUGGUAGUGCCAAAUUGUGGCUACUGUAUCUCGACAGAAUGUUUCAAUGGAUGCAACAUCUGACUGGUUCAUUGGUAAAGGUGGUCCAAAAAGGUUAAAACCAUUUUCGCCUGGCAAAUCUCGAAUCUUAAAUGGUUUCAAUGAGGUUGUUUUUAAUAAAUCACCCAUUUUCCUCACGGCACUAACACAACGAGAAAGGUCUGCCUUCUUUGCAAAGUAGUUAAAUUUGACACUUGGGCCGACUUUGACAUCAUAGGAUGAUUGCAGUUUAAGAGAACCAUAGGACAAGGGUGCUGGAUUUUUGGUAACAAUGUGCCCGAAAGUUGAAUUUAUCGUCAUGGGAAUAGUUGGAUUAGGGAAAAGACUAAAGGCCAUGGUAGAAAAUGGUAAGCCGGAGAAAGUCUCUAUAUAGUAAUCACUUGUGAUACCAGCAAUCUGUGCAGUAGAAGGUUCUAGUUCAGAUGGCGGCAAAAUGGUAACGUAAUGACGAGGAUUGUCACGCAUAAACUGCCCAACGUAAGGUUGUGGGUGAACAACUGGGAUUUUAAGAGAUGAAAGGUAGGACUUCGGGCCAACACCGCUAAGUAGCAGAAGUUGAGGACUCCCAAUUGCUCCUGCACUCAAUAUAACCUCACCCUUACCACGUAUCAAUGCCUGAUGAGACCUCCCGUUAGAAUCAGUGUAUAUGAUUCCUUUAGCUGACAAACCUGCAUUAAAUCGAUAUUAGAAUUGAACAUAUAUUUAAUUUACAAGUUAUUAAAUACAUAGAAUAUAUUCAAAUUCUUCAAAUAUAUCUAGGCGUUUUUUUUUUUUUUCUAACGCCCUGAUAGAUUUGAUUUUUGUUUUUCGAUCGAAACAUAUUAAUGUACCUGCACGUAUGUAUAUUCACAGUUAUAUGUACGCAACAUACAAGAUCAAAAUCAAAGUCCAAUCGAAACCCAAUCUAAAAUGGGUUUAAUGAAAAACAUAAGAAAACCUAUCGAAGGAUGAAAAUCUAAAUGGCCUUUAAUUGUAUAUAUCAAAUGUUAGCAUACCUGAUGCUUUGGAAGAGAAAAUGAUCCUCUCUACUGCGGCAUGAAUUGCAACUCUUAGGUUUUUUGGAUGUCCUUUAUUUAGCAGUUCCACAGCUCCAUGUCUUCUUCCACGAUCGUCAAAGAUCGUACCCGUGAUUUUAGUUCCCUGAAUGUGGUCCAAAGUAAGUCCAUUGUCUGGACGAACACCAGCUUCUAACAGUGCAUCUUUCACAACAGAUUGCCAGUGUGAUAAAUUCGGACGGAAUACUAGAGUGUUUUCAACCCAUUCAUAUGAAUUAUUGACUAAGUUCAUGUCCAAUUUAAUUCCUGAUUUCUUGAGGAAUUCACUGUCGGCUCUUGAGUAAAGACCAACAUUGAUCAUACUUGACCCGCCCAGGACCCGUCCUCUUACAAAAGCUACACCAUCUUCUGAUGUGAACCUCUGGGCCGGCGUCUUACCGUCAUCUUCUUGCAUGAAAUUUGCAAGAAUCCCAGCGUUACUCAACACGUUUGGAUAUGCUGUGGGAAUAUCUCCCCUUUCUAGAAGGAGCACGGAGUAGUUCGCGGAUAAAGUUGCUGCCAAUGGGCACCCUGCCGUGCCCCCUCCAACCACAAUGUAGUCAUAUUUUUCUUGCAAUGGUAGAUCAGUUGCGUUACGUACAAAUUUCAAGUAGCUAAAAUCUGCAGUAUAUGAAUAAAGAGAUGAGGAAACAAGAUUAUAUAACGAGAACUGUCCGUUAUUAAAUUUAUUUGUCAUGGAAGUUACUUGAAGAACCAAUGAGACUUUUAAAAUAUAUUUAGUACCUUGGACGUCUGAAGGAGUGGCGAAUGAGUGAACCCCUAAUUGAGGGCAGAAAACAAAAAAGUACAAAAGAAACAAUAUAGCAGCAAUUGCUGAAUUCUCCAUAUUAUUUUCGAAACAAGAUAUACGUUUUUCUCCUGAAAAUAAAAUAUUAAAAGAAUAAUUAGUUUCUUGUUCUUCAAAUAAAGACUUUUGGAGUAAAUUGCUCUCGAGCCAUACUCUAAAACACACAAGUUCCCACAAGUUUUUAUUUGAGCUCCAUAUAUGGAGUUGAAAGAGCCCGACUCUAAACUUAGAGUUUAGCAACCAAAUCCUCUCCCAACCCAUGUCCAUUUGGUGCUAAAAAUUCAAUUUCUACAUUCCCAAGUUUUAGGACUACUUUUCAAGUUGCUAUUUCUAAUGGUUCCCACCAUCAAAAGCACUUGAAUGGUGUGACUGGGCUUGAUGUGGACGCGCUGGGAGGCACGCAAACGCUGUCUCACUUAGCAUGCAGAAAACUUGAAAAAAGUUUGCGCCCAAGCUGGUUCAAGGCAAGGACCAAGUCUCUUGUGUUGGUCAUGUUAUUGCGGCAUAUAUAUGAUAUAUUCCUUGGUUUUUUUUUUCAGACAUUUCCUAUUUUCAACAUUGAAGUCAAUAUUGUCACAAAUUGUGCGAUUUUGACUUCUUGUCAGAAUUAAAAUUUUUAAAGUUAAAAUGUUCAUAAAAAUAACUUAAGAUAACAAAAUUUAUUUGAAAAAAAAAAGUUAACAAAAGAAAUUUGAGACUAAACUACUUGUUUGACAUUUAAAAUAGCUAAAGUGUUAAAUUUUAGCAUUGCAAGGUUGGAGGAGAAAAAUAAUUUGACAACCUAAAAUUUGUCUUUUGUUUGCCAAAUUUUGCAUUUGGCAACUCCCCACCGGAGUUGGUCUAAAGAAAUCUUAUUUUCCUUCAAUCAUUUUUUCUUUUUAACAAAUAUUCUAUCAUAAUUUAAAAUAAAACGUUCCUUUUCUCAAAAAAAUUAUACCAUUACAAAUUUCUAAUAAAGAUUUUUUUUACAAACAAAAGGAUAAUAUUUUAAUCCUUCAUAUAUAAACUAAUAUAAUUUUGUAGUUAAUAUAAGUGCAAGAGAGAAUACUCUUAACCAAUUGAGUCACAAUUUGUAACAAAUUUCCUAUAAUCUAGCCUUUUGAUUACACUCUUAUCCGUUAGAGAUAAUUGUCAAAAGAAAAAUGGUUAGAUUCAAAAUUAUUUUCACAAUAAUGCUACAAUUUAGCAAUAAUUAUUUACGAUUUAAGAUAUUUUCUUUCCAAAAUAGUUUAAAAUAUUUUUAAAUCCCCAAAAUCAAACGUAUCAAAAUAAGUUCUUCUUUUAGUAUGUUUAGAGAAAAUAGGAUUGAGAAUAAUAUAAACGUACCAAUACACAAUGUGUACAAAAUAAAACGUACCAAAAUAAAAAUAAUGUACCAAUAUUAACAAUACCUAAAUCCAAAUCAAAAGUACCAAAAUUUCAAAUAAACGUACCAAUUAAUGAUUUUUGUAAAUUCAAACGUACCCGCAGAUAAUAUAUACGUAAUGUCUUGUACCUAAUAAUAAUUCGUCAACAACUGUACUUAAAUAAAAAACAGCAAAAAAAAAAACAACAACAAAUUAUAUAUAUAUGUAUAUAAUUUCACAAAAAAAAUUGAAAAAAUUACACGGAGCUUUUAUAUUGAUCACCAACUAUUUGAAAAAGAAAAAAAACCAUUUGGAAAAAGAAAUAAUAUUAAAUGUUUGCAUAAAAAAUGUGAUCGAAAAAACAUAUUUGGAAGAAGAGAAAAUAUAAUUUAAUUAAUAAUAUCUCCACUAAAUAAGGAAAAGUGCAUCAUGCAGAUAAAAGGAUAAAUUCAAAAAUUAUUUUAAUUUAAAAAAAAAUAGAGGUGACUAUUGGUCAAAGUACUUUAAUCAAAUUUUAAAAAGACACAGAUGUUGAAUCUAAAUAAUAUAGAAAAACUGUAGGGGAUUCUAAUUUUCCCUAAAUAAAAAGGAAGAAGAAUAUUUUCACAAAAUAAAAGGGGUGUGCUAUCCACACAUUUCUUUUUACUUCUUACAUACUCUCUUAAUUUUCGGCUGUCGAAUCGAAUGAAUUGAAGAAUAUCAAAAGCAGAAAUUAAUAAGGAGUAUGUGAAAACUAAAAAGAUGUGUGUGAAUUUCACACCCAAAUAAAAAUAGAACUAGGAAAUAGAAUUUUGUUGGAAUAUUCGAUUAUGAAGUGUGACAUAUAGAGUAUGAUUGGACAAGUAAACUUUUAGAGUUGGAAUAGUAUGAAGUUAUAUUAUUUUAAAAUUACAUUUAUAAUUCAGAACUGGUGGUUAUAUUUUGGAUUCGUCGUUCUACAAUAUCAUUAUUGAUAGUGUCAUUACUUAUUAUCUCGACGUAUACAACCAAAUUAUAACAGUUAUAACCACAUAUUUACUUUCACUAUGUAAUUAGACUAUUUUCACUUAAGCGAUCACAACCAUUAAUUUAGCUGCCAUAAGCGAAUACAACUUCCUUUUUUUUGGAGAAACGAAGAGAUUAUAUUAUCGAGCCUCUUGGGCAACCAGUACAAAAGGAAGUCGAAGUGCAAAGCAUACCUUAUGCUCGUUGGAACAAGAUUGACCCAAAUAUAAUCAGACCGAAUAGAAUGAUUAAGGGUUGGUUUCACAUUCCUGAAUGUUUUUUUCAAAGUCAUUUUAAAAAAAUAUUGGAGCUAAAAUUGUGUUUGAUAAAUUAAAAAAAAAGUGUUUAUUUAUUUAUUGUUUUUUUUCAAAACAUGAGUCUAAAACAGUAGAAAACCCUUGCUUAUGAAAACAAUAAUUUUUUUUUUAACAGCACAAAAACGUCAGACUAGCCCUAAAAUAGUCAAUGCAUUUGCCACAAUAUUGGCCUCCCUCCGCACAUGAGCAAGUACAACUUUUGUGAAAGUCUUUUGAGAAAUACUGGAAAUCAAAUAAGAAAUUCAAACGCAUGAAGACUAUUGCAUAAAACUUACACUGAAGCUAAUUGUUGGAAGUUCUUACUAGGGUAUUCGGAUCUGUAGCAAAAAGUAUAUUGGAACGAUAUAUAGAGUUUUUGGGGUCAUGUGAACCCAUUCCCCCUUCCCCCUUCCCCCUUCCCCUCGCUACUGCAUGUGAACUUGACAUUAGUGGUGGAUUUAGAAUUUCAAUAGUGUGAGCUUUCUAAUGUACAAAUUUUAAAACAAUUUAGAUUCAAAUACCAUUUAAUUUUUUACAAUAAAUGCUUUUCAUUCCUAAAUCAUGAUAGUACAAAUACUAAAUUUGUUUACAACAAAGUUUCAUACUACAAAAACGUUUCAUUAUCAAUACAAAAAAAAAAAGAAAUUUACUAAACAACUAAAGCAUCACUUAAUUAUUAGUCUCUCAUUUGUUGAGAAGUGAAUGCUUAAUGAUAUUCAUGGCGAAAAAUGCACUAUUCACUAACGCAUCUGUAACUGAUAAAACUGAAACCAGUUCAAAUUGGAAUUAUUCAGAAUAAAAAAUAAUAAAUCAUAUGCAUUAAUGAAGACAUAAAAAUGUAUAUAUGAAUUAACUAGCAUAUGAUCAAAUUAGUAAAAAAAUAACAAACCAUAUCACAAUAAUUAUAUCAAUAUUUUCAUCUAAUUUCUAUAAAAAAAAAAUAUUUUCAUCUAGUACACAUAAGACAAAAAUAUAAAAUCUCAUGUGACGGUGGAGAGAGGUGGAUUAAUGGUGGUGGGUUUCCAUUGGGAUUCGGGUUGGAUGGGUGGAUUUGGGUUUGUGUUAAUUAAAUGAAGGAAUUGCAUGAAAAAGACUUGGGCCUCGGAUUUGUAGAUGAAAAAGACUUUUAAUUUUUUUUUUAAGAGUGGCUUGCCCAAAUCGAUACUGUUUUGACCAGUUCAUUAAAAUCAAAAUUAAGAUUAGUAAUGCUACAAUUAUUAUUUAUUUGUAUUAUAUUUCUAGUAGAGGUAGGGCGGCCCGUCAACGCAUGUAUAUCUUAUUUCUAUUAAAAAAAUGAUACAAAUAUAUGAUAAGAGUAUCAUUUUUGAAUUAAGACUUCUUCAUCUUCUUCCUUAACCCUCUGCUGGUUGAUGCGCUACAAUCUAUAGAGUUCUAAAACCAACACAUAUUCAGUCCAUUGGGUGGAUCUCAAAGGUCUUCACAAGUGCUUCUUAGAACUUUCAGAAGGUCCCGAGACCACCCGGAUUUGUUAAUAAAUUCGUCCUGGCUUCACACAUGAGUCAACCUGACUCAAAUACCAUGUUAAGCAUAAAAACUCAAAUACCACGUUAAGCAUAAAAGAAAGCAGUUAAUGAAGAGGAAAACAGAAGAAACACUGUAUAUUUCAUAGACUGAAGGGAAUGAAUAACAAACUUAGCCUUCCCUUUCUCUACUUUCACGGCCCUUCAUUUCUUACACUUGACAACAAUAACAUAUUUAUUGACAAGAUCGGAUUAGACUGUUAGUGAAAAAAAGAGACGAGAUUUACCCGAGACAAUAUCCCGUUUGGUUUUGAAGUUAUUUCCAAGAACUCCUUACCGGCAAGGCAAUGGCAUAGAUUUGCUGUAUCUGAUUCCUCCUUAUAUAACUGCUCCCUAGGCCGCUGAAGAUUCAAAGCAUCUGUUGUUGAAUAAUCAGCAACAAUUUAUGACAAUUUAUAUAUACAAAUAAAUUCGAAUGUACUAAUAAUAAAUGCAACAUAAUAAUUUGGCUGAGUAUGAAAAAAACUAAAUUAACUUUAAACAGAUACAAUAAUGAUGGAGACUUGAGUACCGCAGUGUUCUUAAAACAUAAUUUUGUCAUUGCUCUAUGUGUAUAGUUCGGUGGAAGUUCGUUUAAUCAGGAUUUAACAAUUUAAGUCGACAUGAGAAGUUGGUUGGCAUUUUAAAUUUGAUAAUAGAGAAGUACGUGUUACAAUGAGUUUGGCGUACAAAAUAAUUGCCAAAUAAGAGACUCACCAUUUAAGGGUAGGAGAGAAAUCCUUUACGGAAGAGACUGAUGGAUUAGAUUGCGAAAUAGAUUGAAAAUCAAGUCAAAAAUGCACAAAAGCCGGCAGAAGAAAUCAAGCUUUGUAGAUUCGGACUUUGGUAACCGAUUUGAACAAUGACCUUUUUUUUUUAAAUUUUUUUACAAACAAUAUUAUAUACAUUAAGAGGAGAGAGAUAUGUUAAGUCAAUGAGUUAGCAAUAGUGUGGUUCAAAUUCGUCUUUAACGAGAAUCGAAUCUAAAAUCUCUCACUUACAAGCAAAAGCAAAGAGAAAUAACACUAAAUCGUAGUACUAAAUGACAAUGAUAUGAUUUUUUUUUUAAUAGACAGUUAAAACUUAUAGCCUUGCAAUAAAGUAUUGGUUAUUUAUUUAUUUAUUUAUUUUUGUGUUGUUGCCAAAACUCGUCGUGUUUGUUCAGCUCUUCUACCACCAAUGGUUGCGUGACUGCGCGUAAUAUCAUAGUAUUAUAUUAGAAUUUUGAGUUUUAAAGAUGUUUAUGACUUUUGUUAUUUAUUUAAUUUUGUUCUUACUUGGAUUUUUAAGAACUUCUGGGCCUACAUUAUCUUAUCAAUAUCAUUGAGAUUGCGAUCACUCAUAAGAUGUUUUAAAAAAAGAAAAUAGCGAUUUAAUUUAUAUGUAUAGUUUGAAGAAUGUUACAGCCUUGCAGGUACCCCUUGAAAAGUCGACUAUGUCUAUGUCAGGUACAUAAAUUAUUUCCAUCUAGCCGAAAAAUGGCGUGGCAUGGAAUUCUGCAAAUCUGACUAAACUUUCUUUACACACACACACACACACAAUUUUUCCUCCAGUCUGCGCCUGGACAUUUGUGGUGCCUUGGGGGGUUGCGGCUUAACAGCACGUACAUUUCUUAUAUGAAAUUAGUUUUUUAAUCGUCAUUCCAUAUAGUCGACUGAUUGAGCCACACAAUCUGACCAGCAGGUUUAGACCCUGACCAAUGUAUAUUUCAUCAAACAAUAAAGUCCACGAAGAUGAUCGAUGUUGCUUGAAUAUUAGAUUUCUCAGCGGUUGUGAUAUGCCAUAUGACAAGGUUUAUACAAGCUGAUCAGCUCGGAAAAUAUUAACCAAGUGGAAGCUGAUGUUGCAUUGCAUCAGCAGUAGAUUGGUCAUGAUUUGGCAAAGCAUGGAUGCCAGUAUCUACAAUUAGGUGUCACUGACACUACCAUUCGUUAUUUUCUUAUUCAUCAAGUUUAGUGCACAAACUUGUAUACUUAGAGUUUGUAAAUCCUGUGAAUAAUUCCAUCCUUCGUAUUUCCACUGCUAUUUACAAUUAGAAAACAACUGCAAUAUUAUUGCGCCAACUAGUAGUCUUAGGGCCGCCGACUCGGAUCCAAACUUUUUAAUUCCAAAUGUGCUAGAGUAACUUCAUUCCUUUGUAUUGGACUAUUAUUUCGGAUUUGUAAUCAACUGUCAUAUUAUAUUAGGUCCUUAGUAUCAUUUCUUUAAUUUUUUUUUCAUUGAGGAAAAACAUUAAAAGCAAUUAUUCGCCCUGUUAAGGAAUACAGAGAAAAUCUGGCCUUAUAAUUUGGAUGAAAAAAAGGCUUGCCGAAUAUAUAUACAGCUAAGAAGAGUACAUAAUGGAGACAAAGCUAUUUUGGCCAAAAUCCAAAUUAUUUGAGUUCUAAAGAGGUAUGCAAAUGCAAGAGUACAUUUCUUGCACAAAAUCAAUUCUUGUAUUGUGCUUUGAAAGUGUGGGAUAAAUAUUAACAAUCAAUGACAAAUUUAUAUAUGCUAAUAAAUAACAAAUGCAAAUAAAUAAUUUAACAGAGUAUGAACAAAACGAAAUAAUAUUAAACAGACAAACUGAAUAUCGAGGCUUGAGUACUGUAAUGUCCUUGAAACAGAAAUUUCGUCCUUACUCUGUACUUGUAGUUCUAUGGACGUCUGUCUCACAGGAAUUCAACGAUCUAAAUCAAGAUUCCAGCAUCGGAAAAUUAGACUUCUGACAAAUUUCUUUGUGAUUCUCUUAGUAAGAAGUUUUGGGAUUGUAGAAGAAGAAUUUGAUUUUUUGUGUGUUCUAAAUGCCAUGCAGAUGAAUGUUAUAUAAUAGGUUUAUGCCUGUUCGCAAUAGGUAUGAGAAUGAGAUGCAUCUGUUAGGAGACAUCUUCUCAAAGGGGUGCUUUAUUCUCUAGCAUUCUUUCAUCACUUCAAACUCAUCUUUAUGUCUUCUUAAAGGGGUGCUUUGCUCUCUGGCGUUCUUUCACCACUUCAGACUUCAUCUGGAAAAUGAGUCUGUUGAUAUAAAAAUUAAUUAAUUAAUUAAAUAUGAAAUUAAUUAUUAAUUCAAUUAUAUAUUAAAUAUAUAUUAAUAAUCAAUUAAUUAACGCAUCCCAAAGCCCAAAUCCAAGGUUCAGUACAACUUUAUUCUCUAUGGUCCAUGACUCUAAUCAUUUUCUAAAAGGGACAAAGCCUUAUAAAGUGGGGGAACCUUUUGGUGGUGACCAAUGUGGGACAAUAAAAUAUCUUUCUAAAAAGAACAAAGCCUUAUAAAAUGAGGGAACAUUUUGGUGGUGACCAAUGUGAGACAAUGAAAUAUCUACUUAAAAUUUCCAACAGAAAGUGUAUAAUCAGAUUAGUAUUGACCCGGUUUCUCUUAAAGACAGUCUUGUAUCAUUUUAUUUAGCCUUUUCUUUACUGGUUUUACCAAGUUUGGCUUUUUUUAUUGAUACGAAAAAUAUUUUACAUUAAUUCAAUAUAGACUGUGAGGUGAAGAAUUUGAACUCGGUUGCAUAGGGAUAACAACAUUUGCUUUAGCCAACAUGGCUAUGCCUGCGUUUGCUACAUGUUUUUACCAAGAUUAACAUAAGAGAUUGAUCCUUCUAGUUUUGAGGUAGGCUUGAUUCAUAUGAAUAUUUGAUUAUUUUUCCGUUUUUUGUAUUGCAGGUUUCAUUCCUAAGAUGUCUCCAGUUUCAGGCGAAAUGAAUGUUUGCGAUGGUGAGUUUGAGUUUUGUCAUUAAAGGUUAAAAUUCGUGAGAAAUAUUUUUGUUUUUGGACAUUACAAAGGGUUAGAAAAUUAGGAAAGGAAGAACCAUUUGUCAUAUAUAUUUAUAGUGUAAUGCCGUGUUUAAAAUGGUAACUUAGAAUCCUAUAUUGACACUAAGACAAUCUCCAACUCCUGCGUUAAAACCUAAAACUUUUAACCCGUUGUCGAUGCACAAAACCGGAGAUCUUGAAACAACGUAAAUCCGACCGUGAAUCUGCAAGUAAUGUAAAUGACACAAGAUGUAUCGUGGUUCACCCCAAGGUUUGGGCUACGUCCACAUUGAUUAUGUAUUUAUUUGAGGUGUUAUGGAAGUGAGGGAGAGAGAUUCAGAGCCUCUGAGGGAGAGAGUGAGAUCUCUGAUGGCCUAUGAAUUGGCCUCUUCUAAUUGUGAGGGUGAUGGGUCAUUUUAUAGAAUAAGGACUCCUCACUUAUUAAAUAUUUGCCCAUUCCUUUAUCACAUAAUUACAUUUAAGUCCCCCGAGUAUUUGUACGAGAUCUAAAUAUGAGGCCCUAAAUAUGGUAUAAAUAGUAGUCCCCCAAGUCUUCAGUCAAGAGAGUUUUUUGGUUGGAGACUUGAAAUUUAGUCCAUGUGUGGGCCGAAGUAACUAGAUGUUGCCUUGAACUGAUGUUCGAUAUAAGGCAGUGCUCAAUCUGAAAUGAUGCUUAACUAGAAGUAGCACAUGCUGCGAGGCUGCUCGGCUUGUGACUUAUGUUGCCUUGGUUGGCUCGGCUUGUGGCGUUUAAGGUGAGGGAGUCUCUUUUAUAGAAUAAGGGUUCGCUCCUCAAUACAUAAGUGAUGAGAUAGAGUUGAUGCUCGCGGCGAGGCGGUUGCUCAAUAGGUGGCGUUGCUCUCUAAUGAACGUGAGGGAGUCCCUUUUAUAAAAUAAGGACUCGCUUCUCAAUACAUAAACGAUGGGCUAGAGUUGAUGCUCUCUAAUAAUGGUGAGGGAGUCCCUUUUAUAAAAUAAAGGCUCGUUCCUCAAUACAUAAAUAAUGGGCUAGAGUCCCCCAAGUAUUUUUCAUGAGGCCCAAUAUAUGGUACAUAGUGUAGUCCCCCAAGUCUUCGGUCAAUAGAGUCUGUUGGCUGGAGACUUUAAAUUGAAUCCAUGUACGGGCCAAAAUAGUGGUUGUUUAGAAGCGGUCUUUGUAGACCAUGCACUGAAGCUUUGUAGGUGAAGCUUUGAAGUUGGAGCUUUUGUAAAUGAAGCUUUUGAUGCUACAGCUCUGUAAAUGAAGCUUUUGAAGCUAGAGCUUUUGUAAAUGAAGCUUUUGAAGCUGAUUGACGUGAGUGAUGCUCAUGAAUGUUUAUGUUGAUUAACAUGAGUGAUGCUCAUGCUCAUGGAUGUUGUCAUGAGUGAUGCUCAUGAAUAUUGACAUGAGUGAUGCUUAUGAAUGUUUAUGUAUGAUUGAUAUGAGUGAUGCUUAUGAAUGUUUAUGUAUGAUUGACAUGAGUAGUGCUCAUGUAUAAUUUUGAAGUAUUGGGCGUACUUUUGAUCACCUGGUUGGUGGUAAUAGCGGCAGGCUGCCGAAUAAAUUUGGAGUACUGAGCGUACUUUGAUCACCUGGUUGGUGGUAAUAGCGGUAGGUUGCUGAAUAAUUGUGGAGUACUGGGCGUACUUUUAAUAGCCUGGUUGGAGCUAUUUUGGGCAUAUGGGUCUUCGCCCUCCACAUGACAUUGCAUCCUAUUAUUUUGGGCUUGCUUUUUUUUUUUAAUUUUUUUAUUACCCUCUGGUGGGGUUUAUACAGAUGUCUCCGAAAGAUAAGAAAAAUAAAUUACAUCAUUCAAAAACAAGAAAAGUAAAUCACAUCAUUCUGGUGGGGUGUUUAUUCCUUACUUUUGCUUUCUGCUUUUACUUUUCUCUUUCUGCUUUUGCUUUCUCUUUUUUGCUACAUGGUCUACGAGUCCUCCGUAAUUAUCUCUGGUCCUCCCUCACUUUUUUUCUUCUUCUUUUUAAUGCUUUUCCAAUCACUUCCCAUGUGAAAAUCCACUAUGGUACUUUGAAAAAGCAUCUAAAUUUGUUUGACAUUGUCCCACGCGGGGGCUUUGCUGGUAUUGCCCAAUACUAGGGUGUUGCUGGUAUUGCGCAUAACUGAAUCUAUAACAUGUACCUCUCGCUCCAUCGCUUCAAUUUUCACUAGAGGUGAAACAAAGAACUGGGAAAAUCUUCUCAAGGCACCCUUAAGAAACUCUGGCUUCACUUCAAAAUGGUAGAAGGUAUGAUCUGCUUCUGUGUAUGCAUUUGAUGAACCUCCAUGCUUGGACAAGUAACUAUCAUACUCAUUUUCAUCUGGACACCCUGUACUCCCUAUGAAGAGCAUGUGUUUUAGAAAAAUGCGCAAGCCCCUUUCCACGCUUUGUGUAUCCAGCCUCGUGAAGAUAUUGGGGUAUCUGUGUAGUUUUUCUAGAACCGGUUUCACCAACAAUAACAAGGACCUGAUGUUUUUCAAUAGCAGCGAGCAAUGAUUCACGGUAUGUGUAGAUGGGUAAUGUUUUUCUAUCUUCUCGAAGCUUCUCUAAGGCUGAUUUCGCCCUCGACUCAAGUAACUUUGAGGGUUCCCCAUCCUCAUCAAACUUAUCACCAUCCAUCACCGAUGCCUUGAUAAACUCAAUCUGGUCCUCAAAUACAAAUCUCUGCUUCCUAUCUCAACGUACAUUGCUGCUGCUGCUUUCUUAGUCUGAGAACCUCCUCCCUUCCUGCUUCCGGUUAUCGGCAGUCGGCGGCGGCUUCUGAGCUGACAUUGGUUCCGUGCUCGCGCUUGCACUCGCGUUGGAGCCUCCUGGCGACGACAUCAGUGACAUCUCACACGCUAGAGCUUCCUGGCGUUGUUGGGUUUUGAGCUGGAGCCAACGAUAGAGGCAGAUUUGUUGUCGGUCGGAUCGGUAUGAUCGAUGACGUGGCCUUGAGGAGAACACGAUAUGGCGGACCAGUUGCAUGGAUUGGAGUGGUGGAGGUUCCAGUGUGAGGAGAAUGAGGGUGGCGGUGAAGUAGAGGAGUGGAGCCAGGAGAAGAGAAGGGUGGUUUCGGGGUUUCCGGCUGAGGCAAAAGUGGGUGUGUAAAUAACAGAAGAGUGGGAGGAAGAGGCGCCUAAGGGGAAGGAUUGCCUUGAGCUGGGCCGCAACACUGUAAACAUUUUCCUCAUUUUCCAAACCUUUCUUCUCGGGUUGUAUCAUUUGGGUUUUGCAGAUUUUGCGGAUUCACGGUGGAGGUGAAAAAAUGAGAGAGAACCGACACAGCUUUUCGUGUCGUUUCCCACAGACGGCGCCAAAUGUUGAUGCACAAAACCAGAGAUCUUGGAACAACGUAAAUCUAACCGUGAAUCUACAAGUAAUGUAAAUAACACAAGAUGUAUCGUGGUUCAUCCCAAGGUUUGGGCUACGUCCAUACUGAUUAUGUAUUUAUUUGAGGUGUUAGGGAAGUGAGGGAGAGAGAUUCAGAGCCUUUGAGGGAGAGAGUGAGGUCUCUGAUGGCCUAGGAAUUGGCCUCUUCUAAUUGUGAGGGUGAUGGGUCCUUUUAUAGAAUAAGGACUCAUCAGUUAUUACAUAUUUGCCCAUUCCUUUAUCACAUAAUUACAUUUAAGUCCCCUGAGUAUUUGUACAAGAUCUAAGUACGAGGCCCUAAAUAUGGUAUAAAUACCCGUAAUAUUUAGGUUUUAACACAUAAACAACUUUUCUCGUUUAAUCCUUCUAGAUUAAAUUUUUAGCCCGAAAUUAUUAAAGAAUGAAUUUAGGAUACUUUUUUUUUUCUUAAACUAACAUUAAAAAAAAAUUAUGUAUACUAUCCUAAUUUAAUUUUUUGAACAUUUUAACGUCAAAACAUUUAGAUUCCGAUAAAUAUUAAAAAAUCAAUAAACCGACAUCAUGAAACACUAUGAAAGAAUAUGAAACACAUAAAAUAAUUUUUUAAAUUACUAUAACAAUUAGAUUUAAAUUUGGACCGUUUAGAUUUUUUUUACCAUUGGAUUUUGUUGAUGCACAAAAUUAGUGGAAACUUCGGUACAACAGAAAAUGUUAAGUUUAUGACAUUCGCUAGAUUUCUCCGGUCACUAGUGUUGAUAUGUAUGUAAAUGGAUAGAGAUAGGGAAGCAAACACAAGAUGUACGUGGUUCACCCAGAUUGGCUACGUCCAUGGAGUAGAGGAGUUCUCAUUAAUUGUGAAGGGUUUACACAAGUACAUAGGUUCAAGCUCUCCUUUAGUGAGUACAAGUGAAUGAUUUAGUACAAAUGACAUUAGGAAAUAUUGUGAGAUAAUGAUCUUUAUUUAUAGAAGAGAGUUUCUAGUUUCAUUCUAACAUUGACACGUGUCGUGUUGUGAUUGGCUUCUGAUGUUGACACAUGUCGCGCUAUGAUUGGCUUCUGAUGUCGACACGUGUCGCGCUAUGAUUGGCCUCCUGGUUGGAGGGAAACUCUUCUGGGUCCUUGACAGUAUAACGUUAACCGGUGCUCAGUAGUUUCGGGAUUGGUCAAGUAUGGUACAAACAGUGCUCCCCUAAGUUCCCGAGUGAGGGAAUCUCCACGGUUGGGGACUUGCAAGAUCCAAGCCAUUCACGAAACUUCUAAGUACUGAAGUGUGGUAUCAUUUUCACUUGCCUUAUCUGUCUCAUACGUAGCUGUGGCAUCUUCUCUGGAAGUACUUUUCCUCCAUCCAGGGGUGGUAUCUUUAACCGAUGAAGAUGCACAAGGUAAUGUAUCAAUUUCACUUGAAGCUUACUUGUAGUUUCGGCUUGGUCAAGUGCGAUACAAAACCCUAUAGUAGAAGUCCCCCAAGUCGCCGAGCUAGGAGAUUUGCCGAAAGAGGUAACAGACAAGGUAAGCAAUCAGACUUCCAAGCAAGCAACCUGGAUUGGAGGUUCGACUUCGGAUUCUGGUUGAUUGUUCUCCUUCUCCUUGUGUCGUAAACAGCAACAAGGAUAAGGAGAAGCAAAUGGAGAAGAGAUGAUAUAAGAUACUUUUGCUUUUGAAGAAGUAACUUUCCACAGGCUUAUUCUUGAACUGGGCUGGAGGGUUUUCUGGUUUCUUCCAGAGUAUAAGGCCAACUCAAGAAUUUGAGGGUCAAAACAAGUCCAUCAAAUCAAGAGUGCGUUUGACCUUGAUGAUAUGGGAUACUUUUGCUGUUGACGAAGUAAUACAUGAAUCGGCACAUGUUCCGUUGCGCUUGUCUCCACAUGCUUCCUUGUAUCCUUCUCACUUGUCCUAUCUGUUCCUCAUGCAGAUGUGGUAUCUUUUCUGGAAGUAUAAGAUGUUAAAGAUGAGUACUCGAGAGCAAUGCCAGGUAAGUAAUCAGGCAAGGGGUUCCAGGUAGUUAGUUCAUGACUGGAAGCUUGAUUUCAAGUGCUAACUGAUUGCUCUCUUUCUCCUUGUCUUGCAGGUAAGAACAAGGGCAAAGGAAAAGACAGGGAAAAAGCAUGAUAUGAGAUACUCUUACUUUUGACCCUGAUUAUAUGAGAUACUCUUGCUCUGGUGUGGCUGGUUUGCAUAGGUAUUAUUGGGGGGGGGGGAAGAAAACUGAGUAUUUUGAGAGUCUUCGUUGGGAGUGCCCUCUCAGAUAUGAGGAAGGGUUGAGCAUUUUUGCAGGUCUGCCUGUCCGUGGAGGAUGGAUGUCGACAUAUAUAGGAGUCUCCCUAACAACAAGUAGUAAUGCUAUUCCUUUACCCUUCUUGGUCGUAGCAAUGUUAUGGGAGCUGCAAGUUUAACGUGUUUUAACUUUGUCAGAGCACUUUGAAAAAGUGGUAUGUGGUAUCUGGAAAACUGAUGUUGCGUGUGAAGAUUACAGACAAGCUUUAUCCAAGGGAAUCUGGCUCUCGAAGUUCAGAGAGCGAUGCCUCUUCGGUUUUCGAACAACCAAUCAUGUCGGGAAUGUGGCUCUCAAGAUUCGAAGAACGUGCCUCUUAGAUUUUUGAGAAAACAAUCCUGUUAGGAGUCUAGCUCUUGAUAUUCGGAGAGCAGUGCCUCUUUGAUUUUUAAGAAAGUAAUCCUAUUGGGAGUCUGGCUCUUGAGAUUUAGAGGGCGGUGCCUCCUCGAUUUUUGAGCAAGUAAUAAUGAUAUUCCUUUACCCUUCUUGGUCAUAGCAAUGUAGUGGGAGCUGUAAGUUUCACAUGUUUUAAAUUUGUCCGAGCGUUUUGAAAAAGUGGUCUGUGGUAUCUAGAAAGCUGAUGUUGCAUGUGAAGAUUGCAGACAAGCUUUAUCUAUGAAAAUCUGGCUUUCGAAGUUCGGAGAGCGGUGCCUCUUCGGUUUUCGAACAAGCAAUCCUGUCGGGGAUCUGGCUCUUGAGAUUCAGAGAAUGGUGCCUCUUCGAUUUUUGAGAAAGCAAUCCUGUUGGGAGUCUGACUCUUGAAAUUCGGAGAGCAGUGUUUCUUCGAUUUUUGAGAAAGUAAUCUUGUUGGGAGUCUGGCUCUCGAGAUUCGAAGAGUCAUGGCUCUUUGAUUUUUGAGCAAGCAAUCUUGUUAUGAGUGUUUUCUCGAAUGUGAGUAAAGGUUAGACAUUUUUGCCAGUCUACCUUGCCACGGAGCACGGAGGUUGACACACAUUGGGACUUUUUAGUUAUCAAGCGGUGGUGCUGUUCCUUUACCCUUGUGGGUAAUAGUAGGGUAGCUGGAUCUUCAAAAUUUAUGUGUCUAAACUAUGUCAGAGAUCUUUGGCAAAGUAAUAUGUGGUACCCGAUGAGCUGAUGUUGCCUGUGGAAAGUGGUGCCUCUUCAAAAUCCGAAGAGUGGUGCCUCUUUGAUUUUUGAACCAACGGCCCUGUUGCCAUUUCUUUUAUAAGGGCACCAAUUGUGUGCAAGAAGUACAUUCAGAGAGUUAUUGCUUGUAGGAAUUUUCCCCUUACUUCAGAGAUUUAUUGCACCUCAUUUCUUCUUCAUCAUUUCUGAUAAUGUCUGGCCCAUCCGACCGUCGCUUUGACUUGAACUUUGGUGAAGAGGCAGCCAUGCCUUCUCAAGACAACAUAUGGCGCCCAUCCUUCUUAUCUCCUACUGGUCAUCUUACCAUUGGGGACUCUGUGAUGAAGAAUGAUAUGAUCGCUGCGGUGGUGGCUAGGAACCUUCUCACUUCCAAAGUUAACAGACUAUUUUCCAAACGGUCUGAUGAGUUGGCUGUUAAGGAUUCUCUGGCUCUCAGUGUUCAGUGUGCAGGUUCUGUGUCUAAUAUGGCCCAACACCUAUUUUCUCGAACCCGCCAAGUUGAAUCAUUGGCGGCUGAAGUGAUAAGUCUCAAACAGGAUAUCAGAGGGCUCAAGAAUGAGAAUAAACAGUUGCACAGGCUCGCACAUGACUAUUCUACAAACAUGAAGAGGAAGCUCGACCAGCUGCAGGAAUCUGAUGGUCAGAUUUUACUUGAUCAUCAGAGGUUUGUGGGUUUAUUCUAAAGACAUUUAUUGCCUUCGUCUUCUGGGGCUGUACUGCGUAAUGAAGCUCCAAAUGAUCAACCUUCGAUGCCUCCUCCUUCUGGGUUUCUGCCUAGUACUGAGGCUCCGAAUAAUCACCCUCUGGUGCCUCAUUUUUCUAGGGCUCUGCUGACUGCUGAGACUUCUCCUGAGCAACCUUUGUGAAGGCUCUCUCUUGUUUGUUUAUUUUGAUUCAUGUAUUUGUACAUAUUUGUAACUUAUCGGAGAUAUCAAUAGACAAGUUUUGCUUCAUUUCAACGUAUUGUGUUAAAUACACCAAGGCCUUCUUCACUAAGUUCUUUGAAUUUUUCCUUUUGUUGAAGCUUGUAUGUUGAAGCUUUGUGAGUGAAGCAUGUAGGUUGAGGUAGUGCUCCCUUAAUUUCCCGAGUGAGGAAAACUUCUCGUUUGGAGACUUGAAAAAUCCAAGUUACUGAGUGGUCGUGAGACUUCCGAGUAUCAAGGUGCAGUAACAUAUGGUAAGAGUCCCCCAAGUCUCCGGUCAAAGGAGUUGACGAAUGAGGCAUUUCCUUUCUAAGUGGUAGCCCAAAACUCCUUCUUCAUAUAUAUUUGUUAUGAAAGUUAUUAGGCCCAAAGAAGAGGAGGUCUAAGCAAAUUUUUUUUUCGAAUUUUCGAAUUUUUGAAUUUUCCAAUUUCCGAAAAAAAAUAUAUAUAUAUUUUUAAAGCUUUGUAGGUGAAACUUUGAUGUUGAAGCUUUGUAGGUGAAGCUUUGAGGUUGAAGCUUUGUUGGGCACCAUGAAUUGAUUUUGCUUCACACUAUCUUGAUCAAGAUAGUGUGAAGCUUUUGUAGGUGAAGUUUUUGUGUUGAAGCUUUGUAGGUGAAGCUUUUGUGGGUGAAGCUUUUAUAGGUGAAGCUUUUGUGGGUGAAGCUUUUAUAGGUGAAGCUUUUGUGGGUCAAGCUUUUGUGGGUCAAGCUUUUAUGGGUCAAGCUUUUGUAAGUCAAGCUUUUAUGGGUCAAGCUUUUGUGGGUCAAACUUUUGUGGGUGAAGCUUUUGUAGGUCAAGUUUUUGUGGGUCAAACUUUUGUGGAUCAAGCUUUUGUGGGUGAAGCUUUUGUAGGUGAAGCUUUUGUGGGUCAAGUUUUUACGGGUGAAGCUUUUGUGGGUCAAGCUUUUGUAGGUGAAGCUUUUGUGUUGAAGUUUUUGUGGGUUAAGCUUUUGUGUUGAAGCUUUAGAGUUGAAGCUUUGUAGGUGAAGUUUUGGAGUUGAAGCUUUUGCUAGGUACCAUGAAUUGAUUUUGCUUCACACUAUCUUGAUCAAGAUAGUGUGAAGCUUUUGAGAAUUUGUAGUUGUCCUCCAUUGAUGAAACUUUGUUGAAUUUUUUUUUUUUUUUUUGGGAAACUAGAAAUUUGAAAAUAUGGGAGACACAACAUAUACAAAUUUUGCUUCCAUACUGUUGAGCAAGAGAUUGUGAUGCAAGCCACACCUUGUAAUAGUUGAAGGUUUGGAUGAACCAUAUAAAUUGAAUUUGCUUCGAAGGUCUGAGAAUUGUAGUUGCCCUCCAUUGAUAAAGCUUUUGUUGGCACCAUAAAUUGGUUUUGCUUCACACUAUCUUGAUCAAGAGUGUGUGAAGCUUUUGAGAAUUGUGGUUGAACUCAUUUGAUGAAGCUUUUGUUGGCACCAUAAAUUGGUUUUGCUUCAAACUGUCUUGAUCAACAGUGUGUGAAACUUUUGAGAAUUGUGGUUGCUCUCCAUUGAUAAAGCUCUUGUUGGCACCGUAAAUUGGUUUUGCUUCACACUGUCUUGAUCAAGAGUGUGUGAAGCUUUUGAGAAUUAUGACUGCCCUUCAUUGAUGAAGCUUUUGUUGGCACCAUAAAUUGGUUUUACUUCACACUGUCUUGAUCAAGAGUGUGUGAAGUUUUUGAGAAUUGUGAUUGCCCUCCAUUGAUGAAGCUCUUGUUGUUGGCACCAUAAAAUUGUUUUGCUUCACACUGUCUUGAUCAAGAGUGUGUAAAGCUUUUGAGAAUUGUGGUUGCCCUCUAUUGAUGAAGCUCUUGUUGGCACCAUAAAUUGGUUUUGCUUCACACUGUCUUGAUAAAGAGUGUGUGAAGUUUUUGAGAAUUGUGGUUGAACUCCUUUGAUGAAGCUCUUGUUGGCACCAUAAAUUGGUUUUGCUUCACACUGUCUUGAUCAAGAGUGUGUGAAGCUUUUAAGAAUUGUGGUUGCCUCCAUUGAUGAAGUUCUUAUUGGCACCAUAAAUUGGUUUUGCUUCACACUGUCUUGAUUAAGAGUGUGUGAAGCUUUUGAGAAUUGUUGUUGAACUCCUUUGAUGAAGCUCUUGUUGGCACCAUAAAUUGGUUUUACUUCACACUGUCUUGAUCAAGAGUGUGUGAAUCUUUUGAGAAUUGUGAUUGGCCUCCAUUGAUGAAGCUCUUGUUGGUACCAUAAAUUGGUUUUGUUUCACACUGUCUUGAUCAAGAGUGUGUGAAGCUUUCUACGAGUUGUAGUGUUUGCAUUGUUACAGAGGGGAAAUGUUUGAAGCAGAUGCAAGAGGGCUGAAUAGCUUAAUUUUCGUAUGCAAUACACUAAAGUUGUUGUUAGCUUGCAAUAAAACUUUGUUGGUGACCAUAACUCUUGUUGGGCAUAAGUGCUCCCAUAGUUCAGUUGUCAAGUUUGAGGGUUUUUGAUUAUUUGUGAAUGCUAGGAGUUCACAUGUACAAGUUGUACCACUCGUCUUCUGGUAGGUGGAAUGAAUGGUAAGUUGCUUUCAUCACUUGGUUGGUGGUACGAAUGUGAGUUCUUUCUUCCCCUGGUUAGUGGCAUGAAUGGCAAGUUGCCAAAUGAUAUUAGAGUACAGGUUGUACAUUUCAUCACCUGGUUGGUGGCAUGAAGGAUAGUACAAGUUGUAUACUUCAUCACCUGGUCGGUGGCAUGAAGGAGAGUACGGGGUUGUACAUUUCAUUACCUGGUUCGUGGCAUAAAUGGCAAGUUGCCAAAUGAUAUUAUAGUACGGAUUAUACAUUUCAUCACCUGAUUGGUGGCAUGAAGGAGAGUACGGGUUGUACAUUUCAUCACCUGGUUGAUGGCAUGAAGAUGAGUUCCUUCUUCACCUGGUUGGUGGCAUGAGUGGCAAGUUACCAAUUGAUAUUAGAGUACGGGUUGUACAUUUCAUCACCUGGUUGGUGGCAUGAAGAUGAGUUCUUUCUUCACAUUUAAUUACCUAGUUGGUGAGAAUAAGGGCAAGGUGUCUAGGCACAUUGUAGCAAGUGUCGAAUGACACAAAAUAUGUUGAACCCUUUCAAAGCACAGUUAGCUUAUGUAUGAAUGUGUUGGAAUGUAUGAUUGAACGAAUAUUCUAUGAAGCUGCUCGUUUAUUUGUAUAGUCUUGUUGACAUAUACUUAGACUUUGUUUCAUGUUGGAAGCAUUCAUGUUGAAGCUUUGAAUCCGAGUGUUUCAUUGCUAGGAAUGUAAGAAGAUUAGGAUCGAGUUGUCUAAAUCACCUUUUUAUUGAAUUCAUGCCAAAUAGUCUUCGUUACAUAGGAUGCCGAAAGGCUGAAGCUUAACACUUGUACAAUGUGAGUUUACUUGUAAUAGUACUUCAAGUGAUCAGCGUUCCAUGGAUGGCCAAGGGUCUAGCCAUCAGAGCUUCUAAGCUUGUAGGAGCCAGGGUGACUGAUGCCAACAAUUUCAAACGAUCCAUCCCAGUUUGGACUAAGUGUUAUUUCACUCGGGACUCUGUCGCAGAGUAAUCUUUUCUUUAAUACCUAGUCCCCUACUUUGGAAGAACGAGGUUUGACCCUUGAGUCAUAGUAAUUGGAGAUGCGCUGCUUGUAGGUGACAUUCUUCAAGUGAGUCUGGUUUCUGUGUUCCUCGACUAGAUCUAAAUUGAGGGUAAGUUGUUUGUCAUUUUCUCUUUGCACGUAGUUCUGGACUCGGAACGUUGCUUGCUCAAGCUCAACUGAGACAAUUGCCUCUGUACCAAAGGCAAGUGAGAAUGGGGUUUCUCCUGUUGAUGUCCGAUACGAAGUGCGGUAUGACCAAAGAACUUGGGGUACAAAUUCUGGCCAACAACCUUUAGCCUUGUCCAAGCUGGUUUUCAAAGUUCGCUUGAUUAUUUUGUUGAGGGCUUCAACUUGUCCAUUAAACUAGGGAUGAGCUGGGGAGGCAAAACAUAAGUUGAUGUUGAACUUAAAGUAGAACAUCAUGAACUUAUUGUUGUCGAACUGUCGUCCGUUGUCAGUGACUAUCGCAUUGGGAAUGCCGAAUCUGCAAAGGAUGUUCUUCUAUACGAAGUCUUCUAUUUUUGCCUAAGUAAUGGUUGCCAAGGGUUAUACUUCGGCCCCUUUUGUGAAGUAGUCAACUGCUGCAACGAUUGCAUAGCGAACCUUGCCCUUCCCUGCAAGCAUUGGGCAGAUCAAAUCAAGUCCACAUUAAGUGAAGGGCUAAAGGCUGAUCAUAGGAGUGAGCGACUCGGAAGGGGAGUGAGGAAUAGUUGCGUAGUGUUGACAUUUAUCACAUGAACGAGAUAUUCUGAUGGCAUCUUAGUGGAGUGUUGGCCAGUAAUAUCCUUGGUGAAAAAUCUUGUGUGCUAGAGAUCGAGAUCCAGCAUAAUCUAUGCAGACUCCUUCAUGCAUUUCCCAAAGGACAGUUUCUGCCUCUGCGGGCGUAAGGCAUCUUAGGUAUGGUAGGUUAAAACCCCGCUUGUAGAAUUGGUCAAUAAUGAUCAAGUAACGGGUAGCCUUGUAUCGAAUCUGCUUAGCUUGGACUUUGUCAUUUGGAAGGGUGCCGUGAGCAAGGAAUCUAUAAAUCGGGGUAAUCCAACUAUCUCCUUGUUGUAAGUUGCACACUUCCGCAGCCAUGGUGCUUGGUGCUGCCAACAAUUCGACCUGAUUUUUUCUCCCAAUCUUGUCUUCCACCGCUGAGGUGAGGUGAGCCAAAGCAUCUGCAUGACUGUUUGCCGCUCGAGGAAUUUGGGUGAUCUGGUAGUGGAAGUGCUUGAGCAACAAUUGUGGUUGUGCCAUAUAUGCUGCCAUGGAGCUAUCCUUAGCGUCAAAGUUGUUGGUGACCUGGUUAACCACCAAUUGGGAGUCACUAAAGAUAUCAAUUUGUUUAACCCCAAGGUGUUUGGCCAAACAUAAGCCUGCUAGGAGGGCUUCAUAUUCGACCUCAUUGUUUGACGCCUUGAAUUUGAAACGAAGAGCAUACUUCAUCGCCACUUUGUCAGGGGUCGUAAGGACUAAUCCUGCUUCACAACCCUGUUGGUUGGACGAGCUAUCAACAUAUAGACUCCAUGCUGGGGCUGUUGGUUCUAUUUUCUGAGCUUCCGAUGGUAAUGUAACCACUUCUUUAGGUGUAGAAACAAUGUCAACAGGAUAUGUGAAGUCGGCAAUGAAGUCUGUCAUUGCUUGGCCCUUUUCAGCUGGCUUUGGUUGGUAGGAGAUGUCAAACUCACAUAAUGUUUUCGAGCAGACAUGACCAAUGCUAAAGCUAAUUUCUCAAUGUUGGAGUAUCGUGUCUCCGCAUCUUGUAAAGCCUUGCUAACGUAUUAGACAUGCCGUUCGACAUUACCAUCAUUUCAAAUGAGAACGGAAUUUACUGCUGAAGCCGAUACCGACAGAUAGAUAAUGAGAGUGUCACCAACCUCAGGUUUGGAGAACAAAUGGGCUUUACUCAUGUAGUCUUUGAGGUUCUUGAAUGUCUUAGCACAUUCAUCAGUCCAUGUAAUGUACUUCUUACUUCCCUUAAGUGCUUUGAAGAAAUGAGCACAUCUGUCUGUGGCCUUAGAAAUGAACCUAGUUAAGGCUGCCACCUUGCCAGUAAGGCUCUGGAUGUCUUUUGAAGUUACCGGUCCCUUCAUGUCGAGGAUUGCUUUGAUUUUCUUGGGAUUAGCCUCAAUACCUCGUUGGCUUAUCAUAAAGCCUAAGAAUUUGCCAGAGCCUACGCCGAAGGCACAUUUGUUGGGGUUCAACCUCAUUCGAUACCUCUUCAGAAUGGUGAAAGUUUCAGAUAGGUUGGUGAUGUGUUGGUCAGCAUGUUUGCUCUUGACUAGCAUAUCAUCAACGUAAACUUCCAUGUUCUUCCAAAUCUGUUCGGCGAACAUUGAAUUGACCAAUCUCUGAUAAGUCGUUCUUGCAUUCUUUAGGCCGAAAGGCAUGACUUUAUAACAAUAGUCCCCUGUCAGUAGUGAAGGUUGUGUGUUCUUGGUCUGGAGGGUUCAUGAUGAUUUGGUUGUAUCCUGAGUAAGCAUCCAUGAAGCUUAAGAGUUCACACCCUGUCGUAGAGUCUAUAAGUCUGUCUAUGAGAGGAAGAGGAAACCUAUCAUUCGGGCAUCCUUUGUUUAGGUCGGUGUAAUCGACACACAUUCUCCCCAAGACCUUUUGGAGUAGGAGACUUUCCUUGGUCGGAUUCUUCUUAACAAGGACAACAUUUGCUACCCACGUUGGAUAAUUGACUUCGCGGACGAAGCCUAUGCCUUUGACUUUUUCAACUUCUGCCUUUAUUGCCUCGUACUGUUCAGCGUCAUUAGAUAUUCGCUUCUAUCUUACUAGCUUGGUCUUGGGGUCAAUACUUAAGCGAUGACAGAUUAUAUCGGGAGAGAUGCUUGGCAUGUCCUCGUAUAACCAGGCAAAAACCUCAGUGUUCUCUUGCAAAAAAAAGAGAUCAAUGCCAACCGAAUGGGCGGUGACAAGGUGGUACCAAUCUUCACCAUGCGAUCCGGAUAAUCUUUUGAGAUAGAGACAUUCUCUAACUCUUCAGCGGGUUAUGCUUGCUGGGUGAAAGAGUCAUCUCAAGGAUAGUCGGAUUAACUAUUGCCACUGUGAAGAUCCAAGUUGGCUUCAUCUGGGCUGGUCUUUAUGACUUGGUCAUGUAUAGAAAGGGUUUCCUUGGGCACAUACAAGUGUUGUUGCUUGACCGAAGUGUUGUAACAUGAUCGUGUACUAAGUUGAUUUCCUCUUAUGUAACCAUUGCCAUAGGGGGUUGGAAAUUUCAUCAACAACAUAUGUGUGGAUACCAUGGCCUUGAGAUCAUUGAUGCCUAUGCGUCCGAAGAUGACAUUGUAUUCCAUUGGGCAAACCACCACCCGGAAGUUAGUGGUAAUGGUAGCUGUGUAAGGGCCUGUACCAAUGGUGAAAGGUAAGUGUAUGCUUCCCAAAGGUUGCACGAUAUCACCGGAGAAGUUUAUCAGAGGGGAAAUCGAGUGGUCGAGCAAGUAUUCAGCUACAUUAAGUGCCCUGAAAGCUUCAGCAAACAUGAUAUUGACCGAAGCCCCCGUGUCUACCAGGAUUCGUCGUACUUCAAAGUUGGCUAUGUGAGCUUCCACGAUCAAUGGGUCGUUAUGAGGGUAGAUGAUACCUUUUUCUUCCUCAGGGUAGAAACAUAUUGGAUCCCAGUUAGGCUUUUGAUACUUACCUCCCCUGAUGUCUUCCACAUGAAACACUUGGUGGCCAGACCUUAAAGCUCGUUCACUAUUUUUCAUGGCCCUGUUGGAAGAUUUAAAUAUGGUUAUGCCACCACUUAUGGAAUAUGUCACAUUUAUCUGGCAUUGGUUACGGUUACCCCUUGAAGGGUGAAGGAGGAAUUGAUCAAUUUUUCCUUCACGUGCCAAAUCUUUAAUAUGAUCACGAAGGAUGAUACAUUUCUCGCCGUCAUGGCCGUUAUGUUCGUGGUAGCAGCAAAACGUGCCCGUCUUCUUCGUGGGCUUGUAAUUCGGGUGCCUCGACUUUAGCUUCGGUAUCAAGUGUGCUAUGCUAGGGUAAAUGGCCACGCAUGUGGCGUUCAAAGGUGUGUAUGCCUCAUACCUCGGGGUAGGGGUUGUCCUGACAUGUGCUUGACCCACUGUGUUAACUGCCUGGGGUCAGGGAUUAUCAUGACGAUACCCGUGGUUAUCGCGGUAGUGUCCCUUACUCAUUUUACUAAAAUGAGACUGGUGAGGAUGAAAAUCUUUCCUUUUGCCCUGAGAUUGAUAUGUUUGUUGACUUGGCAAAGUAUUAAGUAAAGCAGGGGGAGGCACCGCUGCCGUUUGGAAGGUCGAGGUUUUCUCAUUUGGUUGGAUCUGGCUUUCACUCCCUACUUGCUGAUAAGGGGUGGUUGUGGGGGGUUUCCCUUGAUAUGUCCUUGCCUCAACGAAGGCAUGGUUGUAAGCUUGUGCCAUCACCUCAGAGUAAGUUUUCCAAGUGUUGGCAUUGAUCAUGUACUUGAAGAAACAAUCACGUAGGCCUGCCGUGAAAGCCUUAAGGGCAGUCUUGUCAUCUGCCUCAGCGCAGCGAGAAUACUCAUGGCUGAAACGACCAGUAUACUCUCGUAGUAACUCGUCCGGCUUCUGGCGAAUACUGUACAAGUCAUCUGCAGAAUGCAAGCGAUUGGUCUGGAAGAUGUGUUGAGAGACAAACAGUUUCCUCAGUUCCUCAAAUGAGUCUACUGUCUCAGGUGGAAAACGGCAAUACCAGUUUAGAGCUCCGCCAGAGAGUGUGGAGGGGGAAGAGAAGACAUCGUUCUUCGUUGGUGUGCAUUUGAUAUGCCAUAGUGGACUUAAAGAGGUUAAGGUGUUCAAUUGGGUCAUCCCUUCCAGUAUAGAGUUGUAAACCAAGCUUUUGUUUUGUCUUCGCUUGAAAGGGGGUGUCAAAGAUCCUCUUUGUGAGAGGGCCAGUCCUGGGUUGAUUCCAGUCAGAUAUCUAGGCCUGACGUUCGGCCUUCAACUUGUUUACUUCCUCAAUGAGCUGUAGGACAAAAGGGUCUUGAGUGGAGUCAUGUACCACUGAGAUUUUCUUUCGUAAGUCUCCAUCGCCUCUUGGAAGUAGAAAGUUUGAGUAAGGGCGUGUGAUUUUUCCUUGGACUCGCCGUACUGACUUCUAGGGCGAGUUUUUUGGAAUACCUCAGAGUCCCCUGUACCUUCAUGUUCCUCUAGGACAUGUCGUUCCUUCCCUAGAUUGGUAGCUGGCCUGGGUCGUGGGAGGGGACCAAGUCUUUCAGAAACCCUUGGGUCAUUGAUCUUCGAGCAUAUGUGGAGGGGAUUCUCUCGACGUUGCUUUAGGAAGUCUCGGCAGUCACGAUAAACGGCUUUUGAUCAUUCCAACCCUUCUGCAAGGAGGUGUCGUCCUCCACUUCUCCUGCUUCGGGUCGAAUCAAUUGGGUUGAGAGAAGUCUCAUGUUGAUCAAUGUUUUAAUGAUUAGCUCGCUCAUCAUCAGUGAUACCCAUGUCGAAGGAAGGUGACCCUCUGUGUUGGGGGGCACCCAGAUGAUGGUUGAUGUCCACAGGGGCAACAAGCUCGCGUGUUUGAGUACGCAUAGUUUCGUGAGCGUCUCAAAGAGCUUCUCAUACUGCUCCUGGAUGACCUUAUUCCUCAUUGCUAUCUUGUUGUUUUGAGCUUCUAGCUCAUCGACUUUAACUUGAAGAGCAACUCUCUUUCCUUCCUUCUUUCGUUGCUUCGCACUAGGUGCAAGAUGGGUGUCAUUCUGUGUGCUGUGGCUUCAUUUGCUCCCCAUGUUGGAGAGGGAUGCCUGGUCAAAAGAGAGUGUACAAAUGGUAGAAACCAGAUUGACAAAGCUGAAGAGAGUGGGAAUAAGUGUCGUUCCCACAGACGGCGCCAAAUAUUGAUGCACAAAAUCAGUGGGGACUUUGAUACAACAGAAAAUGUUAAGUUUAUAACCUUCGCUAGAUUGCUCCGGUCACUAGUGUGGAUAUGUAUGUAAAUGGAUAGAGACAAGGAAGCAAACACAAGAUGUAUAUGGUUCACCCAGAUUGGCUACAUCCACGGAGUAGAGGAGUUCUCAUUAAUUGUGAAGGGUUUACACAAGUACAAAGGUUCAAGCUCUCCUUUAGUGAGUACAAGUGAAUGAUUUAGUACAAAUGACAUUAGAAAAUAUUGUGAGAGAAUGAUCUCUAUUUAUAGAAGAGAGUUUCUAGUUUCAUUAUAACAUUAACACGUGUCGUGUUGUGAUUGGCUUUUGAUGUUGACACAUGUCGCGCUAUGAUUGGCUUCUGAUAUCGACACGUGUCGCGCUAUAAUUGGCCUCCUGGUUGGAGGAAAACUCUUAAGGGUCCUUGACGGCAUAACGUUGACCGAUGCUCCGUAGUUUCGGGAUUGGUUAAGUAUGGUACAAACAUAUUUAAUCAUAUUAGAUCUCAACCGUUGGAUUCAAUUAAUUUAUAAAUAUAAAAUUAAAAGAAAUAUACAUAUAUGAUGGGUCAGCCCCACUAACCCAGAUGAAAUAAUGGCCUAAAUUUGCCAUAGAAAUGAGUUAUGAGUUAAAAUUUAUAAUUGUUCCAAGAGUAAGAGCAAAUUGAAAUAAGUUUAGAAUAUAAAAUUUGAGUUUUAUUUUAAGAAUUGGAGUGAGUUGGAGUGGGUCCACGUGUACCUGUCCGAACUCCUUUUGGGAUUAAAUUAUUUCAAACUUUCGACAUUAGACAAAGAAAUUGUUUGGAACAACUAAUUAAAUAAUCAAAUAGACUCAUACGCCAAUGAUAAAAGAAAGCAGGACUUCCCUUUUAACUUUGUACGAAUCAUAAUACUUCAUGGUUAUUCACGAGCUUUAUUUGGGAAUAACUUUAAACAUUAUGAUGGAAAAAGACUAUCUCCAGAUCUCUUCCUUCCAAUUCAUCAAAUCAGGAAAUUCAGACUAUUAAAAUUUGAUUCAACGGCUAAAUUUAUUAUAACUUUUAAAGUGAGCUCCUAUUUGUAAUCAUUGAAUUAAAUUUUAAUAGUCCCCUGAUUUAAUGUAUUAGAAAGAAGAGAUCCGCAAAUGAUUCAUUUUCCAUUAUGAACAACCCUAAGAAUUUCUUCGUCACUCCUUUCAUAUCAGACAGCAUGUGGCGCAUAAAUGAUUAGCGACGUUAAGUGUUCGUACAGGGAUGACAGCAUUGGUAGCCUUUAUUUGUUGGACAAGGAUUGUCUGCCCUCCCACUUCCGAUGCUUUCCCGUGUCCUCCUGUUUUGUGUGGUUACGGUUAAGUCACGUCAACAUUUUAUAUUAUUUUUUUUAUAGAGAUAAUAAGACAAAAAUAAAUAAUAAUAUAAAAUGUUGAUAUGGCUUAACCGUGACCACACAAAUAAGAGGGCACGAGAGGACAUGAAAAGUGGGAGGACAGACAACUUGUCCUUAUUUGUUAGCAGCAGAAAAUAGUUCUUCUCUCAACGUCACUGUUUGUCGUCCAUGGUACGGUGAUUGUUCAAGGAAGCAUGUGAAUUCAUUUCUCAAUAAACUAUUAAUUGUUAGAAUUAAAUUCGCGCACAAUCAUUUGUAUAUGAACAAUCGAAUAGAAUAAGAUAACAUUAAUGUGCAUUAAAUUCGUGCACAAUCAUUUGUAUAUGAACAAUCGAAUAGAAUAAGAUAACAUUAAUGUACAUUGAGCUUAUAACAUUAAUGCCCUCUAUCUGUAGAUUUAGGACAAAUUUAUUUGAACUCCUAUAAUUUUACCUUACUCCCAAAUUAAACUUUAAAUAUGAAUUGUUUUAUGGAAAUAUUUAUUUGAACUCAUAUAAUUUCACACUACACCUAACAACUUUUAAAUGUGAAUUGUUGUUGAAUUUUUUAUGUGUAUUUCAUAUCAAAACAAUUACAAGAUGAAACAUUAUAUAGGAAAAGAAAAAGAACAUAAGCCUAACUUGCCUAACUUGCCUAACUUGCCUAAUUUCCUAACUUGCCUAACUUGCCUAAUUUACACAAAGAAGGUUGACUAGCCUAACUUCACUAGUCAUCCAACAUGUUUAUUUCAUGCAUGCAUUUUAACAAAAGAUAUGACUUGCAUGCAUUCCAACAAUUGUUUUCAGGAAACAUUUAUUUGAACCCAUAUAAUUUUACUCUACACCCAACUUAAACUUUAAAUGUAAAUUGUUUUAGGGUAAAUUACAUUUGGCAUCCUCAAGUUUGAGUGCAAUUACAAUCUCAUACAACAACUUUCGAAUAUUUUAAUCUCAUACAUUUACUUUUAUUUUAUUUCAAUGUUAUAAAAAUCUAUUAAGUUAACCGUUAAGUAAUGAUAUGGUAAUAAUGAUUUCCGUAUUUGUACACGUGACUACUAAACUUGGGUCACAUGGCCAAACCAUUAUUAAAAAAUAUUUAAUUAAAAAAAUUAGGUUUUUUUUUUAAUAAUUAAAAGCUUAAAAAUAGAAAAUGAAAAAAAAAAAAACCCCCAAAUCUGCUUCACCGCCAUUUCCACCCAACCUACUGCAAAUGCAGAGCCCCACCCUAACCUCAGCGUCUUCCUCAGUAAGAAUUUUUUUAUUUCUUUUAGCUUUUGGUUUAUGGAUUUAGCUGGGUUUUUGAGAAUUUGAAGUGGAACGGGUGGUUUAGGCUCUGCAUGUUGUCUGGGAAGAAAAUUGGGUGUGUUUGCUUAGAGGGAAAAUGAGAGAAAUUGGGUAGGAAUUCUCUGUUUCUGUACUGAGUGUGGAAAAUUAUGAUACGUUUUCAUUUUUUUGGCUUUUGGGAUGGAGAUUGACGGAUCUGGGGCGGGAUGCGGGCACAUCGGGGUUCGAAGAAAAAAAAUUGAAGACGUCAUCUGCUUACAGACGGGUUUGCCAUUGACGGACAAGAAGAAUCCAUAUGCGAUAGACUUUGCCGUCGGCCAUGGAAAUGGUGGCUCAAAGCUCUGUGAUGAAAGACUCGGACUGGCGUUGAAGUCGAGUAGAGACGCCACCAUACCCACCGCCGACGCAGCGGCGAUGCUCUGCUUUUUCGGCUUCUUUGCCUUCCUGGAAAGAGAAUGAAAGCUUGUUUCUCGGAAAAAUUGGGAUGGAAAUUUGGAAUUUGAUUUUUCAUCAUAGAGUAUAGAGUAUAGAAUGAAUUUUUUAAAGUGGCAAUAAUAUAUGCAUUGUUUAAAUUGGUAUAUAGUUAAAUUUGGAUUCUUUUUUUGGGGAUCCUAGGAAUCUCGUGAUCGGAACCGUUCAUUUCGUGAUCGGAACCGUUCAUUGUACAUUAUACUGUUAAAAAUUAUUUUAAAAUUUAAAAUUUAAAAUUAAAUAUAAAUAGUAACUAAUAAAAACUGACUGCACGACAUAUUAUGAACGAUCGCGAUCAUGGAUCUUUAAAAUCCCAAAACUUUGUUCUCAUUAAUUUGACAAGUCUUCCAAAAAAAAUUACUUCGAGAAGUCAACUGAUACAAGUAUUGUUUGAAAACAAUUUAAAAAGAAGAAAAAAACUGAUAAAACUUAGGGGAAAUUAACAGAAAUGAAAAAAACUGACAAAUAUUGUUUGUAAACAAUUUCAUUGUUUUUUGGUUUUUUUGGAAUACACAAUUUCAUUGUUUAGUUGCAUUUUAGAGGCAAACCUUAAAGAAACUUAGCUAGGAAGAAAACUCAGUCUGUAAAAUUUUCCCCUUUUCGUUCAAUGCAAUAAUUUCAAGACAUAUAACAGUAUAUGUAUAUAUAUACUAAACCUUGUUGAAUAAUCUUCAACUUAUUACGUGACAAUUUAACCAUGACACUAAACCUUGUUGAAUAGUCUUCAACUUAUUACAUGCCAAAUUGGCCAUAACUAAACCUUGUUGAAUAGUCUUCAACUUAUUACAUGCCAAAUUGGCCAUAACACUAAACAUUGUUGAAUAAUCUUCAACCUAUUACAUGAGAAAUUAAUCAAAAUCUUAAAGAAACGUGUCAUUCUGAUAUCAAAGAUAUCCAAUAUACGGUUGAAAUGUUGAAUUAUGAUCAACGCCCCUUGCUAGCUGAUCUUUCUUCCAGUAUUCGAAGGCCAACAUACCUGCCCAAAGAACAAAAUUUGGAGUGGGAAAACAACAACAAUAUAUUCUUAUUAUUCACGUCCAAACUAAGGAUUUAGUUACUAUGAUUUAGUUAAAUAUUGAAAACUAAAGUAGUUGUAUUAUGUACAGGUAAUGUCCAUGUGGUUUUAUUUGAAUGCACUUAACAUGCAUACCUGCCUAACAUCAUAAGAGUGGCCUGAGGAUUGGUCCCUGGUGAUGAAUUGAAUAUAGAUCCAUCAACAACACGUAAUGCCUUGAUCCCCGUGACCCGGAGAUCUCCAUCAACUACCUUUCCGGCGGAGCAUCCACCAUGGUAAUGCCAAUGUGUGGCUACCGUAUCUCGACAAAAAGAUGCAUCAUCCGACUGGUUCAUUGGUAAAGAUGGUUUAAAAAGGUUAAAACCUUCUAGACCUGGCAAAUCUCGAGUCUUAAACGGUUUCAAUGCGUUUGUUUUUAAUAGAUCACGCAUCUUCCCCAUGGCACUAACACAUUGAGAAAGGUCCCCCUCUUUUGCAAAGUAGUUGAAUUUGACAUUUGGGGCUACUUUGGCAUCAUACGAUGAUUGCAGUUUAAGAGAACCAUGGGACAAUAUGGGUCCUCUAACUUUGACCAUAAAGAACCCGAAACUUGAAUUUAUCGUCACGGGAAUAGUUGGAUUAGGGAAAAUACUAUAGGCCUGACUAGAAUAUGGCGUGCCAGAGAUAGACUCUAUAUCGAAAUCACUUGUGAAACCAGCAAUCUGAGAAUAAGUAGGUACUAUUGGAGAUGGGGGCAAAAUGAUAAUGUUACUACGAGGAUUGUCACGCAUAAACUUUCCAACGUAAGGUUGUGGGUGAACAACUGGGAUUUUAAGAGAUGUAAGGUAGGACUUUGGGCCAACACCACUAAGUAGUAGAAGCUGAGGACUCCCAAUUGCCCCUGCACUCAAUAUAACCUCACCCUUACCACGUAUCGAUGCCCAGUGAGACCUCCCGUUUGAGUCAUUGUAUAUGAUUCCUUUAGCUGACGGAUCUGCAUUAAAUUGUUAUCAGAAUUGGACAUAUAUUUAGUUUACAAUUAAGUAUAUAGAAUAGAUUCAAAUCCCUCAAAUAUGCUUCUUUUUAACUCCAUGAUAGAUUUUUUUUAUUGUAAAACGAUAUAUUUGUUAAAUUAGAUGUUAGAUUAGAGAGCCGAUGGGUUAUGAACCCACGCCAUAGUACAAAGGCAACACUCCCCUCCACCACUGUGAUAUGAUAGAUUUGAUUUUUGAUUUUUGGAACAUAUAUACAAGAUCAAAAUCAGAGUUCAAUCAAAAUCCAAUCUAAAGUGGUUUAAUGAAAAAAAUAAAAAACCUUAACUCAUGUUAUCCAAGGAUGGAAAUCUCAAUGGCCUUUAAUUGUAUAUAUCGAACGUUAGCAUACCUGAUGCUUUGGAAGAGAAAAUGAUCCUCUCUACAGUGGCAUGAAUUGCAACUCUCAGGUUUUUCGGAUGUCCUUUAUUUAGCAGUUCCACAGCUCCAUAUCUUCUUCCACGAUUAUCAAACAACGCACCCGAGAUUUUAGUUCCCUCAACGCUAUCCAAAGUGAAUCCAUUGUCUGGACGAACACCAGCUUCUAACAAUGCAUCUUUCACAACAGAUUGCCACUGUGAUACAUUCGGACGGAAUACGAUAGUGUCUUCAACCCAUUCAUAUGACUUAUUGACUAAGUUCAUGUCCAAUUUAAUUCCUGAUUUCUUGUAGAAUUCACUGUCGGCUCUUGAGUAUGCACCACCACUGACCAUACUUGUCCCGCCUAGGAUACGUCCUCUUACAUUAGCUACACCAUCUUCUGAUACGAACCUCUGGAGCGGCGUCGUACCGUCAUCUUCUAGCAUGAAAUUUUCAAGAAUCCCUUCGACAGUCGACACACUUGGAUAUGUUGUUGGAAUAUCGCCCCUUUCUAGAAGGAGCACCGAGUAGUUUGCAGAUAAAGUUGUUGCCAAUGGGCACCCUGCCGUGCCUCCUCCAACUACAAUGUAGUCAUAUUCUUCUUGUAAUGGUAGAUCAGUUGCGUUACGUACAAAUUUCAAGUAGCUAAAAUCUGCAUUAUAAGAAUGAAGAGAAGAGGGAAAAAGUUUAUAGAGAAUUAUUUGUUAUUAAAUUAUUUUUCACGUAAGUUACUUCGAAGAAUCAAUGGGACUUUCAAAAUAUAUUUAGUACCACGAACGUCAGAUGGAGGAGCAAGUGAAUGAAUCCCUGGUUGAGGACACAAGACAAAAAUGUAAAAGACCAAUAAUAUAGCAGCAGUUGUUGAUUUCUCCAUAUUGUUUUCAAAACAAUAUAUACGUUUUUUUCCUGAAAAUAAAAUAUUAAAAGAAAAGUUAGUUUCAUGUUCUUCAAGUAAAGACUUUUGAAGUGAAAUUACUCUCCAUCAAAACUCUAAAUUUUAGCUCUACACGGGAGGAGAAAAACAGUUUGGCAACCUAAUUUGUCUUUUGUGUGCCGAGUUUUGCAUUUGGCAACUCUCCAAUGGAGUUAGUCUAAAGAAAUUAUAUUUCCCAUCAUAUCGUUUUAUAACAUUUUAACAAUAAUACUACCAUAAUCCAAGUUACGUAUUAAUAGAAAUUUUUCUAUCAAUAAAAAAUGAUGAAAAAACUAUUUAAUCUUCUAUUACAACAAAAAAUUAAAAAUAAUAACAUAAUUUCACAAAACAAAAUCUUGCUGCUUUUUGUUUAAAUAUCACGUGUAGGUGAUUUUAACAUCUCUUAAAAAAUAAAGAAUAAAACUAAACCACCCUCCCUCUCUCGAUAAAUUAUAGAGUGGUACUGUAGUACCAUGCGGCAAGGACUUACUAAUCAGAUUAAGACACGUGUAAUUGUGAGAUAAUAUAAAUAUUUAUAAUUUUUUUAUUUAUUUCAUUAACUAUCAAUAAAUCUGAAACCUCUCCGGCUGCUUCCCGCUUCUUUCUGUUCAUCAAGAAAUCUUUAACUUCAUCUCUUUCUUCUUCGUCCAUCUCCUCCUUGCCUUCUUUCUGUAGCAGAACCUCGUCAUCCGUGCGUUCUACCGGUGAAUGACUACUGAUCAAAAUUUAAAUGGGACUUUUGAAUCAUGGAGGUCCCUGUCCGAAAUGAGUUGGGUUUAAAACGUUCACCAAAUAUUGCAUAUUUUUAAUGACCGGCCGACGGAAUUAGAUCCUCUCCGGACAAAUUUCAUAUGGACCCUCUGGACCACUUAAUCCCGACUGUUCACCAUAGAACCGACGGUGAGGACUAAAACUUUUUUUUAUUUGAACUCUUCGCUCACUUUCGUCAAACUCUUCUCGGUUCCCCUCGGCGACAGUUUAGAAAGAAAAACACGAAACAAUGAAAACAAGAAAUUAAAAGAUGAAACUUGAAACACUUUUCAGAUUCUUUGCAGCUGAAAAUUAGUGAAAGGAUGAAAAAUUGUAUUUUUGGAUUUGUACCAAUCUUGAAGGUUUGGAAAAUUGAAACAUUUUUCAGAUUUUUUUGGCAGUUGAAAAAUAGUGGGAGGAUUGAAAGUUGUAGAUUUGCAGCAACCUUCAAGGUCUGGGGCUUUUCUUCAAUGAAAGUCUGGAGCUUUGCUUCAAGGAAUUGUCUUGUGGGAGGAGACAGAAGACAACCGACGAAGUUGAGGCGGUGAAGAGUUAAACGCAUUAUUAAUAAAUUAUUAACUGAUUAUUCAAUUCACAAUUCCACGUGUCUUAAUAUGAUUAAUAAGUACUAUCAUUUGGCCUUGCCACGUGGUACUACACUACCAUUUUAUAAUUUCUCUCCACUCUCUCUCCAUUCCCACGUUCUCUCUUACUCUCUUCAUAUUUUCUUCAAUUUUAAAAACAAAGAUAAGACAUUUCACACACUUUGCUUGUGGGCAUGGGCAUAUACUAAUUUAAAAUAAAACAUUCUUUUUUCUCAAAAAAGUUAUACCAUUACAAAUUUCUAAUUAAUUAAUUUUUUUAUUACACAAAUGAUAGGAUACUUUACAUUAAACUAUGUGAAAGAAGAUUCGAAUACAAGGCCUAAACUGCUAGGAAAUACUCUUAACCGAUUAAAUUACAAGACACUUUACCAUAUUAAAAUAGUUUAGAGAGCAUAACAACGAUAACAUGUUUAUUGAAUAUAUCGGAUUGUAUUGUUAGUGAAAACAAAAAAGACUUGAAAUUUAGAGCAAAAAUAAAUCAUAGAAGAUACAAGAUUUACCCGAGACCACAAUAUUGCCUUUGGUUUUGAAGCUAUUUCCAACAACUCCUUACCCGCAAUGCAGUGGCGUAGAUUUGCUGUGAUCUUAUUUCCUUAUAUAGAUGCUCGCUAGGCCGCUGAAGAUACUAGGCAUAAAUGCAUCUGUCACUUUCCUUUAUUAUACAAGGGGUUGCUAUCCACACAUCUCAUUUUACUUCUCACACACCCCUUAAUAAUUUAUGUCUGUUGAUCUUCUUCAAUUCAUCCGAUCCGACGACCGAAAAUUAAAAAGAUAUGUGAGAAGUAAAAUGAGGUGUGUGGAUAUCGCAUCCCUUAUACAAGUCUUCGUUCUUCACUUGUUAAUUUUAGUCUUACUUAGACUUCUAAGAACUUAUGGGUCUGCAUUAUCUUAUCUACUACCAUUGAGAUUGCGGUCGUUCAUAAAAUGUCCUUGAGAACAAGUAAAAUAGCGACGAAAUUAAUAUGUAUAGUUUAAUGAUCAAUGUGACAGGUACCCCGUUUAAAUAUCAAUUAUGUGAAUUCAGUACAUAAAAUAUUUCCAUCUAAGUGAAAAAUGGCGCGGCAUGGAAUUGUGCAAUUUUGACUAAACUUUGGUUAUAUACAUAUAGUUAUUCCACCAGUCUGCACUUGGACAUUUGGUGGCUUUGGGGGUUUACUACUUAACAACACAUACAUUUUCUUUAUCAAAUUACUUUUCAAAUCAUUUUGCUCAUUUCUUAAAAAAUCUCAAUUAAAUAAGGAUAAAAUGAUAAAAAUACCCUUAAUUUUCAUCAAAUCAUUUCUAUUAUUUUGGUCCUUAUUUAACAAAAAUUUUCACAUAAUAACUAAAAUGAUUGAUGGUGGCAAACUCAAGGACCACUUCUAUGGAUUACUAUGCUUAUUUUCUAUUGGUGACAUCACAUAAUUUGUAAAUUUGAUCUAAAAAGUUGGUCUACCUAGAAUCACUCUAAUUGUUUCCAUCGAAGCGAAAAAUGGCACAGCAUGGAAUUCUGCAAGUUCAAACUAAACUUUGUUUAUAGUAAGGUUUUGUAGCUAAAAUGGUUCCUGAGAUUAGCAUGACUCAUCAUUUUGGUCCAUGAAUUUGUCCACUAUUAAUUUGGUCAUUCCGUGAAAAAAUCUCCAUUAAAUAAGAAUAAAAUGACAAAAAUACCCUCGAUUUUCAUCAAAUCAUUUUGACUUCUUGUUUAUUAAAUUGAGAGUACUUUUUAGUUGUCAGCCCUCCUCCAAUCUAUUCAAACUGAAAAAAAAAAAAAAACGAAGGAAAAAAUGAAGACAUGAUAUAUAAUAUGAAUGAACCAGAUUAAAAGAAGUCUCACCAAUUAAGUGUAGGAGAAGGAGAUUAGACUGAUGUAGAUUAAUCACGAAAUAGACUGAGGAUUCGAAAGGCACAAAAUCAAGUAGAAGGAAUAAACCUUUGUAGAUUUGAACUGUAGGUGUCCGAUUUGACCCGUUACCUAUUGUUUUAAAGAGACUAGCAAUGCACAUGAAACUCAUCGCCUUGCAAUGAUGUAUGGGCUUUUUAAGUUUUAAGGACGUUUUGAUGUUUUGUAAUUUGUUUAAUUUUAUUCGUAUUUAGACUUCAAAGAAUUUCUAGGCCUAAGAGGUGUUAUAAAUAUGACCUUUUUAAAAAAAAAAAAAAACAAUAUUAUCUAUAUUAAGGGAGAGCAUGUGAGUUUAGGCUCACAAUAGGCUAGUAAUAAUGUGGUUCAAAUUCGUCUGUAGCGAAAAUCGAAUUUAAAACUUCUCACUUACAAAUAUAGAGGAAUAUCACUAGACCGUAGUACUAAGUGGUAUAAAUAUGACAUUUAAGUGUGUUAUCUUAUCAAUUAUUAUUCAAUAAAAGUGGAGUUUUCAGUCACCAAAUUUUUUUUUAAUUUUUGUUAUUAUUAUGGAUUCCAAUUUAAAUAUUCUUUAAAAUUAUCUAAACUACACAUUAAUGAAACUCUCUUUGUCAGUUGAUGAAAAUAUAUUUGUGUUUGCUAUCACAACAAAAUUAGUUAAGGAUAACAACGUAAUUUCAUAAAACAAUUUUUUUUUUAAAUUUAUGAAAAGGCGAUAGAUUAUUAUUUCAAAAGAGUAGCAAAUUACAUGAUAGAUCUUCAAACAAAAUAUCUGAAAUCAGGUCGGGAGGAACGCGAUCUCAAUUACAAUUUGAGCUGAUAGAAGAGCAAAACGUGCAAGCCAGUGAGCAGCUCCGUUUGGCUGGCGACGGACAUGAGUGAGAAUAACUCCUGUGAUUGAAGAAUGAGUGCCUUCCAGUCAUGGUCAACAUGUGGGAUUGUGGUCAUUCAUAACUGAUCCAACAUAUCUAGAACACACAUGGUUGAAAUUAGCGGAUGAAGAUGCCUUUGAAAAAAAAAAUGUACAUAGUUGAUGAAUGUGACAUGUACCCCAUGAAAACUCAACCAAGCGAAAAAUGUCGUGGCAAGUUCAAACACCUUUGUAUAUUUAAAAGUGGUAGGCGAGUCCACCACUGCACUUGGACAUUUGGUGUCGAUGGUUACGACCUAAAACAACACAUACAUUAUUUUUAUCAACUUACCAUUCAAAUGGUCGUGCUAUAUGGCCCACUGAUUGAUGCUUUUAACCCACCACGAAACAAAUUAGGACAAAAUUUAUCCUCAGUUGUCACCAAAUUAGAACUAAUCCAUUAUUUAGUCCGGUAUUCCAAUGAGGUCUCUGUUAAUGUAGCAGGUGAAAGUAUGAAGAAGGAGAGGUUCGAGAGGUUCAGAGAGAAAGAGGAGAAGAUAUGAAAGUUUUCUUGUAUUGAUUUCUUAGCAAUUACGAAAGCACGGUGAGAAGGUAUUUAUCCGUUUCACAAUAUCCUAACAAACUAACUCACUAUCUAAUCUUCUAGCAAUAUCACAAUCACACAUUUAUCUUUAUCAGUCUACGUCGCACGAUCUGACCUGGAGGUUUAGACCGUGACCAAUCAAUGGGCCACAAUAAAGUCCACGAAGAUGUUUGAUAUUGCAUGAGUAGUAGAAUGCUCAGUUGACUGAAGUUGUGAUAUAUGGAUGAGGAUAGUCGAGAAUUUUAAGAAUCUUCACAUUAUGGUCAUUUAUUGUAUAUUGUGUGAUUAGUUUUCGUUAGAUACUAUUUAUGUUUAAUUUUAAAUAAAUAAAUUCAAAAUAAUUUUUAACCUCACGACAAAGAUCCCUAAGAUUCCCACAACUUGAAUCCGAAUGAGAUCCAAAUCCGUGAUAUGUCAUAUGACAUGGUUUUUACAAGCUGAUCACUCAGGUAGGAAAAUAUUGGCCAAGUGGAAGCUGAUGUUGCAUUGCAUCAGUAGUAGAUUUGGUCAUGAUAAAAUGGGGUAUGAAAGCUGAAAUGUCAAAGCAUGGAUGCCAUUAUCUACAACUAGCCUUCAAGUGCGGGCAGAAGAUAUUUUUUUAAUCACAGUGUGCUAUGUAUGAAUUACACGAUUUAAAUGUAUUUAUAUGCGUGAAUUAACAAAAGGAAAGUCAAAUGCUUGAAGUAAAUGAAUAAUCAUAGAUCAUGCUAAAAAAACCCCCCACAAACCAAUCAAAGUAGCUGAAUUUACAUAAUAAAAUUGGUCUUUCAAUUUCCAUCUACAUUCUAUUGAAUUUACAUUAAGAAUAAAGAAAAUAGUAUUUAAUAAACAACUGAUUGAAUCACAUUUUUGCUAGCCUAUUGUGAGGCUAAGCCUGCCCCCUCCCCCUUAGUUUAGAUAAUAUCGUUUGUUUAAAAAAAAACUAAUCAUUUGAUAACUAAUUUAAUCACAUUAUUAUGCAAGUGCGAAAGUCCUUUUUAUAACCAGCAUUAAACGCCUUUUAAGAUAUUUUGAACGUGUUUAAAAUAGAGAAAAUAAUAUUUAAUGAACAACUAAUUGAAUCACAUUAUUGCUAACCUAUUGUGAUGUACUAAUUAAAAAAAAAAACUGUAUAAAAAGAAUUAAUUAUUUUUAAAAAAUUGUUAAAAUGAUGAAAAUACCCAUACAUUAUUUGGUGCAUUAUUUUGGGUUGCUUUUGAAAUUUUUUGUUUUGGGAACAUUUUUGUCCAAAACUUUUUGGUCAAGCUUGUGACCCCAAAAUGAGUUGUUGGCUUUAUAUAUAAAGAUUAGUAAGCACUAGCAUAUUUAGGUUUCACUAAUACUACUAAUACUACUAUACUACUAUGCCUUAUUUUCUUUUUUGUUUAUAGGCUAAUUUAGUAUUGUUGUGCUUUUUAAAAAAAAACAACAUUUGCUCUACUAUGAAAAUAAACAGCUGUAAAACCAUUUUUCGUUUGAACAUAACCCCCUAUUUUGAUAACCCAAUAUAGUACAACCUAGUAGGUUUAUCUGAAAACCCUAACAUGCCAUAAAACCAUUGUAAAACAUGUAUAUAUAAAACAGUGCUCAAGAGUGGUAACAUAGUCGGCCGAAGGCAAAUCCAUAAAACCUUCGUAAAGCAUAAGAUAGUGUACUUAACUAGGGGUAUCAUAGUCGCCCGAAGGCAUAACCAUCACCCAAGGGUGAAGCUGUACGACACUGGAUUACGCUAGUGAAGAAAUAUGGUAGGCGCCAUCACCCGAAUGUGAAGCUGUACGACUCUGGGUUACGCCAGAGAAGAAAAGGUACAUAACACAUCGACGCUAGUUGUUGCUAGUGAAACUAUCCGACACUGGUUUUUCCAACGAAGAUGGGAGUAUGUCAUAAAUCUCACUACUCAUCAACUGUGUCAUAUGGCUAUAUAUAGGUACGUACUCGUGUUGUGUGUAUGUGUUGUAUGAUUACCUACUAAAUAAGCACAGAAAACAUAAAUCACAUUUUUCAUAUCAAAUCAUCGAAGCUCAAAAGCUCAAGCAUCAUAUCAUAAAUCCAUAUGAGCAUUCUAGCUCAAAUCAUCAUAUCAUAAACCAUAUUCACAAAUCCAUAAUAUCUUGAAAGGCGUAAAAGCAAUAGUUCGUAAAUCCUUCAUGAAAUGUAAAUCAUGAAACCAUGCUUUUCAUGUAUGCAAUCCUAGCAUUUAAAAUCAUGCAUUUUAAGAAGGGGUCCACUCAUAUAAACUUUGUUGCUGAAGAGCCAUGCAAACUAGAGAGGAUAGAGUCGCCAUUAACAAACGUACCUAAGUACAUAAAAGGACCAAUCAGUAAAACCCUACUAAAACGAUUGAAUUUGGGAAAAUGGACGUCGCAUUUGGAUCCGUGACGUCGAAAAACCUAAGAAGGGACAUCUGUUUCCCCCACGCACCGCCGCACACACCACGGGACGGCUCCUUAGGAGGCCACGCGUCACCGCAAGCGCUGCCACACACCGAAUUGAGUCGCUGGCGUAACCGUUACACGGUACUUCCAGGAAGGUUCGUGUGCUCCACACACCAAGCACUGCAGCACCACACGCAGCCUCACGCGCUCGCGAGUAUAGGCAUACUUGCCUUCCUCUCGAGGCCUGAAACUGGUCGAUUCCUGGGCUCGACUUCCAAAGCUCCGUUCAAGCUCGAUACUCUACCAAAAUCAAUGGUUUUAUUUAAUAUGGGUUUCUUUUCUUCUUUACCGUUGGAGAUCAAUGGGGGACAAAAUUAUAUGAAUCUCAAAUUUAGGGUUUCUACUAUAAGAACUCUCAUAUUGGAAGCAAUAUUUCUUUAGUGACACAAAAAUUUCCUCUAAAUCUCUAAUCGAGUCUUCAAAAGUGGUGGUGAGAGGCCCUAAAUAGAUACUUCCGUUGGAGCAACGCUCUAAAACACAAAUACCCACAAAUAAAAAAGAAAAAAAAAAGAAAAAAAAAACUAUCAUUUUGAGCUCUAUAUAUGGAGUAGAAAGAGCCUAACUCUAAAUUUAGAGUUCUGAUUUCAUUUUCAUUGUCAACUGUGGAGCCAAAAAUAUUCACAAGGCGACACGUGGAUUUUUGGACAAAAAGGACAAAAAUAUCUUUGCAGUACAACGAGGUUCCUACGCGCAAGCAGCGGGCAACCCUCUUUCAACCAAGACAGAAGUGCCCAAAAUAGGUAACAAUUCAAAGUCCAUCUCAUCAAAUCCUUUCUACAAGGUAAUUCCCAAACACAUUCCUUUUAAAUUAUGUUAAUUGACUAAUUAAUGGGUUUAUUGCCUAAUUAACCCAUUAAUUGUCAAUUAAACCAUCCAUUAUAUCCAAAUAACCACAAAAUACAUCCAAUUCAACCCUAAAACACCACAUGGCCGGCUAUCCCCAUUCAAAACCUAAUCCAUCACUUUUUCUACCUUUUUUCACCAUUUCUUCCUUUUUAUUAGCCAAUUAAUUCCAUAACCACAAAAAUAUUUUCUUUUAUGUUUAAUUAGCCAAUUAAUUGGCUAAUUAAACCAAAAUAAAACCUAAACCAACCUAGCCCUAUAAAUAGGCUCAUAUUUUCACCAAAUAUUCAUUCCAACACUUUGGCAAAAAUCCCAAAAUUCUCUAAACACUCUUUCUCUCUAAAUUCUAACUUUGGUAUCGGAGGUUCUUCGGCCAAAGCCCCCCCCCAUUCAUCAUGGGCGCGUGAGGCUCUUGGCCUUAACCUAAGGUGUUAAUUGUUUUGUAGGUGUAAAAUUGUCCAAGAUCAAGGAGGAAGAAAUUUGCAUCCACAAAUUGGUGCUUUCAUUCAGAGUUGAAAUCCAUACUCGUAGAAGACUCUCGCACAAAAAGGUUUUUUUUUCUCUUUAUUUUCUAGUCCAUUUGAAUAUUUUUCAUACGUUCUUAUUAUUAGAAUUUUUUGCGUGCAAAGGUUCUUUGAUAAAACGUAUAAGCAAAAUAUAAUGGCUAGAAAUUUAGAAAAUUCCACAAGUGAAAAUUCUAAUGUUCAAGAAAUGGGAUUGCGGAGAUCUGUGGGGCUAAAUGCGACAAUAAGUGGAGCAGCACCACCACCACGAGUUUCCACCAUGGGAACCACCACGGUGGCUACUUCGGUAGCCACCCGUGGCGAGGUCCAUGGUGCCUUCACCACGGCUUGAGCCGUGCCAUCCAAGGCUCACGGCACCAAGGCCACGGCCCAAGUCGUGCUAUCCAAGUUUGCACGGGCCCGGGCCCAAGCCUCGCAUUCACAUGCAUCACAUACUAAGCAGCCUACUCCCGCCAAGCAACCUGCUCUCGCGGCCCAGCCUGCUCUUGCCAAGCAGCAUGCUCUCGUGACCCAGCCUGCUCCCGACGAGCAGCCUACUCCCUUGGCCCAGCUUGCUUCCGUCGAGCAGCCCACUCCCGUGGCCCAGCCUACUUCUGCCAAGCAGCCUGCUCUCGUGACCCAGCCUGCUCCCGACGAGCAGCCCACUUCUAUGGCCCAGCCUGCUUCCGACGAGCAGCCCACUCUCGUGGUCCAGCCUGCUUCCGUCGAGUAGCCCACUCCCGUGGCCCAACCUGCUCUCGUGACCCAGCCUGCUCCCGACGAGCAGCCUACUUCAGUGGCCCAGCCAGCUCCAGUCGAGCAGCCCACUUUCACGGCCCAGCCUGCUCCCGUGGCUUUCCAAUCAGCCUAAGUCGGCCCAAGACUAUCUCAACCAUCCGGACCUACCAUCGAGCCGGGGGCAUUCUCACCAUAUUUUUUCACGGAUUUGACAUUUCCCAACUCAAAUCUCGUGCCCGGAGUCUACCACCCUUCCACUGCCCAAGGAGGCACAUUCCUUCCAAGCUCUUCCAAUCCAAAUGGCGAACAACACUUGUCUCGACAAGUCAUAGAGUUGACGAGCGCAUUUGCACAACAGACAACCUUAGUGAAUUAACUUUUGCAACGCAUCGGGAUCCAACGUGCCCCGGACAAGGUAUCCUGAAGUAGGACAAAGGCAGACGGACCUUUCCAACAGCGUCCCGGUAAGUAGCCACUCAACCAGCCACGAGCCGAACGUUUGGGCAGUGUACAUUCCCGUCUUAGCACACGGAGGAGCAUGCACUAUCGACUAGGCCCACGGAUGAGCAUACAUUCACGGUUGGGGUCAUAUUCCGAUAGUUAACAUGAGCAACCUUCCGAACAAAGUGUCGAUUCGCGGCUAAGCCCACAAGGAGCAUCCUUCACCUCACAUCAGACUUAAAUUUUACCUUCAAAUGCAAGCAGUCAUCAUCAUGACGCAUUAUUCCGCCGAAUCCAAACCAGCGACGAUAAAGACGUAGACCCUGGCAGAUGCAAAGUUUUCUGACGAAUGCAACAACUCGGUCCAACGACGCCCCGAAGGUAGCCAAGCACACUUUAGCCGCACCUACUCCCUCAAUGGAGAUUUCUGGCGUUUGCAUGUCGACGAUGCAUCCAACUACAAAGGCUCGUGAGCAGCCGUGGUUCUUGCCACCCCAGACGUUUCAAUGCUUAAACAGGCAAUCACUCUAAGCUUCAAAGCAUCUAACAACGAAGCAGAGUACGAAGCCCCACUAGCAGGCCUUCGAAUGACAAAAGACUUGGUGGUGAAAAAGCUUUCCAUUCAUUCCGAGUCCUAGUUAAUCACCAGCCAGACUACCAGGGACAAAAGCAUGAUGAUCGUGGCAACCGACUACUUCACCAAAUAAGUAGAAGCAGAGCCCAUGACGAUCAUGGUUUAGACGGACAUAGAGCGCUUCAUAUGAAGGAGUAUAAUUUGCCGAUUUGGCAUCCCUUAAUCCAUCAUCACCGACAACGGCCCGCAAUUCGUGGGCUAAGAUUUGGCGAAGUUCUUCAAAAAAUAUGGCAUCAAGCAGCACAUGUCUACGCCAAGAUAUCCUCAAGGCAAUAGGCGGGCCAAAGCAUCCACUAAGAUGAUCCUCGACUGCCAUAAGAAAUCCCCCACCAAUAAGAAAAGAAAACGGCCAAACGAACUCCAAGGAUGUCUAUGGGCAUAUCGCACAACCAAAAGACGAGCAACCGAAAAGAGAUGGCCACAAGCUUAGAUCUGGCAGAAAAGAGGCGCGAACAGACUAUCACUCGCAUUGCAGCCUACCAGCAUCAGCUCCUCUCCAGCUACAACAAAAGGGCCAAGAUCCGGCAAUUCCAGCCUGGAGAUCUGGUCAUAAGAAAAACCUUCAUCACUGCCAGCAGAAAAGGUUCCAAAAAUAUGGAUCCCAUCUGGGAAAGUCCGUACAAUAUCAACAGAGUAGGUGGCAAGAACAAUUACACCAUCGCCACCAUAAAACAACAAAAAGAUCGAAAAACAGUGGAACGCCUACAAUCUGAGGAAGUACCAUGUGACCUCUCACUACAUCAAAGCCCGAAGACUCAAGCAACUCGACGGGCACUACCUCACCAGCCGAGGAUUAUCCAGUUGUUAUGUAGUUCUUACCUUACAUCUAAGUUCUCGUUCGUUUAACUCAUUUUUCAAUGAGGAAUUCAGAAGUAAUCACGACUUGGCUUGGCUUCAUGCUUACAACAACUGAUCACUCCUGCACUUCAAAAGAAGACCGCGCCCUUCUUAGGGACUUACCAUAGGAAUUACGCCCCUCGAGGGGACCAACCAUGCUCUCCAGUGCGAGAGGGUAAACUAAUUGCUCUCCAACGCGAUAGGGUAAACCAAUUCCCCGACACCCACAUGGGUCAGCUCUCCAAGAACAGGAGGAUAAACUCUACACUCCGAAUAUCCAGACGUGGAUGAGCCGGGCUGCCCUAGUAUAACUAGAUGCAUGAUGGCUUGCGCCAGGAUUCCUAGAAGUAGCCGCAAUGGUCUUUUUCAAGGCUUAGCUAAAUGAAGGAUUUUGGGUCUCUUGGCCUAAUCCGUGGGGAACUGGGCCCUAGAGACGGAGAGGGCACAUUACGCAGUACAUCCGAUGGACGGCUGCCUUGGAAUCCUAAAGCUGAGGUAGCCUAAAGCUGAGAGCCUACGGAAGGACUGCCUAUGGCUUGCCCUUCGAGCAGUAAAACCGCACUAGACUUAUACAACCGCACAUUCUUGUGAAAGGUUAAACAAGCUAGCACGCAUAUACGAAGUUUUAUCCACUGCCGACAUGCUACGUAGUCGAUAAGCUUCACCUCUACCAAGCGCGGAACAACCUACACCAAGUCCUAAAGUGUUGUGAUACUUACUACGCAACCUACGGAAUUGGAGAAAGUCAAGGUUAACAGCCUAGUGGUUACGCGGACUUGUCUGCUUCUGUAAGUAAGGUAUCCGGCUGCCAACCCAAUGGCUAACAACUUUGCAAAGUUCUACACCAACACCUACGGCUGCAUAGGCUACGCGAGCUUGUCUGCUUAUAAAAAAGUAGCAUGUUUGCCACUGGUCUAUUAAGUCUAAAGGUUAGGGCAUGAACAAAAGAAGCAAAAAUGAAGAAAAGCUAAGGAAAACAUGUUUAUAAACGAUUAGCAAAGGCCGAAGGAGUUCAAGCAAAACAAGAGCUACAAGGAAAAACAAAGAAAAUCUUAAAGGCUACCUAGAUGACUACACUUUAGCAGCCUGGACAUCCCACGACUAUUCGGUCGCCACACCUUCAGCAACCGCGAAGCUCUUAGCAGCGGCAUCACCCCCGACUGCUCCAACCUGGGCACUAACUUCUCCAACUACUUCACCAAUACCAACAUGGACGUGCUGCAGCUCAUCCACUUCUUUCUUCAAACUUUCGUUGAUCUUCAGUACACCUUGAAGUUCCAACACUUGGGGUUCAAGCCUAUCAACGAUUCUCUUGAAGUGGAUCACUUGAUUAUAAGUAGCAAUCAACUUUUCAUCCUUUGCAUAAGCAGCGAAAAAAGUCUUUGGUUUUUUCUCAGCCGGCAUCUCUUGAGCAGGCAGGGAAGAUCCAUUUUCCCACCUUCACUUGCAGCAGAAUCCACAACGGUGAUUAGACGAGCCAAUGCAUCCACCUUGAUCCUAUUUACCUCUUAUUUUGGAAGCAGCCCACGUUUCUCCUGACGAAGAGAGUUAAAGUAGCCAACGCCAUUCGUGCUAUCCAGCAGGGGAGUUCAACCCAACAUUCUAGCAGCUCAUGAGGCCCGCAACCUCUUCAUUUCUCUCAGUCACCUGCCUAGCUCGCGUCAUGUCCAAAAGCCUAAAAAGACAUGAGCCAUGUGACUCGCCUAGCACUGCGGCACAACGCCACAAUCCGUGACCCCAGCCAUAUAAGCUGCCAUUGGUUCUAGCCAAGUCGAGCAGCUUAAAGCAGUUGUCCCUGCCAUAAUACCUCAUCGGCCCAUGCCGAGCCGACUCCUGGCCCAUGCCAGCCGACGUGCCGCACCACCCCGAAGGCUGCCCCGAGGUAGCACCAUCCAAGAAGAAGACAAGGAAAAUUAAUUUUUUCUUACCUCAGUGUGGCGCGAAGAAGACGAAGAAAGCAACGAAAGACGGUCCUUUGCACAGGCAAGAUGUAGAAGAUUGCUAGAGGAGGGGGAACAAAUAUCCUCUAAGCUAUCUCUCUCUUGUAGGGUAGAAUAAAUCGCUCUCCAAAGUUGAUUUAAUAAUCCACUUAAGGUGGACUUAAAUAGGCUUUGAGAGAAAUUUAUUUCCCUUUCCUAGAAGGAUCUAAUUUCCUAUUAAAGAGAGAAUCUACAUCAAAAUAUGAAGCAGUCAUAAGUUUCCUAAAGCAAGAAGAUCUCUACACCUGCUGCCCUUUUCUGCGAGCAGCUCAACAGGUGUGGGGGCAUUUGUGGAGCCAAAAAUAUUCACAAGGCGACACGUGGAUUUUGGACAAAAAGGACAAAAAUAUCUUUGCAGUACAACGAGGUUCCUACGCGCAAGCAGCGGACAACCCUCUUUCAACCAAGACAGAAGUGCCCAAAAUAGGUAACAAUUCAAAGUCCAUCUCAUCAAAUCCUUUCUACAAGGUAAUUCCCAAACACAUUCCUUUUAAAUUAUGUUAAUUGGCUAAUUAAUGGGUUUAUUGCCUAAUUAACCCAUUAAUUGUCAAUUAAACCAUCCAUUAUAUCCAAAUAACCACAAAAUACAUCCAAUUCAACCCUAAAACACCACAUGGCCGGCUAUCCCCAUUCAAAACCUAAUCCACCACUUUUUCUACCUUUUUUCACCAUUUCUUCCUUUUUAUUAGCCAAUUAAUUCCAUAAUCACAAAAAUAUUUUCUUUUAUGUUUAAUUAGCCAAUUAAUUGGCUAAUUAAACCAAAAUAAAACCUAAACCAACCUAGCCCUAUAAAUAGGCUCAUAUUUUCACCAAGUAUUCAUUCCAACACUUUGGCAAAAAUCCCAAAAUUUUCUAAACACUCUUUCUCUCUAAAUUCUAACUUUGGUAUCGGAGGUUCUUCGGCCAAAGCCCCCCAUUCAUCAUGGGCGCGUGAGGCUCUUGGCAUUAACCUAAGGUGUUAAUUGUUUUGUAGGUGCAAAAUUGUCCAAGAUCAAGGAGGAAGAAAUUUGCAUCCACAUCAACCUGACUCUAAUAUCCCAUGUUAAGAUAGUUAUAGAAAGCAUAAAAGAAAGCAGAGAAGGAAGAGGAAAGCAUAAGAGAGAUUGUAUAUGUCCUAGAUUGAAGGGAAUGAAAAACAAUCACCAGUAGACAUGUAAAUUUCUGUGAAAUAAUUAUUCAUCAACAAAUUAAAGUUUUGACAUUUUAGGGCUACGUAACCAGGGAGUGUCACAAAUCACACGCAUGGCAUGUGUCUCAUAAAAAAAGGGCGAGUCAUCAUGAGUGACAUGUGCCAACGUUUGGCAAAAAAAAUUAAAGAGUUAUCUUUAAUUAAUCUUAAUUUAAACCAAAUAAAUCAAUAGAUUUAAACUAAAACAAAUAAAAUGAAUGCCACAUCGAGGGUGAUUAGCCAAAUUACGGAUGACCUAAUUAAGGAUGAAAGGUGAUUGAUUGAUUUGAUUAAAUUAAAGAUUAUUUGAUCAAAUCGAGAAUAUUUAAUGAAGUCAAAUCACGAACCAAGUCCAAAUCAAGUCUUGUUUCUUUCAUUAAUUAAUCAAGUCAAAAAUCAAGACCAAAUCAAAUCUCAAUCAAGACAUGGAGAUACCUAUAAAUACAAGGCUCCGAGACAAAGAAGGAGUCCUCAAACUCGUCCUCAUACACAUCCUCACACUUGAAUAGCAAGAAAUAACUCAGACGCUUAAACUCUCAAUACACACUCAGAAGACUUAAAAAGCUCUUUGCAUCCUUCGCCACACUUGUGAAGAACCAUCAAUCACCACUACAUUUGCCGGUUCCUCCAUCGCCAUAAGCCAUACUCUUGCAGUGUUCAUUCGUUCAAGAACACACUAGAAGAAAAAAAGUCAUCUAUCACAGUUGAUUCCCAUAGUAGAUUGCCAUCCAAUACAGACAUUGUGCCCGUUAGUAGUCUGGACGUGAUAAAAAGUUUCAGUUUCUACCACAUGCAAUUCUUGUUGUCAAAUGUGAUGUAACCACAGAUUGUGUCCAUGCUAGAUUGUAACUAUGUGUUAUGACCUUUGUGAAUUACUUAUUGACCACGAUCAAUGUCCGUUAUAUUUUUUUUUCAUAAAAAAAAAAAACUAUUUAUAAAUAUAUAUUUAAAUAUUUAUAUACAAAAAUAACCAGCAAAAUUGCAUAUUUGCCUCAAGGGUUUGAUCAAGUUGGGGUAGGUUUAAAACUUAAAAUCUGAAUUUUACUCCAGAGGUUGGAGUAUGUCUCACAAGUAUAUGGUCUAAGUUCGAAAGGGUGUUCUUUCUCCCUUUUGAGAUCAAGAACACACAACCUAAUCCAACCCUAGCUAAAUUUUUUGUUUUUGUUUUUUAAACAAGCGAUAUUUUCUACAUUAAGGGGCUGGAGGAUUGAAUUAAGCCUCACAAUGGACUAGCAAUAAUAUGGUUUAAAUUUGCGUUUGGCGAGAAUCGAAUAUAGGACCUCUCAUUUAUAAGUGAAAAUGAAUACCAAUAGACCCUCGGAUCAACCACCCUACAUAUACAUUUUGCAUCUUGGAGAUUGUAUCCGAGGAUCAAUUUUUUGUAUUAGAGGUUGUAACCUAAUUUCUCGUUUAACACAAAUAAUUCUUUUGUACGCGUAUUUUGUUUCAUUUGUCACAAAAAUUUCAUUACACGGCUAAGAAGCUAUCGCAGUCGAUGUAAAAACCAACAUUUUUUUACAGACUUAGCCUUCCCUUUCUGUACUUAUUCACGGCCCUUCAUUUCUUGCACUUAACAACAAUAACAUGUUUAUUGGUAAUAUUGGAUUAUAUUGUUUGUUAAAGAAACAAAGUUCAAAUUUAGAGAACAUUUAAAUCAUAAAAGAGGCAAGAUUUACCUAAGACGACAAUAUUGCCUUCGGUUUUGAAGCUAUUUCGAACAACUCCUUACGCGCAAUGCAAUGGCAUAGAUUUCGUGCAACUUGCUGUAUCUUAUUCCUUCUUAUAUAAAUGCCCGCUGGGCCGCUGAAGAUCCAAGGCACUUUGUCAUACGAAUCUUCGUUCUUCACUUGUUAUUUAUCUUUUUUUUUUUCUUUUCAAGGAAGCAGCUGGUUGCUAAGUUCAUUUUGACAUGGCAGGCCACAUUUUUGAGAGCCAAAAAGAUUUAAAGAUGCAUUUCAACCUACUCCGCUAUUCAAUUUCACUUAUAUUUAUUACGAAUUAAUAAACAAACCAUUGAAGAUUUGUUGACCUGUGAUUACGACUUACAACAACACAUAUUUUUUUGUUAAUUUAGUGUUAAAAUCGUCAUGCUAUAUGGCCCACUGAUUGAGUUUUCAGACCACGAAGCAAAUUAAUUAGGACACUACAAUUAGCCUCACCCGUCAACAAAUUAAAACUAAUCCAUUAUUUGGUCACAUGAUCCAAUGAGGUCUCCGCCGCCUCGAUCUGACCAGGUUUAGACCUGCAACCAACGAAUCCAAGAAGAAGGAAUUGCAUCCCCUCCUGAGCAAAUGAAGGGGAUCCUCAUGAUACUAACAUUCACCGUUGGAUUUUGAUCUAACGACUACAAACAAAGAGUUCUUCUAAAAAUUAUAAUAAUUGUAACCGUUAGAUCAAAAUACAACAGCUCAUGUUAGUGGGUCAUGAGAAUACCCAUCAUUUGCUUAGGAGGGGAUCCAAUUCCCAAGAAGAUGUUUGAUGUUGCAUGAAUACUUUAUUGCUCAGUAAUUGUCAUAUAUAUGUCAUAGGACAUGGUUUUCACAAGCUGAUCAGUGGUAUAUUGGUCAUGAUCCAAUGGGGGUUUGAAAGGUGAAUCGGGAUGACAAUUGGGCGGAUUGAAUUUGGAUGUGCCAUUUUCAAAUCCGAACCGUUUAUUCUUUCUAAACCCGAACCCGUAGAAUCCACGAACGUGUUUUUUUCAUAACUGAACCCGUUGGCUGACGAAUUUUUUAUCGGGGAACGGUUUUCCCCAUUAUGAUAUUUAUAUAUUUAUUUAUGUUAUUAACUAAAUGAAGAAUAUUAAGAAAAAAUGAUAUUAAAUAAAUUGCUAUUAUUAAUACAAUUGAUACAAUGCAUCUAAUAAGUAAUAUUAAAAAUUUAUAUUACUAAGAAAACAUUUACACUCUUAAAAAUUAUAAGCAUAUAAUUCCUAUUAUUAAUGAUAUAAAAGUAAAUAAUUAAUUUCAUAUUUAAUAAUGCAUGAUGGUGAACAACCCCUUUUCAUAUAAUAAAUAUUUAUAUUUUUUACUCAUAAAUGAAAUGGUUCGGUUUCAGAUAUGUGUUUGGGACGGAUACCCCAAUAACCAUAACCGAACCCGAAAUCGAAAAUUUACCCGACGGUUGCCCAUAACCGUAAAAUACCCGAAAUUUUAUGCUCGAAACCGAACCACAUUCAGAUUGGUUACUUACGAGGAUCGAAUUUAAUGGGUUAAAUUGCCAACCCUAAAACUGAAUUGGCAAAGGAUGCACGCCAUUAUCUACAAUAGCAUAUUUAGGUGUCACUGAUACUUCAAUCCUUAAUUAUUUUCUUUUUCAUUAAGUUUAGGGCACCAACUUGUAUAUCUACAUUUUUAAAACCUGUGAAUGUUCCAUUCGUUUGUAUUUGUUGGUACCUACAGUUUGUAAGCAACUACCAUAUUAAAUAUUAAAUGUCCUUAGUACUACUAUUUCUUAAGGUUGAUUCGGCACCAACUCGUAAACAACUUUUUAAAUCUAACUGAGCUAGCAUAAUUUCACUCCUUUGUGUUUUGACUACUAUUUACAAUUGGAAAACAACUGCAAUAUUAAUGCGCCAACUAAUAUUCAAAUUUUUAAAUUUUAAUUAUCCGAUGUAGCAUAGUUUAAAGAGAGUUUUCAUGAAAAUGACUUAGACUAAGUUUAUUUUAACAAAAAACCAUGCUAUAACUUUAUUUAAAGAAAAAAAAACUUGGAUUUUAAUGAAAUUUUUUAAUAAAGAGGACAAAAUAAUUUAAAUUUGAAUGAAAAUGACACAAUUUUAAUAUAAAAAAAAUUAAUAAAAACCUGACGUGUGGGAUCCGCACCGCGAAUCCAUCACAUACAUUGUUUAUGAAAUUGAACAGUAUUACACUGUUUAUGAAACUUAAUGGUACUACACUAUUUAUAAAAAUGAACGGUACUAUACUAUUUAUGAAAUUGAACACUGUUUAUGAAACUGACCAAUACUAUACUAUUUAUAAAACUGAAGGUACUAUACUAGUUAUGAAACUGAACGGUACUACACUAUUUAUUGGUCUAUAUUCAUAAAUAGUGCCUAAUAUUUGGUUCACUUUUAUAAAUAGUACCUAGUUAUUCAGUCCCGUUUCAUAAAUAGUGUAUAGUAAUUAGUACAAUUACAUAAAUAAUGUCUCAUUCUUGGUCAAGUUUCAUAAAUAGUGCCUAAUUUUUUGUCCACUUGCAAAUAUAGUGCCUAGUUCUUGGUCAUGUUUAAUAAAUAGUGUCUAGUUCUUGGUCUAGUUUCAUAAAUAGUGUAUAACAAUUGGUACAAUUUCAUAAAUAGUAACUCAGGUCCAGUUUCAUUAAUAGUGUCUCUUUCUUGGUCCAUUUUUUUGUUUAGUUUUAGAAAUAGUGUCUUCUCCGAUUUCGCUGCAUCCUCUAAGCAACAACCAUGGUGAUGCCCUUGCUCUUGGCAUUCUUCAUGAGAUAUCCAGUGCUUCCUCCUUUUUUUACAUUCUUUUCAUGAAAUACUCAAAUCCAAAAAGCCAAAAUCAAGUUUCAAGCAUAUCGAGGACUAAACCUCAAUCACAAAAGCCAAAAUCACUAAAACCAUAGCCAAAAUCAUAGUAGUGCUAGCACUGCUGGAAAAGGGAGGUUGGUAAUUAAGCUUGGCCAUGAUGCUUUGUGACCCUUGGAUCUUCUGACCUUCGAGGCUCAACAUUGAGCCUUCAUGGUAUAGAUUAGCCAAAUCAAAUAUACGUUCCAUCUUGUGCUGAAACGAAUAUACCCAAGAGUCUUCCUUGGAUCUUCUGACCUUCGAAGAUCAACAUUGAGCUUUCCUGGUAUAGAUUAGCCAAGGUCGCGCGGUUAGCAUAAAACAACAUGUAGUAGUGCUCAACGAAGGCCUUGAAAAGUGUGUCUGAAUCGCACCGCACCUAAUCGUUGCGUCAUAGAGGAGACUCGGCUAUGAAAUUUGUUAGAAGGGAUUGCUGCAAAACAAAGUGAUGGGAGGAGACAGAGCAAGUUGGCAACUAGGUUUGAGUUGCACGUGCUUUCAUUAGUUUUUUUUUUUGUCAUUUUUCUUUUCAUUUUUUAUCCUUAUUUUAUCACCAAUGGUCCAUAAGAUUGACCAAACUCAUUAUUUUGGUCCCUCACUUUCAAAAUCAAUCAAUGUCGUCCCUGAAAUUGACUACCACACAUCAAUUUGGUCAUUCUGUUUAGAUUAUGUCAAUUAUUCUGUUAGUAUGCAUGUGGGACCCACAAAUCCAAUAAAAUGGUGACAUGUGGAUUAUACAAAAAAGGGUUUUUAUUGCAAAUGGUCUCUGACAUUCAUCAAACUCCUCAUUCUGGUCCAUGAGUUUCAAAAAUCAAUAAAUUUGAUCCCUGACUUUCACUAUCGCACAUCAAUAGAGUCAUUCCAUUAAAAUUUCGUCAAUAUUUUUUGUUAGUGUACUGAUGUGGUCCCACUAAUCCAAUCAUAUGGUGCCAAGUGGAUUAACUAUCAGAAACUAAUUUUUUUUAGAGUGAACCAACUGACGAAUAUUCUGCGCUGACAUUUCUCUCGCAUCCCACAUUUUCAAUUGGAAAAUAAGAUUCAAUCUAAAUUCAAUAAAAUUGAAUCCAAAUUUGAUAGGAUUAUAACCAACUAGAGAGAUUGAGAAGUGAGUUCACGGAGGACAAGAGCUUUAGUGGUGUCAUGGUGCAUUCCUUUUCUUUUUGAGCAUACCUACAUGAAGACGAUGAUGUCUUUUUUCUUUCUUUUUUUUUAAUUUUAAAUUUCUUAUAGUACUUUUAGUUUUAAAUCUUAAAAAAAAUAUUUUUUUAUAGUUAAUCCAUGUGGUGUCAUAUGAUUGGACCAGUGUGACCAUAUUAUUACACUAACAAAAAAUAUUGACGAAAUUUUAAUGGAAUGAUUAAAUUGAUGUGCGGUAGUGAAAGUCAGGGACUAAAUUUAUUGAUUUUUUAAACUCAGGGACCAAAACGAGGAGUUUGAUCAAUGUUAGGGAUCAUUUGUGAUAAAAAUCCUUCUUUUGUGUAAUCCACAUGUCACCAUUUUAUUGUAUUUGUAGGUCCCACAUGCAAAUUAGCAGAAAAAGUUGACGAAAUUUAAACGGAAGGACCAAAUUGAUGUACGAUGGUGAAUGUCAGGGACGACAUUGAUUGAUUUUGAAAGUGAGGGACCAAAAUGAUGAGUUUGGCCAAUCUCAAGGACCAUUGGUGAUAAAACCCAUAAAAAAAUAUUAAAUAUUUUUUAAUUAAAAUUUAAAAUUUUAAAAUCCUUUUCAUUAGAUUUUUUUAAUUAGUUUUAUUCGUUUGUAUUUGGACUUUGUUUUUUCAAAAUAUUAGGGCCGCCAACUUUGAUCCAAACUUUUUAAUUCCUAAUUGUGCUUGAAUAAUUUCAUUCCUUUGUAUCUGGACUAAUUUACACUUUGUAAUCAAUAUUCAUAUUAGGUCCUUUUUUUUUUCCUGAACAAAUGAUAUUUUCUACACUAAGGAGAGAGGAUGGGCUUAGUUUCACAAUGGGCUAACAAUAAUGUGGUUCAAAUUUGCCACUAGACCAUAGUAUAAGUGAUGAUGAAUACCACUAGACUAUAAUACUAAGUGACAAGUCCUUAGUACUAUCUUUUCUUUAUUUUUUUAUUAAGGAAAAACAUUAAAAGCAAUUUUUCUCCCUGUUUAUAAAUACAGAGAAGAUUUGUCCGAAUAAUUUGGAUUAAAAACAGGCUCCCCGAAUAUACGUAACUAAGAAGAGUACAUGGUAGAGACAAAGUUAUCUUGGCCAAAAUCCAAAUAUUUUUUUCCAAAGCGGUAUGCAAAUGCAAGAGUACAUUUCUUGCACAAAAUCAAUUAUUGUGUUGUGCUUUGAAAGUAUAUAUCCAAAUUCGUAUUGGCCCAAAAUAUAUUUUAUAUUAAUUUAAUUUAAAUCGUGUGGUAGGAGAUUCGAACUCAGUUGCAUAAAAAUAACAAUUUUCGCUUUAACCAACAUGCCUACGCUCACGCCUACUACAUGUUUUACCAAGAUUAACACAAGAUAUUGAUCCAUCUAGUUUAUUUAUAUCUAUAUUUCAUUUAAUUUCCUUGUUUAGUUGCAUUUUAGAGGUAGGGUUGAUUCAAAUUAAUAUUUGAUUAUUUUUAAUUUUUGCAUUGCAGGUUUCAGUCCUAAGAUGUCUCCAAUUUCCGGCGAAAUGAAUGUUUUGCACUAGUGAGUUUGAGUUUUGUCUUCAUUAAAGGUUCAAAUUUAUGAGAGAUUUUUUUUUGGCUUUUUUUUUAUCUUUUAUUUUUUUUAUCCUUUUUUAAAGACUUGAAAAUGGGUUAGAAAAUUAGCAAUUGAAGAACCAUUUGUUGUAGCACCUUUGUAGCACCUUAAUUUACUUUUCAUUUUGCCACAUAGUAUUACGAUCUAGUGGUAUUCCUCUUCACUUGUAAGUGAGAGGUCUUAGGUUUGAGUCUAGCCAAAGGUGAAUUUGAACCACAUUAUUAUUAGCUCAUUAUGAGUCUAAACCCAUCUCCCUCCGCUUAGGGUAGAUAAAAUCCAUACGCUCUUAGAGGAAAAGGCCUUCUCAAAGUUUGAUGCUCAAGGGAAAGAAAUUAAGAAAGGGCUUGAGCCAAGUGAAGCUCCAACCAAGGAUCUAAGCAAAGAGCAAAAAGGGUAUUGGAAUUAAUUUGAAGAAAGUUAAGGUUCCAUCAUAAAACCAAUUGGCAAAAUGAGUAGUAGUCACCCUCUUAUAAGCACAUGCAAUGUCCAUCUUCUCAUCAAUGUGUGAUUCAUUCUCAACAUGCUCCUCACAUGUGGGAAACUUUCAAGCCUAACACGUGAACAACACAACUCAGGUGACUUGGAGCACGUGUGGUUGUUAGGCUUCACACAUGGGACGACAACCUGCUCUGAUACCAUAAAGAAAGUUGAGGAUCCACCAUAAAACCAAUUGGCAAUAUGGGGGGUAGCUCAACCUCUUAGAAGCACAUGCAAGGUCCAUCCUCUCAUCAAUGUAAGAUUCAUUCUCAACAUAAUUUAAAUCAAUUUACUUUGGGGGUUGUUUGGACAAAAUAUAAUAUGCAGAUUUCAGUUCGAUUACGUACUUGAUUUCGUUUCAAUGCAUUGAUAUUGGAUUAAACGUUCUGAAGUUUCCUUUUGCAUUUUUCUUGUUCCAAUCAAGAAAUACUCAUACUCAUCUUUAUUCGUUUGUAGAAUUAUCAAAGAUUUAUAGAACAACUCUGUCCAAUUUGUAGAAUUUUCUCGAAGAUUCGACCACCUCUCUUCCAUGCUAUCUAUCUUUUAGUUCUCCCUUUUGUGAAUGUAAUGCCGUGUUUAAAAUGGUACCUUAGCAUUCAUGUAAUGCCGUGUUUAAAAUGGUACCUUAGCGUUCAUAUUGACAUUCACUGUCUGAACUCCGUUCGAAUAGGGUAAUAGCUCCAAUGAGCCUGCCACAGAACCUGGCAGUCUAUUUCCUUAUGGAUGUAGACUGAGUAGACCGGCUCUUUAGGUUUUUUAAUAUUUAGUGACUGAUCUUUAUUUCUGUACAGAACUCACCAGCUGAAUGCAAUAGGGAGAAGAACGUUAUCCCUGAGCCAACCUCCACUGAAACUCCUGAAGAAGUAAAUUCCUCUCCUUUACUCUUCUUUAAGAUACUAUACUCAAACUAAUCAUUCCUCUCCUUUACUCUUCUUUAAGCACUCUAACAAACAUUUCAACAAUCCUAACUGACAUACUAACCACCUGCUGACAUGCCAUUGCUGAUGCUACAUGCUAACCAGCAUUUUGUUCAAGUGUGGUGAAUUAUCUUCUACACAGAGACAGGCACUGAAUAAGAUUGAACAUCUCUGGCAGCCGUAUGAGACAGCCAUGAGUAAAGCUGAAGCAACUCUAAUGAUCAAGAAAGAUCUCCUCUUUGGCUAACAUUUUGUAAGGCGAAGACUUCUUCCACUUAUGCUCUUUGGGAAAGACAACAUGCUUUGCAAGUAAAACUUGCAUAUUUGAAACGAGAAGAAGCUACUCUUUGCAAGAAUUUUGAGGGUGAGGUUGACGAUUUUAAUUUCCAAAGAUUCUCCUUCUACAAAAGCCUUUCCCCCCACGUCAAUUUUUCUUAGCACUUUUAAUUGCUACCGCCAUUAUUAGUUUUAUUGACAAGACAAUACAAAACUGGUCAUAAGAGAUGGCACAUCUUCUUAAUACACCUACACCAGCCCCCUUCUCUCUAGAAUCUCUCUCUCUCUCUCAGCAGAAGGAAAACCCCAAAAGAAAACAUCACAUAGCCGCCGGCCCUAGCCUUUGGCUUUAGGGUCGGUGGCAGCCCCCUGAUUUCUCUUGUUUUCUUCUUUUAUUCCUCCCUUCUUCUUCACCUAUGCUUUCAUCUGAAUUUGUUUCAGUUUUCUGAGCUCUUAUCUCAGUUUUGGACCAUCUCCUCACUCAAUGGUAGUGCAUCGCCAAAACCAUCUUCCCUCCCUAUCGCACCCCUCUUUCCUUUCUUCCCCUUGCUCCCCCUCAUAUUCCCCAACCUUUAAUCAAAAAUUAGGUCUCGGAUUGUUGGGCUCUAUCUUGACAAUAGUCCCAACUCACACAGCAUUCACCCUCCCCUUAUCCCAUUACGGUUUGUGUCCUUUCUUGUAGGUGCUGUGUCAGUUUUGGUUAUUGGGGGAUGGGUUCUGCACAACCUCUUAGAUCUAUCUUUUGGUUAGUGUGUUUUUUUCAGUUUGGGGCGAUGUUUUCCUUCGUGGCGGCUGCAGUGGUGGUGGCAGCAGCAGUGACUGUUGUUGUGAUGAUGGAGAAUAGGGUUUUGCUGUUGUCUUUUCUUACUUUGCCUACGGACCUAAGUUUAUGUGGGCAUCCCAUUAUAUAUUGGGUUCUUACUCUCCCUUUGUUUGGGCUUGUUUUUAUUUUAUGUCUUGCUUUUUUAUGUAGGGUCUUAUGUUUUUGUGUUUUGGUUGGGUUUAGGCCUAUCUUGCAUAGAUUGUAAUGUACCUUUCAUGAAUGAAGCUUUAUUUUCGAUCAAAAUUGAAAUGACAAAUCUAUCCAAUACUUGAGUAGACUUUAUCAUUUUUUAAAUGUUAUGUGUUAUCUUUUAGAGUUGCAUAGUGAUAGGGUUGAAAUUCCUAUUUUUCAAACAAAAGCUCAUCUAAUUUUAACAUCGAAUAAAAGAGAGAUUUUUGGAACAAUUACUACAAACAUGUUUACAACUUCUUUUUUUAACAAACGAUAUUAUGCAUACUAAGGGUGGAAGAGUGGGAUUCAAAUUCAUCUUUAGUGAGAAUUGAACCUAAGACCUCUCACUUACAAUUAAAGAGGAAUAUCAAUAGACUGUAAAAUCUCUUGUAUUUGGUAUUUCUAUUAACUUAUUAUUUGGUAUUUGGUUAUUUGCUAAAUACUUAUCUAUUAUGUCAUUUUUCUUAUGAUCUUUCAUACAUUUAUGUGAUCAUACCUAUGUGAGAAUUGCAAACUAAGCUAAACUGUGAGUUAAUCAGUUUGUAGUUAUCAUCUAGCCUACACAAAGAAAAUGUUUGAAGUCCCUUCACAAACAAGGCAUAGAAAAGAACCAAACAUGGAUCUAAACCCCAUUCAUUGCACAACCUUUGGAUUAGAAGUUGAAUUUACUUGUGGUGCAAGUUUACAUUCAAAUAACAUUACUAUUCAACAAUUCUGUUGGUAUUUGCAAACAGCACGCCUACCAUAGCAAAUCACUAAUUUAAAAGAGCCUCAUGCCUACUUAAGGUGUUACAAGGCAUUGUAAACUAAUAAAAGUUACAAACACUCGCAUAAGGAAUUGUGUCUCCAACAUAAUGUGACCUAGUACUUCUCAUUUACAUCUGCUUCUCUAAAUUUGAGUGAUGAAAAAUUGAAAAGUUAAAUGAUGAGUUCGGCGAUGAAGUUUACAAUUCUCUAUCUUGUGGGAAUUGGAUGAGUAGUGGUAAGUAUCCUUGUGGGUCAUCUGUAAUGGUGGAAAAGAAUGUAAAUGUUCCAAUACUUAUUGUGGUAGCAAAUUUCCACCCUCUUCAGUUUUGAUUAAAAUGUAACUACAAAACAAUCAACACUUUUGAUCAAAUAACUAAGCUUCACGCGCCCACGAGGUUGGGGGAGGGGGUUAGGCUAAUGGAUCCUUGAUGCCUAUGUUAGUUUCUCUGAAAAGAGUGAGUGCUUAGAGCAUUUAGGUAGCAAAAGCUUACCAAAAUUUGAUAGAGAUGGAAGUAUUUAUAGGAGGAGAGAGCCGGACACAAUGUUAGGGUUUUAUCCUACACGUGGCAGCAUCAUAGUGGCCAAGGUGUGAGGAAAAGGAAUAUUUUCAAGAUAUUAAAUAGAAAAAAUAUCUUGAGAUAAUGGUGGAAGUAUCCCAAAUUGAUUGAAAUAAGGAUUACUUACUUGAUAGAGUUGAUCUUUAAUUGGAAAUGUAUUAAAGAUAUGAUUUGGUAAUUAAUCCCUAUAUUUAAUUGUAACUUCCCACAUCGCCCAGGGGAGUGGAUCCUCGUAAGCUUUAUAUGUAUAUUCUCAUCUCUACAUAGCACGAGGCCUUUUGGGAGCUUAUUAGCUUCGGGUUCCAUCGGAACUCCAAAGUUAAGCGAGUUCGCGCGAGAGCAUUCCCAAGAUGGAUGACCCACUGGGAAGUUCUCAUCUGCGUUCUUAGAAACAAAACCGUGAGGGUGUGGUGGGGGCCCAAAGCGGACGAUAUUGCGCUAUGGUGGAGUCGAGCCCGGGAUGUGGUAGGGGCUCGGGCCGGGAUGUGACAAUUUAGUAUCAGAGCCAAUCCCUGGCCUGAAGUGUGCCGACGAGGACGUCAGGCCCCUAAGGGGGGUGGAUUGUAACAUCCCACAUCGCCCAGAGGAGUGGAUCAUGUAAGCCUUAUAUGUAUAUUCACAUCUCUACCUAGCACGAGGCAUUUUAGGAGCUCACUAGCUUCAGGUUCCAUCGGAACUUUGAAGUUAAGCGAGUUCAUGCGAGAGCAUUCCUAAGAUGAGUGACCCAUUGGAAAGUUCUCAUUUGUCCCAUAAACAAAACCGUGAGGGUGUAGUAGGGGCCCAAAGCGGACAAUAUCGUGCUACGGUAGAGUCGAGCCUGGGAUGUGGUGGGGACUCGGGCCGGGAUGUGACAUUAAUGUUUUUGACUUCCUUGCCAUGAGUAGGAGAGCUAUGAGCAAUCAAAUUCAGUUGCUUAAACAUUCUGGGAUGCUGAGCUGUGUGUGGGAGUAUCUAAGAGACCUACCAUCUAAUGAGUGAGGGCAAUCUUAUCUUUCUUGAGCAAAAGUCCACGUGUCACCUCCAGAAUUUUUAGGAUUAUUUUAGACUCCACACUUAUAAAUGUCAUGUCCCACAAAUUGGGACUUAAUCCAAAUAGAAUAAGUUCUAUAAUAUAAUAGGUUAUUUUUAUAGUGUUCCUUAAAGUUGGUAUUUUUUUUGUUAGCACCUAUAUUUAAAUUGAACUGUUAUUGACAUUCUAAAAAUCUCAUUGUGCACCUUUCACAAGUGUGUUUUUCUUUUUAAAUAUUAAAAAAUUGUAGCACAUAAUGAACAUAUUGGAGUCCCCAUAACAAUCUUUUAUUCAAAUUUGUAUUUAAUAUAACGAAAAAUUAGUAUCUGGUCCUUAGUUUCUAAUGUUCUUUGACUGAGACUUUAUCAGUUUUUAGAUUUUGAUCAAUGUGACAACCCAUCCCUAGUUCUAGAAUUUUAUAAAUUUUAAAGGUGUGAGUUUACGAAAAUGCCCUGAGAGGCGAGGGUAUUGACUUACGUUGUCCAACGUAUAGUGAAACGUAUGACUUAUUCCUUUAACAUACCCUCGUAGUACUCAUUAGUACGCACGCAUAGGCGGAAGCCGUUUACUAGUACGAAUUAUAACGGUAUAGUUACGGACGUUUGAUUUUGGGUUAUUCAAAGAUUAGUUAUAAAUUAUUUGAAUUCCCACCUUGUGGGAUGAGGACCAAUUAAAUUAAAGUACAAGGGACCAAUCAAAUAAAAGGGAACUAAGGACCAAGCAACCAAUGAGAAAAGAGAUUAAGGAGGGAAAUGAGGGAACCAAUCUCCCCUCUUAUUUUUGGACUAGUGUACCUAUAUCACCCAACCCGUUCGGCCGGGGUUAUUCUGGCCAAUUUCCACCCAUUUCCAGGUGAUUAAUGUCAAAUUAACACUUAGGAAACACUUCAUGACCUUUCCUCUACCAAUUACAACCCAAAAUUUAUGGAGUUUGGCUUUGAUUUGAUGAAAACCGUACCUAUGGGCGUGAUGAAUCCGUGUCUUCGAUCCUCCAAAUCUGAAAUGAUUUCAUCCAAUUACUACCACCAUUAGACUCUCCUUGAGGUCUAGAACAAAGCCCAAACAUUGAUUGGAGCGUCGAAGUUGCUUUGGAGUCGAAUCAAGAACACCCAAAUUCAAGGGUUUCCGACGGGUUUUGGAAAAAUUGAGGCUUUUCUCGGCCAAAUUCUAGAAGCGUCAUGUACAUCUUUGGAAGUAACGGAUUGGAAAUCCAUGAUGCGGAUCUUCCGGAUCAAAUCUUAGGGUUGUGUUUUAUGUAAAUUAUGUAUUUUUAUCGGUCAAAAUUCUGAGAUGUGAUUUGAUAAUUAGUCAUAGGUGAUGAUGGUUCGUGACGUCUCGAUAUGCGUGCUAGGGAGUCGUAGUGCGGACCUCAGGUGAAUGGAUCUCUUCCUUUCUAUCGUAUAUAUAUAUAUAUAUGAUUAUGAUUGACAAUUCCAUAAACGUUUAUAAAUUGAAUUAUUGCAUAUAAUUAAUGUAAAUGCUUUGAAAUACUAUCGUUAACUACGAAUCGCUUCAUUCCUGUUUAGGGUACGUAGGCAGUCUAACGAGACGUUAGAUGCAGCCAUAGAAGAAGGGAGACUAAAUAAUUGAGGCAAUAGUCUUGUUUAGGGAAUUGAGUAAUGUGAGGGACAUUGGUGGAAAAUGUGAGAGUUAACAUUAUGACUUGGUGAUUAAUUGGUGGUCAAAAAUCAAUGUGUGAAGAAUUAAGAAUUUGAAGUAAGGAAACGUAAGUAAUGAUAGUUAAUUAAACUAGUGUAUAGUUGGGCUUAUCACCGAUAAUUAUUCCUGAAAAUAAAUAGUUCGAGAGUAGAGCGUUACAGCUUAUGCAUUUUUAUGCCAUAUUAUAUAUAUAUAUAUAUAUAUAUAUAUAUAUAUAUAUGUACAUAAUUGAAAAUGCUAUAACAUGGUUGAGUAUUAGAUUGCAUCAUGGUUUAUCUAUAUGUAUAUUACCUGCACAUAAUUAGUGUGAACGCUUGGAGUGCAAAGGUGAACACAUGACAUUUAGGUAAGUUCAGGUGAGUUUAUGGUAUUAGUUGAAAUGAUGGAGUUAUGGCAUGACCAUAUAAUAUUUUAAGCAACUCCGACACUGUCGUACAAGUUGCCCAUGAAUCGUACAUGUUAUGUUGAGAUGCAUUGAGAGCUCAUAAACCUGCACCCCGGUGUUAGUGCUCCCGCCCAUGGCCAGGGCACAGUCCUUCACGUGAUGUUCACCUCCCGCACCUUACGCUCACCUUGGAUCUAAGGUAGGUGCACAGUCAUGUCGUACAGACCACUAUAGGUGGUUCCGAAUCGUAGGUGACCCGAGAUUAUUCGCACAGUCUUCACGUGAUUGGAGCACUUGAGCGUAUUUAUUUACACUCAGUCCUGUUGUACAGACCAUCUUAGGUGGUUCCGAUUCGUGUGCAGGUAUACUUAUUGAGCUAUGGAUAAGUCGUACAGGUCAUUAGAGGUGACUCCUGUGGAGCCAAAAAUAUUCACAGGGCGACACGUGGAUUUUUGGACAAAAAUGACAAAAAUACCCAUGCAGUACAACGAGGUUCCUACGCGCAAGCAGCGGGCAACCCUUUUUCAACCAAGACAGAAGUGCCCAAAAUAGGUAACAAUUCAAAGUCCAUCUCAUCUAAUCCUUUCUACAAGGUAAUUCCCAAACACAUUCCUUUUAAAUUAUGUUAAUUGGCUAAUUAAUGGGUUUAUUGCCUAAUUAACCCAUUAAUUGUCAAUUAAACCAUCCAUUAUAUCCAAAUAACUACAAAAUACAUCCAAUUCAACCCUAAAACACCACAUGGCCGGCUAUCCCCAUUUCAAAACCUAAUCCAUCACUUUUUUCUACCUUUUUCACCAUUUCUUCCUUUUUAUUACCCAAUAAAUUCAAAAACCACCAAAACAUUCAUCUUAUGUUUAAUAGCCAAAUAAAUUGGCUAAUUAAACCUAAAUUAAACCUAAAAACCCUAGCCACCUCCUAUCCCUAUAAAUAUACUCCCAUUCUCACCAAAAAGCUAAUUCCAACACUUUGGCAAAAAUCCCAAAAUUCUCUAAACACUCUUUCUCUCUAAAUUCUAACUUUGGCAUCGGAGGUUCUUCGGCCAAAGCCCCCCCCAUUCAUCGUGGGCGCGUGAGGCUCUUGGCCUUAACCUAAGAUGUUAAUUGUUUUGUAGGUGCAAAAUUGUCCAAGAUCAAGGAGGAAGAAAUUUGCAUCCACAAAUUGGUGCUUUCAUUGAGAGUUGAAAUCCAUACUCGUAGAAGACUCUCGCACAAAAAGGUUUUUUCUUUAUUUUCUAGUCCAUUUGAAUAUUUUUCAUACGUUCUUAUUAUUAGAAUUUUUUACUUGCAAAGGUUCUUUGAUAAAACGUAUAAGCAAAAUAUAAUGGCUAGAAAUUUAGAAAAUUCCACAAGUGAAAAUUCUAAUGUUCAAGAAAUGGGAUUGCGGAGAUCCGUGAGGCUAAAUGCGACAAUAAGGGGAGCGGCAUCAUCAUCACAAGCUUCCACCAUGGGAACCACCGUGGUGGCUACCUCGGUAGCCACCCGCGGCGAGGUCCAUGGUGCCUUCACCACGACCACCAUGGGAACCACCGCGGUGGCUACUUUGGUAGCCACUCGUGGCGAGGUCCAUGGAGCCUUCACCACGGCUCGGAGAUCCGUGAGGCAAAAUGCGACAAUAAGGGGAGCGGCAUCAUCACCACAAGCUUCUACCAUGGGAACCACCGUGGUGGCUACCUCGGUAGCUUUCCGCGGCGAGGUCCAUGGUGCCUUCACCACGGCCACCAUGGGAACCACCGCAGUGGCUACUUCGGUAGCCACUCGUGGCGAGGUCCAUGGAGCCUUCACCACGGCCCGAGCCGUGCCAUCCAAGGCUCACGGUACCAAGACCACGAUCCAAGCCGUGCCAUCUAAGUUUACGUGGACCCAAGCCCAAGCCUCGCAUUCACAUGCACCGCGCAUUGAGCAGCCUGCUCCCGUGAUCCACCCUGCUUCCGUCAAGCAACCCACUCUCACGGCCCAACCUGCUCCUGCCGAGCAGCCUGCUCUCGUGACCCAGCCUGCUCCCGACGAGCAGCCCACUCUCACGGCCCAUCAUGCUCCAGUGGCUUUCCAAGCAGCCCAAGUCGACCCAAGACUAUCUCAACCAUCCGGACCUACCAUCGAGCCGGGGGCAUUCUCACCAUAUUUUUUCGUGGAUUUGACAUUUCCCAAUUCAAAUCUCGCGCCCGAAGUCUACCACAUUUCCACUGCCCAAGGAGGCGCAUUCCUUCCAAGCUCUUCCAAUCCAAAGGGCGAACAACACUUGUCCCGACAAGUCAUAGAGUUGACGAGCGCCCUUGCACAACAGACAACUUUGGUGAAUCAACUUUUGCAACGCAUCGAGAUCCAACGUGCCCCGGACGAGGUAUCCCGAAGUAGGACAAGGGCAGACAAACCUUUCCAGCAACGUCCCGGCAAGCAGCCAUUAGACCAGCCACGAGCCGAACGUUCAGGCAGUGUACAUUCCCGAUUGGGCCCCCGAGAUAGCGUAUACUCCCGUCUUAGCGCGCGGAUGAGCGUGUACUCUCGACUAGGCUCACGGAUGAGCAUACAUUCACGGUUGGGGUUACACUCCGAUAGUCAACAUGAGCAACCUUCCGGACAAAGUGUUCAUUCGCGGCUAAGCCCACAAGGAGCAUCAUCCACCUCACAUCAGAGUAGGCAGCACGACGGACGGAGAGAGGCAGUCACUCAAUCCAGCUCAAGUUCAACUAGCAGCCUGCGAAGAACUCGCUCGCCUGCUAGGAACGCACCACAUGCAUUGCAUCUGCGGCGUAGACGAGCCAAACACAUGGAAGAGCAGUCUAGACCAGCAAGUCAUGGCUGGGGGCAGCCGAAAGCUCCGCUACCCCAACAAAGGCAAAUUCAGGAAGAAGUAGAUAGACUCUUGACCAAGCGAUUGCAUGAUUUCCAAUGCAACGAGGUCACCGACGAGGCACUACGAUGGAACAUGACCAACAUAAGCAGGUCACCCUUCACGGACGAGAUCGAGCAGGCAGAGCCUCCACGAGAGUUCAUCAUGCCACAUUUCACAUCUUUCAAAGGGGAUGAAGACCCGGAGAGACACUUAAAGCGCUACCGAAGCGCAAUGAUCCUUUAUCGAAACAACGAUGAGCUUAUGUGCAAGAUAUUCGCCAUCACUCUACAAGGCGAGGCGCAAGAUUGGUUCUACACCCUGCCGCCACAAUCCAUCCGGAAUUUCUACGAACUUUCUUUGGUUUUUACCAAAGAAUAUUCAUCCUAUCGCUCGAUCAAAAAGAAAUCCGAUCAUUUGUUCAACGUCAAGAAGAACCCAAAGGAGUCACUUCGCGACUAUGUGAUGAGGUUCAAAGUAGAGAAGGCAAAAAUAGUCGGAUGCAACGACUCGAUAGCUAGAGCAGCCUUCCAAAAAGGACUUCCAGCAGACCACCCGCUAUUCGGAAAAUUGAUCAUGAAAGAAAAUCUAACUCUGGCAGACUCUUUUGCUUUGGCAGAGAAGUAUGCACUUUGGGAUGAGGCUCGCCAAUGCACAUUCAAUGACUUGAAGAAGUACCCGACAUCACCUCCCUAGAAGCAGCGGAUGACUUAUUCACAUGUUUGACGGUAUCUAAAGUAGCAAUAAGCUCUACCAUCAUGCGAGAAGAGAUGGGGGCCCGACUACCUGUAGUCCACAGUUACCUGUAUUCUACAGUUCAAAAGCUCUCCUCAAUGUUAUUAAAAAUUCAAAAGCUAACUUUGGCGAUAGUUGUUGUAACCCAGAAGCACAAGUUUUACUUUCAAACGCAUGCAAUCAUCCUAAUGACGUACUAUUCUGCCCAAUCCAGACGCGCGACGAUAAAGGCGUAGACCCUGGCGGAUGUAAAGUUUUCUGACGAACGCAACACUAGAAGGACACACUCGAAAGCAAGUUUUGUCCUCGUUACCCUAAAAGAUUCUACAUAGGAGCAACAUGUACCGGCAGUUGAGUACCAUUUCUUGUUGCGCAUCACAUGGCCCUAGCCGACCCUUGCUCAAUGAUUCAACUCUAGAGUGGCCCAAUACCGGCAGUUGAGCAUCUCCUGUUGCGUAUGACAUGGCCCCAUCUCCACAGCUCCCUACUGCGUCUUCACGCCGAGCCUAGGUGACGCAACAGAGCGGCCCAACGAUGCCUCAGAAGUAGCCGAGCACACUCUAGCUGCGCCUACUCCACCCGAUGGAGACUUCUGGCAUUUGCAUGUCGACGACGCAGAAAAGCCUUCAUCACUGCCAGCAGAGAAGGCUCCAAAAAGAUGGAUCCCAUCUGGGAAGGUCCGUACAAGAUCAGCAGAGUAGGGGGCAAGAGUAAUUACACCCUUACCACCAUGAAGCGGCAAAAAGAUUGAAAAGAAAUGGAUGGCCUACAAUCUGAAGAAGUACCAUGUGUGACCUCCCGCUAUAUCAAAACCCGAAGACUCAAUAAGCUCGACGGGCACCACCUCACAAGCUGAGGACUAUCCAGUUGUUAUGUAGUUCCUACCUUACAGCUAAAGUUCUCGUUCGUUUCACUCGUUUUUCAAUGAGGAAUUUAGAAGUAAUCACAACUUGGCUUGGCUGCAUGCUUACAACAACUAAUCACCCCUGCACUUCAAAAGAAGACUGCGCCCUUCUUAGGGACUCAUCGCAGGAAUUGCGCCCCCCGAGGGACCAACCAUGCUCUCCAGUGCGAGAGGGUAAACCAAUUCUCCGACACCCAUAUGGGUCAGCUCUCCAAGACGGGAGGAUAAACUUUACACUCCGAAUAUCCAGACGUGGAUGAGCCUGGCUGCCCUAGUAUAACUAGAUGCACGAUGGCUUGCGCCGGGAUUCCUAGAAGUAACCGCAAUGGUCUUUUUCAAGGUUUAGCUAACUGAAGGAAUUUGGGUCUCUUGGCCUAAUCCGUGGGGAACCGGGCCCUAGAGACGGAGAGGGCACAUUACGCAUUACAUCCGAUGGACGGCUACCCUGGAAUCCAAAAGCUGCUACCGAGUGCACUAAGGUAGCCUACGGAUUCCGGAAGACUGCCUACGGCUUGCCUUUCGAGCAGUGAAGCCGCACUAGACUUAUACAACCGCACAUUCUUGUGAAAGGUUAAACAAGCUAGCGCGCAUAUACGAAGUUUUAUCCACUGCCGACAUGCUACGUAGUCGAUAAGCUUCACCUCUGCCAAGCGCGGAACAACCUACACCAAGUCCUAAAGUGUUGUGAUACUUGCUACGCAACAUACGGAAUUGAAGAAAGUCAAGGUUAACAGCCUAGUGGUUACGCGGACUUGUCUGCUUCUGUAAGUAAGGCAUCCGGCUGCCAACCCUAUGGCUAACAACUUUGCAAAGUUCUACACCAACACCUACGGCUGCAUAGGCUACACGAGUUUGUCUGCUUAUAAAAAAGUAGCAUGCCUACCACUGGUCUAUCAAGUCUAAAGGUUAGGGCAUGAACAAAAGAAGUGAAGAUGAAGAAAAACGAAGGAAAACAUGUUUUUAAACAACUAGCAAAGGCCGAAGGAGUUCAAGCAAAACAAAAGCUACAAGGAAAAACAAAGAAAAUCCUAAAGGCUACCUAAAAUACUACACUACAGCAGCUUGGACAUCCCACGACUACUCGGUCGCCACACCUUUAACAGCCGUAACGCUCUUAGUAGCGGCAUCAUCCGACGCUUCACCCCUGGUUGCCCCAGUCUGGGCACUAACUUCUCCAACUACUUCACCAAUGGAAACUUUAAAAGUAAAAGCAAGCAAGUCUUCCGGAGAAAUAGAAAAGGUCUUAAAACCUCAAGCCCAUCCUUCUCACCCUUCAGUUGCUCAUUCUUCUUAAGCAGACUAACACGGACGCGCUGCAGCUCAUCCACUCUCUUCUUAGCAUAAGUAGCGAAACGAAGCUUAGAAAUUGCAAGCUUAAGAUCUUGAAUCUGAGGCGAAUCAAUCUCAGCAGCAAAGGGAGCAGGCUUUAGCGCCACUUUAGUAGCAGAGUCCACCUUACCACUCUUCAUAAUAGCAAGUCUCUACAAAGGUGAACCGGACUUGGCUCCCAAAGAACGUCCUGGUACAGACUUCGGCACUGGGGGCAUGAUAAAACCUUUACGCUGAGUAAUCUUAUCCACAAUUGUACUAGCCAUUCUCAACAUGGAAGACGCCACAUGCUCAGAUCUAGCAGCCUUACAUUUCUUCCCAUUGGAAGAAGUCAUGUCAAUCACAUACCUCUUGGUAGCAAACAGACCCUCAUGAGCAGCGAAAGAAGUCUUUGGUUUUUUUCUCAGCCGACAUCUCUUGAGCAAGCAGAGAAGAUCCAUUUUCCCACCUUCACUUGCAGCAGGAUCCACAACAGUGAUUGGACGAGCCAGUGCAUCCGCUUUGAUCCUAUUCCCCUCAUCUUUUGGGAACAGCCCACGUUUCUCCUGAUGAAAAGAGUUAAAGUAGCCAACAUCAUUCGUGGUACCUAGCAGGGAAGUUCAACCCAACAUUCCAGCAAUUCAUGUGGUUCGCAACCUCUUCAUUUCUCUCAAUCACCAGCCUAGCUCGAGUCAUGUCCAAAAGCCUAAAAAGACAUGAGCCAUGUGACUUGCCUAACAUUGCGCCCCAGUGCCACAAUCCGAGGUCCCAACCACACAAGCUGCCCUUGGUUCUAGCCAAGUCGAGCAGCUUAAAGCAGUGGUCCCUGCCACAAUACCUCAUCGGCCCAUGCCGAGUCGACUCAUGGCCCAUGCCAGCCGACGUGCCGCACCACCCCGACGGCUGCCCCGCAGUAGCACUAUCCACGAAGAAGACGAAGAAAUCAACGAAAGACGGUCCUUUGCACGGGCAAGAUGUAGAAGAUUGCUAGAGGAAGGGGAACAAAUAUCCUCUAAGCUAUCUCUCUCUUGUAGGGUAGAAUAAAUCGCUCUCCAAAGUUGAUUUAAUAACCCAUUUAAGGUGGAUUUAAAUAGGCUUUGAGAGAAAUUUAUUUCUCUUUCCUAGAAGGAUCUAAUUUCCUAUUAAAGAGAGAAUCUACAUCAAAAUAGGAAGCAGUCCUAAGUUUCCUAAAGCAAGAAGAUCUCUACACCUGCUGCCCUUUUCUGCGAGCAGCCCAACAGGUGUGGGGGCAUUUGUGGAGCCAAAAAUAUUCACAGGGCGACACGUGGAUUUUUGGACAAAAAUGACAAAAAUACCCAUGCAGUACAACGAGGUUCCUACGCGCAAGCAGCGGGCAACCCUCUUUCAACCAAGACAGAAGUGCUCAAAAUAGGUAACAAUUCAAAGUCCAUCUCAUCAAAUCCUUUCUACAAGGUAAUUCCCAAACACAUUCCUUUUAAAUUAUGUUAAUUGGCUAAUUAAUGGGUUUAUUGCCUAAUUAACCCAUUAAUUGUCAAUUAAACCAUCCAUUAUAUCCAAAUAACUACAAAAUACAUCCAAUUCAACCCUAAAACACCACAUGGCCGGCUAUCCCCAUUUCAAAACCUAAUCCAUCACUUUUUUCUACCUUUUUCACCAUUUCUUCCUUUUUAUUACCCAAUAAAUUCAAAAACCACCAAAACAUUCAUCUUAUGUUUAAUAGCCAAAUAAAUUGGCUAAUUAAACCUAAAUUAAACCUAAAAACCCUAGCCACCUCCUAUCCCUAUAAAUAUACUCCCAUUCUCACCAAAAAGCUAAUUCCAACACUUUGGCAAAAAUCCCAAAAUUCUCUAAACACUCUUUCUCUCUAAAUUCUAACUUUGGCAUCGGAGGUUCUUCGGCCAAAGCCCCCCCAUUCAUCGUGGGCGCGUGAGGCUCUUGGCCUUAACCUAAGAUGUUAAUUGUUUUGUAGGUGCAAAAUUGUCCAAGAUCAAGGAGGAAGAAAUUUGCAUCCACAACUCCAACUUAUGAGCUAGCAUAUGUGAUGAAAUAUGUGAUGAGCUAACAUAUGUGAUGAAAAAUGUGAUGAGAUAGCAUAUGUGAUGAAAUUUGUGAUGAGCUAGCGUAUGCGAUGAAAUAUGUGAUGAGCUAGCAUAUGCGAUGAAAUAUGUGAUGAGCUAGCAUAUGCGAUGAAAUAUGUGAUGAGCUAGCAGAUGCGAUGAAAUAUGUGAUGAACUAGCAUAUGUAAUGACAUAUGGGUAAGUCGUAUAGGUCAUUAUAGGUGACUCCGACUUAUGAGUUAACAUCGAUUGAUGAGAUAUGGGUGCAGUUGUAUAGGUCACCAUAGGUGACUCCGACUUGCAUGCUAGUAUGAGUUAUUAAUCACACGAUUAUUGAUAUUGCUGAUGAGAUGCUGUGUUGUGGUAUAUUUAUGAUUUUUCUGGUAAGUAUACAAAUGUUGUAGCGAGGAGUUAUAAUGUUCUAUAUGGUUUCUAUUAAAAUUUUAUUACCAGGGCCACUCACCCUUGGUUUGUUUUCACCCUACAGGUUUUAUUAGCUGAGCUUUCGUAUCAACGAAGAUUUGUGGCAAGUCUUGAUAUGGGAGAUUACCUUCAAUGGUAUGAUUUUCAAUCCACUCUACUGUACUUUACUUAUGCUCUGACGUUACGUGUGAAAUGAAUUCAUUUCCGCUCACGGCGCACUCUGGUAUUUAGGCACUCUUAGGUUCCAAUUUAUUCAUAUUUUUUCACAUCUUUACACUUUAUGGCUUCGUCACCUUCCAGGUGUCGGCUAGCACAGCUCGAUUAGGAUGCCUUGAGGUGUGUCAGUUUGGUAUCAGAGCAUAAGUUUUGCAGUAUUGUGUUUAUCACAGCGUGAUGUGAGUAUUCUUGGUUCUCGAGUCUAUUGUUUGAAUCUUGCCGCCUCGUCAAAUACGGAAAAUAUGUUAGUUGUUCCUAAGUUUGGGCAGAUUUGACGACUCGUCGAUCUUUAGAAGAUCAUUUUGGCGAGUGUCUCUAGAUUAUAAGCAAAGAACUUUUUUGCCAAUGAAAGGUAUAGAUUUGAGGUAAGUUGAUGGCCUAAGUUAAUGUAUUGUUAACCGUGUAUCACCAAAGAUUUUACCAAAUAAUUAUACCAUUAUUCUUCCAUCGUUAGUAUUGAUCCUUUUGAGAUUGGGAAAUCUCAGCUAGUCUUGAUUUCUUGGUAGCAUUUCACGGAAGAUCAUCUUAGGGAUAAUUACUUUUAGUCCCUAUUAACACUAAUAUUUUCAAACGUGCUUGUGUUCAUGUUGGAUCUUCAAGAGGAAGGUCGACUCUCAAUAAAGUUCUUUUUGAAAAUAAAUCUUUAGCAAAGUCUUUUUCAGCCGUGGAAUUUUUCGACCAACGCUCAAUUCCAGAUGGUGCUUUUAUUGUUAUACUUAUUAAAUGGGUGAGAAUAGGCUUGCGAGUGUAAGUUGUCAUAUCCUAGGAGUAGUAGAAAUCCGAAAAGCAGUUAUCAAGUCCUCCUAGGAUCAAUGAACUACUUCGUUGAGCCGAAUAAACUAGGAUCGUGGAAUCUUAGGAACAAGCUUUGUAUUAGAAUAGUUAACUCAAGGUUGUUUUUACCUUAUCACUUACCUAGGUAAAUAAAACCUCUUUGACUAGCCACAUCUUGAUCACUUUAGUUCGUGUCGUAGAGUUGGUUAGUAAUACAGUGCAUUUCGCGGACGUAUACUUUUAGCGUCAUAUUCCAAAAUCUUAGAUGGGAUAUCACCAAAUUAUGAAGUGAGGUACAUCAUCAACUCACCUCCUAGUGUUACACUAAUUUUCCUUACUUCAUAUCAAACGUUUUUGACGUCGUUGAGAAACUUAGUUACAAAGUUUACCAAUUAGGAAUUUACCCAAACUGGAACCAAACACUUUAGCGUAGGAACCUCAAACCUUUCGGCUACAGUGUUUUCCUCACUUAUGACCGAGGAAAGUUAAAUUAGAGUGGGUUAUUAGAAAUGAUUAAAGUACCUGACAACUGAAGUGUUGUCUUAUCUUACCCCUAUUUUACACCUUUUGUUGACUCUGAUCAUUUCGAAAUCCAGUGUGACGUGUUCGUUGGAUGUUUCGACUGGGCAGAGGUAACAUGACGAGUAUUGCUUUUAUUUUCCAACGGUUAGAACCGUUCGAAACGAACCAUCUUAUUCAUGACCUAAAGUCAACAGUCAUCAUCUUAUUUCGGAAGCUAGAUGACACCUAUAUAUGGAGAUUUUGGUGAUGUAUGGUGAUUGUCGAUUGAUGUGACAAGUCAAUUCGCUUUCCGUUGGUUCAAAAGGACAAUAUUUUCACUUCUUUGUACUGGAAUGUCUUCUAGUUAACCUUAGGUACGUGUCUACCCUACUACACUUUGUAUUGCCUUAAACGGAAGCACUGUCAAGAAGAACCACUAACAUUGAAAGUGUAGUUGUAACCAUUAAUUACUUAAUCACCCAGUAAACUCUCAGUUGAACGAAUUUUACCGUGGCGAUCGAAUAUCUCAAAAGCUAUUGUCGUAGUUCGAUGUUAUGUAUUCAGUCUAGUUAUCUCUUAUUCUAAAUUUGACGGACUUGCCUUGAUCCCCAAAUUCUCGAGUAUUCUUCUACCCUUCUUGACAUUAUCACUUUCUCACUAAGUUCGAGGGAACUUCAUUAUAAAAUUACUUGAUAAAGCGUUGCAAACUAUGUUAGCUCGACUACAUAACAGGUAUGUCACUAUUACAUCUUAUUGGGAUGCAUGUUUACAAGUGUUUGGGAAGCCUUCUUGAUACCAGUUCAGGCAAACAGAAAUUCAACAAGAUUAUCAUCUUGGUGUAUUUAUAUUUCAUCGUGCUACCUGUUUCACUUCCAAACCCUUGGGAAGUCUUUAUGAAGGUUAUGAAUAUUAGAUGCUGUUUAGUAUCACAUUUCUACCCCUAAACUAAUUAUUAGCUCGAAACUAGCUACUCAGACCUUAGUGGACGAAUUUCAUCUUGUUCGUUCCACCAUUAUCCUGGUUGCAACAUACCAUUGUCUCUAUUUUAGUUGCUUGUAAACACGGUUACAAUUUUGGUUUAGCGAUGGUACCAUUGGAGUCGACAUGCAAAGACUUUAUGCACAUUGCAUAUUUGAUAGACGCUUAAUUUGUUAGAGUUAUGUGUAUCUACAGUUACAUUUUUUAUUAGGAGUAUGGCAUCAUUUGAGAGAUAAUGUAAUUAUUAUAUUUGUGGCAUGGUAGUGAAAGAGAAGGAAAGUUUGAGCUUGGAAGCAUAAAAGAGGAAUUACUGCACUCCGAUCGCGAUAGAAUGACAUUCUAUUUUAUGCAACCGCUCUAGUUUGAUUUCUUCUUAUGUGUACAUUUUCUUACGAUUUUUUGGAGCAUUUUAUGUAUAACUAGUGAUUUCAAAUUUCGGGGACGAAAUUUUUUUAAGGUGGAUAGAUUGUGACAACCCGUCCCUAGUUCUAGAAUUUAUAAAUUUUAAAGGUGUGAGUGUACUUAAAUACCCUAAGAGGCGAGGGUAUUGACUUACGUUGACCAACGUAUAGUGAGACGUAUGACUUAUUCUAUUAACAUAUCGUCGUAGUACUCAUUAGUACGAACGCAUAGGCGGAAGCCGUUUGCGAGUCCGAAUUAUAACGUAUAGUUACGGACGUUUGAUUUUGGGUUAUUCAAAGAUUAGUUAUAAAUUAUUUGAAUUCCCACCUUGUGGGAUGAGGACCAAUUAAAUUAAAGUACAAGGGACCAAUCAAAUAAAAAGGAACUAAGGACCAAGCAACCGAUGAGAAAAGAGAUUAAGGAGGGAAAUGAGGGAACCAAUAUCCCCUCUUCUUUUUGGACCCGUGUACCCAUAACACCCAACCCGUUCGGCCGGGGUUAUUCCAGCCAAUUUUCACCCAUUUUUCCGGCGAUUCAUGUCAAAUUAACACUUAGGAAACACUCCAUGACCUUUCCUCUACCAAUUACAACCCAAAAUUUAUGGAGUUUGGCUUUGAUUUGAUGAAAACCGUACCCAUAGGCGUGAUGAAUCCGUGUCUUCGAUCCUCCAAAUCUGAAAUGAUUUCAUCCAAUUACUACCACCAUUAUACUCUCCUUGAGGUCUAGAACAAAGCCCAAACAUUGAUUGGAGCGUCGAAGUUACAUUGGAGUCGAAUCAAGAACACCCAAAUUCAAGGGUUUCCGACAGGUUUUGGAAAAAUUGAGGCUUUUCUCGGCCAAAUUGGCUUUGGUCAUAUGUAUGAAAGUUGUUCCACUCAUUGAGAUUGUCAUUCCUGUAAAUAUUGGUAAUUUUUGGAAAUAGUUGGAUUUUUCGACGAGUCGGGGCGGUCGACCGCCAAUCGCGGCGGCGCGUGGCCAGGGGACCGUCGAUGUUAUUCUUAGGCUAAAUUAGAUGUCUUGAGUUCAGUUUUGGUGAUUUUAUAUCGUAGGUUGAUCGUUUGGACCUAAAUUACGUUACUUGGUAAAAAUGUGAAUCGACGAUCCGAUCGUUGGAUCGUCACCAAACUUUUAUACAUUAUAGUACAUAAUGUUUAAGGACCAUAGAAACUUAUGGAUUGGGAAUCUGACGAACGGAUCUUCCCAAAUUGGAUAUGUAAGUUCAUAAAAUAAAAUGUUGACCGCCACUUGGUUUUUGACAAUUAGCGGAGAUCCAACCAUUGGAUCGUAAUGAAAUUUUAGGAUGUUAUUCUAGAAGCAUAAUGUGGAUCUUUGGAAGUAACGGAUCUGAAAUCCAUGAUGCGGAUCUUCCGGAUCAAAUCUUAGGGGUGUGUUUUAUGUAAAUUAUGUAUUUUUAUCAGUCAGAACUCUGAGAUGUGAUUUGAUAAUUGGUCAUAGGCGACAAUGGUUUGUGACAUCUCGAUAUGCGUGUUAGGGAGUCAUAGCGCGGACCUCAGGUGAGUGGAUCUCUUCCUUUCUAUCGUAUAGUAUAUAUAUAUAUAUAUAUAUAUAUAUAUAUAUAUAUAUAUAUAUAUGAUUAUGAUUGACAAUUCCAUAAACGUUUAUAAAUUGAAUUAUUGCAUAUAAUUACUGUAAAUGCUUUGAAAUACUAUCGUGAACUACGAAUGGCUUCAUCCCUGUUUAGGGUAUGUAGGCAGUCUAACGAGACGUUAGAUGCAGCCAUAGAAGAAGGGAGACUAAAUAAUUGAGGCAAUAGUCUUGUUUAGGAAAUUGAGUAAUGUGAGGGACAUUGGUGGAAAAUGUGAGAGUUAACAUUAUGACUUGGUGAUUAAUUGGUGGUCAAAAAUCAAUGUGUGAAGAAUUAAGAAUUUGAAGUAAGGAAAUGUAAGUAAUGAUAGUUAAUUAAACUAGUGUCUAGUUGGGCUUAACACUGAUAAUUAUUCCUGAAAAUAAAUAGUUUGAGAGUAGGGCGUUACAGCUUAUGCAUUUUUAUGCCAUAUUAUAUAUAUAUAUAUAUAUAUAUAUAUAUAUAUAUAUAUACAUAAUUGAAAAUACUAUAAUAUGGUUGAGUAUUAGAUUGCAUCAUGGUUUAUCUAUAUGUAUAUUACCUGCACAUAAUUAUUGUGAACGCUUGGAGUGCAAAGGUGAACACAAUACAUUCAGGUAAGUUCAGGUGAGUUUAUGGUAUUAGUUGAAAUGAUGGAGUUAUGGCAUGACCAUAUAAUAUUUUAAGCAACUCCGACAUUGUCAUACGGGUUGCCCAUGAAUCGUACAUGUUAUGUUAAGAUGGAUUGAGAGCUCAUAGACCUAUACCCUGGUGUUAGUGCUCCCGCCCGUGGCCAGGGCACAAUCAUUCACGUGAUGUUCACCUCCCGCACCUUACGCUCACCUUGGAUCCAAGGUAGGUGCACAGUCCUGUCAUACAGACCACUAUAGGUGGUUCCGACUCGUAGGUGACCCGCGAUUAUUCGCACAGUCUUCACGUGUUCAUAGCACUUAAGCGUAUUUAUUUACACUCAAUCAUGUCGUACAAACCACCUUAGGUGGUUCCGACUCGUGUGCAGGUAUACUUAUUGAGCUAUGGAUAAGUCGUACAGGUCACUAGAGGUGACUCCGACUUAUGAGCUAGCAUAUAUGAUGAAAUAUGUGAUGAGCUAGCAUAUGUGAUGAAAAAUGUGAUGAGCUGGCAUAUGUGAUGAACUAGCAUAUGUAAUGAGAUAUGGGUAAGUAGUACAGGUCACUAUAAGUGACUCUGACUUAUGAGUUAACAUCGAUUGAUGAGAUAUGGGUGCAGUCGUAUAGGUCACCAUAGAUGACUCUGACUUGCGUGCUAGUAUGGGUUAUUAAUCACACGAUUAUUGAUAUUGCUGAUGAGAUUUUGUGUUGUGGUAUAUUUAUGAUUUUUCUGGAAACUAUACAGGUGUUGUAGCGAUGAGUUAUAAUGUUCUAUAUGGUUUCUAUUAAAAUUUUAUUACCAAGACCACUCACCUUUAUUUUGUUUUCACCCUCCAGGUUUUAUUAGCUGAGCUUUCGUAUCGACGAGGAUUUGGGGCAAGUCUUGAUAUGGGAGAUUACCCUUAAUGGUAUGAUUUUCAAUCUACUCUACUGUACUUUACUUAUGCUCUAACGUCACGUGUGAAAUGGGUUCAUUUCCGCUCACAGCGCACUCUGGUAUUUAGGCACUCUGAGGUUCAAAUUUAUUCAUAUUUUUCCACAUCUUUACACUUUGUGGCUUCGUCACCUUCUAGGUGUCGGCCAACACAGCUCGAUUCGGAGUCCUUGUGGACAUUCCGGGUCGGGAUGUGUCAAUCAAAGUCUCUAGUAUUAAUGUAUUAAUGAAUUAAAUGUCAGUUACAUAAUUUUUAAAAAUAAAAAUUAGUAAUUGAUUUAGGGUUUAAAUACUCACAUAUUUAUUAAACUCCUAAUUAAUUUUCAAUUCAAAACAUUUCCAAAAUAUAAAAAAAUAAAAUUAGAAUAAGUUUGUACCCAUUAAUUUUUUUUAUAAAAAAGUUCAAUUUUUUUAUCUUAUAUGUACCCAUUCAUAUAAUUCUUCAAUUUUAAUGUACCUUUUUUUUAAAUAUAAAAUUCAUUCAAUCUUUUUUCUAAUCCACUUUUUUAACUUAUAUGGGUACAUUCUAUGAUUUGAGAAUGUAUCCAUGUCAAGUUUAAUAGAAGAAAUUUAAUAAUGUUAUUAAGCCUAAUAUAUAUAUAUAUAUAUAUAUAUAUAUAUAUAUAUAUAUAUAUUUGAAAAAUGUAUCCCAUGUUUUGGUGCAAUAAUUUUUUGGUUAGUUUUGAUGAACAUACCCAUGCAUGUGUAUAUAUAUAUACACAAUAUAUUGGAGAGUAUAAUUUAUCUUUAAUAUUUUUUAUCCCAUAAAUAAUGGGUUUUAUUUAAAAAUUAAAAAUACAUUAUUACAUUAAUGUCAAAGACUUCGAUCAAAAACUGAAAACCACAAAGGUUUUAAUUAAAAAACAUUAAUAAUUAGAGAUCACAUCCAACGUCUCCUUUAAUAUAAACUUGCUCUCGUUAAUUUGAGAAGUCCUCCAAAAAAAUUACUUUGAAGGUCAACUGAGACAAGUAUAUAUUGACUAAAAACAAUUUAAAAAGAAGGAAAAAAAAUAAGAUAAAACGAAGGGAAAUUUGGUCUAAUAAUAGCCUUGGCAAAAAAAUCACCAAUAAAAAAUAGCCCUGCUUAAAAAAUGUAUUCAAUUAUAGCUCUUUUUGACGAAAUUUUCUUAACUUAGGAUUUAUCCAUAUCGACAAAAUAUAAAAAUGCAUCGACGAAAUAUCAAUAACAGAUAAAAUAUCAACAUUCGGACAAUUUAGUACAUAAUGAAUUUCAGGAGUAGGGCUAAUUUUUAUUGCUGGCUUUGCAGUUGGGUCAUUGAAGCGACAUCAUGACCUUAUUAACUGAGUUUGUCUUGAGUAAAAACCAUAACACUAAACCAUUGAAUAAUCUUCAAUUUAUUACAUGACAAAUUAACUAUAGUCUUAAAGAAGGGGUGUGAUAUUCACACAUCCCAUUUUACUUCUCACACACCUUUUUAAUUUUCGAUCGUCGGAUCGGAUGAAUUGAAGAAGAUCAACAGAUAAAAAUUAUUAAGGGGUGUGUGAGAAGUAAAAUGGGGUGUGUGGAUAACACACCCCUUAAAGAAACGUGUCAUUUUGAUAUUAAAGAAAUCCAAUAUACGGUUGAAAUGUUGAAUUAUGAUCAACGACCUUGCAGACUGAUCUUUCUUCCAGCAUUCGAAGGCCAACGUACCUGCCCGAAGAACAGAAUUUGGAGUGGGAAAACAACAACAAUAUAUUCUUAUAUGAAAAAAAAAAGGAAAACAAAAUAACCAAAUAAUUUAUAUUUCGGAGGAUUAUUUAGUUAAAAAUGAUUAAGUAGUUGUAUUAAGUAAAGGUAAUUUCUUAUGGAUUUAUUUGAAUGUAUGUAGCAUGCAUACCUGCCUAACAUCAUAAGAGUAGCCUGAGGAUUGGUCCCUGGUGAUAAACUUUUGAAUACAGAUCCAUCAACAACACGUAAUGCCUUGAUCCCCAUGACCCGCAAAUCUCCAUCAACUACCCUUCCGACCAGGCAUCCACCAUGGUAAUGCCAAAAUGUGGCUACUGUAUUUCGACAAAAGGUUUCAAAUGAUGCAACAUCUGACUGGUUCAUUGGUAAAGACGGUCCAAAAAAGUUAAAACCUUCUUCACCUGGUAAAUCUUGAGUCUUAAACGGUUUCAAUGAGUUUGUUUUUAAUAAAUCACCAAUUUUCCUCACGGCACUAACACAACGAGAAAGGUCUGGCUUCUGUGCAAAGUAGUUGAAUUUGACAUUUGGGCCGACUUUGACAUCAGAGGAAGAUUGCAAUUUAAGAGAACCAUAGGACAAGGGUGCUGGAUGUUUUACAACAAUGUGCCCGAAAGUUGAAUUUAUCGUCAUGGGAAUGGUUGGAUUAGGGAAAAGACUAAAGGCCGGAGUAGAAAAUGGCAAGCCGGAGAAAGUCUCUAUAUAGUAAUCACUUGUGAUACCAGCAAUCUGUGCAGUAGAAGGUUCUAGUUGAAAUGGGGGCAAAAUGGUAAUGUAAUUACGAGGAUUGUCACGCAUAAACUGCCCAACGUAAGGUUGUGGGUGAACAACUGGGAUUUUAAGAGAUGAAAAGUAGGACUUCGAGCCAACACCACUAAGUAGCAGAAGUUGAGGACUCCCAAUUGCCCCUGCACUCAAUAUAACUUCACCCUUACCACGUAUCAAUGCCCGAUGAGACCUCCCGUUAAGAUCACUGUAUAUGAUUCCUUUAGCUGACAAACCUGCAUUAAAUCGAUAUUAGAAUUGAACUAAUAUUUAAUUUGCAAGUAAUUAAAUAUAUAGAUUAGAUUCAAAUUCAAAUUCAAAUUCUUUAAAUGUAUUAAAGAGUUUUUCUUUGUAACGCCAUGAUAGAUUUGGUUUUUGUUUUUCGAAACAUAUUAAUGUACUUACACAUAUGUAUAUGCAGUAAUAUGUACGCAACAUACAAGGUCAAAAUCAAAGUCCAAUCAAAAUCCAAUCUAAAAUUGAUUUAAUGAAAAAUAUGAAAAACCUUAACUCAUCUUAUCCAAGUAUGGAAAUCUAAAUGGCCUUUAAUUGUAUAUAUCAAAUGUUAGCAUACCUGAUGCUUUGGAAGAGAAAAGGAUCCUCUCAACUGCGGCAUGAAUUGCAACUCUCAG
rnacentral:lncRNA from 1 species